rnacentral:lncRNA from 1 species
AAACUACAAAAUAUGGAUGAUACUAUCGCUACCCAUCAAACUUUUCAUCUUGCAGUUUCAAUUGUUCCAAAUCCCAUUUCGUGCCUUGUGCAGGAUUAUCAAAAUUCCUGCAGUUGAGUUGCAACAACUUCACAUGAUUUAGACAUGCUAGGAUUCUUGUACCUUGCCAAUACCAGCAACAUUAGUAGUAUUCUUGUACCUUGCCAAUACCAGCAAGAUCACUAGUAUAAUGAGACAUAAUCUUUCAAAAUGAGACAUAAUCUUUCAACAGAAAUAUGUUGGACAUAUUUGGAUGCCUAUUUACAAUUAAUGUCUGAUUUUCAAUAAACCUUGAUUGGAAAUUAUGAAAUAGAUAAAUCUGUUACAUUUUGUCCCCAACAUACAUCAAUUCCAAUGAAUGGGAUAGAAGAAUCAUAGACAAAAUAUAUGUGUGGAAUGAAAGCAUUAGAUAAAUCCAGCUUUGUUCAUUCGCGGAUAAAUGCUGGAUGCAUCAAUUGAGAAGAAAGGUAUUGCCUCAUGCAACUUAAAAUGGAAUCUCCGAAACUUAAAAUGGAUUUACAUACUUUGGCUCCGCAUUAAGAUCAAUGUGAUCAAUGUGCCUCCUCAUUCAGCCAUUCAGCUUCAUGAUCACCAAUGUCGACGACGUGCCAUGUAAUCUGAUAGGCGAGGCCUCUUGCCCGCAGUCUUGGUGUUGAUCGUCAUAAAUAUCAUCAUCCACUGCCAUCGCAUCAGGUAACAACUGCGUUGGCCCAUGAUCAACAACAUCAGUCUCACUGACAUCAGCAACACGGUGGCCUAAUAGGUGGACCCCGCAGGGAAUUUUAACGGGUGCGGGCACUUUGCCACGCAAGUCAAAUAUAACUUGACACGUAUUAACCUGCUUCGUCGGUGGUUCUUCAAACACGUACCUCGCGUGCCUAUUUGAUUGACGAGUUUCCAAUAAUGGAAUAGACGUGAGGUACACAUGACUUUCCAAUAAUUCAACACAUUCGUCAUACAGAUGAACUGCGUCUAAUUCAAAAUGUGCCACAUUGACGAGUUUUCCAUUGAGAAGAAUCUUGGCAGAACCAAUAUUACCAGCACAUAGAACCAAUCUUAACGUCUCCCAUUUUAAAUUUGGAGGAAUUUCAAAACUAACUUCACAUCCAGCAUCGUAUCUGCAACUCAAAUAUUGUCUAACUGUUGUUGCAUCUUUACAACAGCUGAACCACUUUGGAACUUCAUCGCCUGGAAGAAUAAUUUCGAAAAGAGAAUGCGGGGAAGAAACAGAAACCUGAUUCAGAAAAAUAUGUUCUGUGAUGUCGUAGCCGCAUAGUCUAACGCAAUUGGUCAAACUCAGAUACAUAUGGUCAUCCUUCCGCGGGAGUUCUGGAAUUUUCUCCAAUGAUGUGCAGUUAUCCAGCAAUACCCAAGCCAGUUUUGGAAUUUUUUCCAAUGAUGUGCAGUUAUCCAGCUCUACGAAUUCUAUUCUUCGUGGAAGCACUUGUUCUGGAAUUUCCAGAAGACUCUGGCAAUUAAUCAAAUAAAGAUUCCGCAAGUUGACAAAUUUGCUAAAGGAUAUUGGAAGAUUGACAAAAUUGCUUUGCGACAGAAAAAGUUCUGUUACUGUGGACCAGCAAAGGAGCCGGAGGAAACUAAUUUUUGAUAGAUUGCAUCCCAUGAGACUAAAUUCAUACAGGUUGGGAAGCAAUUCGGAGUUCCCCGUAACUGUGAAGUUCUCACAAUAAUCAGCUUGUAAUAUUUCAAGACCAGUAAAAUAUGCAAUUGAUGAAGGCAAUUCUCUUACGCCACUUCCUGAUAUACUCAAAAACCAUAGUGAUUCCAUCUCGACUUCUAUUUCCGGGAAAUUCUCAAGGCUUUUGCAAUCACUAAGAUCAAGUUCUUCAAGAGAUUUCAAUCUAAGUGUUGCAAACCUUGUAAGAUUGAAGCAUCCACGAAGAUCCAAUAAUCGAAGCCCAGUAAGAUAUGCAAUUGAUGGAGGCAAUCCUCUUAUGCCACUUCCUGAUAGUCUCAAAACCCGUAGUGAUUCCAUCUCGACUUCUAUUUCCGGGAAACUCUCAAGGCUUUUGCAAUUACUAAGAUCAAGUUCUUCAAGAGAUUUCAGUCUAAGUGUUGCAAACCUUGUAAGAUUGAAGCAUCCACGAAGAUCCAAUAAUCGAAGCCCAGUAAGAUAUGCAAUUGAUGGAGGCAAUCCUCUUAUGCCACUUCCUGAUAGUCUCAAAAACCGUAGUGAUUCCAUCUCGACUUCUAUUUCCGGGAAACUCUCAAGGCUUUUGCAAUCACUAAGAUCAAGGUUUUUAAGAGAUUUCAUUCUAAGUGUUGCAAACCUUGUAAGAUUGAAGCAUCCACGAAGAUCCAAUAAUCGAAGCCCAGUAAGAUAUGCAAUUGAUGGAGGCAAUUCUCUUACGCCACUUCCUGAUAUGUUCAAACCCCAUAGUGAUUCCAUCUCGACUUCUAUUUCCGGGAAACUCUCAAGGCUUUUGCAAUUACUAAGAUCAAGGUUUUCAAGAGAUUUCAGUCUAAGUGUUGCAAACCUUGUAAGAUUGAAGCAUCCACGAAGAUCCAAUAAUCGAAGCCCAGUAAGAUAUGCAAUUGAUGGAGGCAAUCCUCUUAUGCCACUUCCUGAUAGUCUCAAAACCCGUAGUGAUUCCAUCUCGACUUCUAUUUCCGGGAAACUCUCAAGGCUUUUGCAAUUACUAAGAUCAAGGUUUUCAAGAGAUUUCAGUCUAAGUGUUGCAAACCUUGUAAGAUUGAAGCAUCCACGAAGAUCCAAUAAUCGAAGCCCAGUAAGAUAUGCAAUUGAUGGAGGCAAUCCUCUUAUGCCACUUCCUGAUAGUCUCAAAACCCGUAGUGAUUCCAUCUCGACUUCUAUUUCCGGGAAACUCUCAAGGCUUUUGCAAUUACUAAGAUCAAGGUUUUCAAGAGAUUUCAGUCUAAGUGUUGCAAACCUUGUAAGAUUGAAGAAUCCACUAAGAUUCAAUAAUCGAAGCCCAGUAAGAUAUGCAAUUGAUGGAGGCAAUCCUCUUAUGCCACUUCCUGAUAGUCUCAAAACCCGUAGUGAUUCCAUCUCGACUUCUAUUUCCGGGAAACUCUCAAGGCUUUUGCAAUUACUAAGAUCAAGUUCUUCAAGAGAUUUCAGUCUAAGUGUUGCAAACCUUGUAAGAUUGAAGCAUCCACGAAGAUCCAAUAAUCGAAGCCCAGUAAGAUAUGCAAUUGAUGGAGGCAAUCCUCUUAUGCCACUUUCUGAUAUUCUCAAAAACCGUAAUGAUUCAAUCUCGACUUCUAUUUCCGGGAAACUCUCAAGGCUUUUGCAAUUUCUAAGAUCAAGGUUUUCAAGAGAUUUCAGUCUAAGUGUUGCAAACCUUGUAAGAUUGAAGCAUCCACGAAGAUCCAAUAAUCGAAGCCCAGUAAGAUAUGCAAUUGAUGGAGGCAAUUCUCUUACGCCACUUCCUGAUAUGUCCAAACACCAUAGUGAUUCCAUCUCGACUUCUAUUUCUGGGAAACUCUCAAGCGUUUCACAUCCAACUAGACAAAGUUCUUCUAAGGAUUUCAAUCUAAGUGUUGUUCCAAACCUCAUAAGCUUAACGCAUCCAGAAAGAUCCAAUUCAACAAGUUUAUCAAGGAAUCCAACAGAACCAUGGACCUCAACCAAACGUGUGCAAUUUGUUAGAUCCAAGUACUUUAUGUUUGGGAUUCCAGAUAAGUCAGGGAUUUUUUCUAAGAAUUGACAACCCAUCAAAUUCAUAGUUGUCAACUUUGACAAAUGCUGUGAGACAAGAACACAAAAACAGGAAAUAAUUAAUCACACGCUUCAAAAGACAAAAGCUUAGAAAACUAUUUUUCAUUUUUUUUCCUUCUGAAAUUAACAACUCUAUUUAAAAUUAUAUAUAAUGGAUGAAAAUAAUUACAAAUGCAUACCUUAAAGUUAAAUCCAUCCAAUUGUCUGAUAUGACUACAAGGCAUAUUGAACUCAACAAGAUGAUUUCCUUGAAAAUUGGGUGGCAAAGAUUGUAACUGACAUCCGUUAGGCAUAUUGAACUCAACAAGACGAUUUCCUUGAAAAUUGGGUGGCAAAGAUUGUAACUGACAUCUAUCCCAAUGAAUCAAUCUUAACGUGUUGGGCAGAUAGUUAAUGUGCCCACAUAGAGAUGCAUUACAGUUUAUGAAAAUUUCAAGAUUUACCAUAUUACGGAAGCAUUCUGGAUUCAAGGUUAUCUUAGCUGGGUUUGGAAGAUUCACCAUGAUGCCUUGAAUAUUUCUUGUUCCCUAAGAUAGAAAAGCAUUAACAUUAAAAAAUGAAGUCAUUUUACAAACCAAAAUGCAAGCACAUUUUGUUAAGAAAAUUAUAUAGGUUACAUAAGGUAUUCUUUAUUCUCAAAUUGAAUAUAAUAACAUAUGUGAUACUUACUGUACUUUCCGUUAGAACUUGUUCAACAUCCUCGUAAAACCACAAUCUACUACGCUUGCCGGGAUCAUUGGGGCAUUCUUCGUGAACUAUAUCUUUGCCCAGUUUUUCUAGUAAGUCAUGCAUCUGAAUCCUACCAUUGUCAAUAGUUAUCAUUGCCUUCUCAAUGAGUACUUCAAUACAAUCUCGGGAGACCUUGUUCUUAGAAUUGCUUACUAUUUGUAGCACAUAGUCCUUAGCUUCACCUUUGAAAAAACAUGCAAUGUCUAGAAAAACUUGUUGCACGGAAUUUUCCAAGGCAUCAUAACUUUUUUGAAGUAUUUUUUGAAUACCUGUAUAUGGUUCUCCUUCAUAACUAUCUAAUAUAUCUUGCCAACGAUCUUUGUCUUUAUUACGAAGAUGAGAACCUAAAAGUGUUAGAGCUAGUGGAAUGCCUUGAGCAUACUCUAGUCCACGCUGUGCGAGUUCCAAAUAAUCCUUUGGAGGUUUGUUGGUUCCGAAGGCACUGAAACUAAAAAGCUCAAGAUCUUGGUUGCCAUUUAACUUUUGGACCUCGUAUAUCAAAUCAAUUCCAUGACAUCCGCUAUCUUGUGUAGUUGUAAUGACUCUACUUCCCUCACCAAACCAACCAACACCAGCCAAAUUGUCUAAUUGCUUCAAUUGAUUCACAUCAUCAAGAAUUAAGAGAAUUUUUUUAUGGCUCAACCGUUCUUUUAUGACACAAAUUCCUUCAUCAACACUAUGAAUUUUCCAUUCCCCGCCAAGAAUUUUAUGAAGAAGAGUCUCCUGUAUCCUGUAGCUUGAUUAAGCAUUGAAUUUUCCCUAACAUUUUCCAAGAAACAUCUUCCUUCAAAUUUAUGUGCAAUGGCAUUCCAUAUAGCUUUUGCAAUUGUUGUCUUGCCUAUUCCAGAUGUUCCCCAUAUCCCAACCAUGCGACGACCAUUCCCACCAACAUCUAAAAGCUUUUUCACAUCUUGGACACGAGAAUGAAUUCCAACUGGGUGCUUGGCCACAUUCCAAUAUGUGCGGCUCAGUACUUGGCUUAAGAUUCCAUCAACGAUGUUGUUGAUAAAUGUAGUUUCAUAUCUGCCAGUUGAACCAAAUUAGAUUUAAACAAAUCCAACCACGCAAAAGAACACAACAUACUCAAGUACGUAAUAGUUGUUCUGACCAAAAAAGAAAAAAAGAUGUAAUAGUUGUUUAACCACAAACCUAUGUUAUGUAUCAUUUAUACUUGUAUGCCUUUUGAAGAGAUUAAUAUAUGGAUUUUGAACUUUCUACUUACAGCUAUCAAAAAUACAAAAGUACCCAAGAAAAUAAAUCUUCUCACUACAGUUGUAUAUUUUUAUAACAGAAUACUUCUCACUGCGUAAUGGUUGCUCAACUUGCCGCUAUUCGGUUUCACGUUUUUUUGUCAAGACGAAAUUAUCAUAUAAUACUUAGCAAGCAACAUAAGAUCCUACAAAGCAAUCUAAAGCAAACAUUAAAAAGUAGAUAUUAUCGGUUUUCAAAGUCGAUAUGCAAAAUGAUUUCUUACAGAGAAAUUAUUUGUUAGCUAGCUAAGUUGACUUUGGCUUACCUUGUUCUACUUCAAAUGAUAAAGUUUUAUGAUGACUCGUUUGGGAGUGAUUCUGGAUAGGUCAAUAAUCACUUUUAUGGAGAAGUACAUGGGAAGUGUUUCUCUCAAUAAUCACUUAAAAUUAUUUAAAAUGAUUAUAUAAAGAAGUACGUAGAAGGUGUACCAAAUAAGUGACAGAAUAACUCCCAAACGAAUUCGAUAGAUUUUCGUCACCAUUGGCCUAAGAGUUGGAUUAACAAAAUCGUAUAACACGGUGCAAACAUAUCCUCGCUAGAUCAAGUUCCAAUGAUCAAUUGCAAUUGUGUCUAUAAUUUUAGCUGGAAAAAUUAAAAGGAAAUUCCAAUGCAAAAGUACUCGUAAUUUUGUAUUUAUUCAAUUUCCAAUAUUAUGAAUUACAUAAUUACAUUACUCUAUUGAGAAAAGUGGAGGGCAUCUUCAUCAAAACAUUUUUUAAUAUUCUGAAAAUUGAUAAAUUUUGUAAUAUUUCUGGAAAUGUUACUUUAGCUAAUCAUGUGGUGACUCAUACAAUAUUCUCUAUUUCCAAUAAUUCUGCAGCAGCUGUGGCAAUCCUGUACCCACCCACGUGUGGCAGCACACAAGACUUGAUGUCAUUUUACUUUUUCUAUUUUUUUUUAAAUUAUAUAUUAUUAGUGCGUAACAAUUAAAUGUGACAUGGAAAUUUUUUAUAAAAAAAAUUAUUAAAAUAUAUAAGUUUUGCCUUAAAAUAUGACAUCGAAAUUAUUUAUAAAAAAAAAAAUUAAAAUAUAGAUCUUCUCCCUACAAAUUAAUAAUGAGUAACAAUUAAAUGUGUGACAAAUGGUAAUGAGAAAGAAGAGAGAAAAAAUUAAAUAUGAAAAUGAUAAAGAUAGAAAUAUACGUACUCUCCAUCCUUGAAAGUAUGUCCGGACAAAUUUGCUGCUUCUGUAAGAGCUUCCCUCCAUAUGAGCACUUUUUCCUUGUCAUUCUUGAAUUUCCUUUUAAUAAGUUCUUCAAAUGCGUCACCAAAUUUACUUUUUUGGUUUCGCACAUCCGUCGGAUCCACCUUGUAAAAAAUGGGCAAAACUACUUGUUGCUUUGAUUGUUUACAUUGAAGGAUCUUGACAAGUUCAUCCAAGCACCACCUCGAAGAUGCAUACUUUUCAGAGAAUACAAUGAGAGAAAUUCUUGAUUCUUCAAUUGCUUUGACAAGGGCUGGCGAUAUUUCUUCUCCUCUUACAAGCUCUCGAUCAAUGAAGGUGUAGAUGCCCUUACGGACUAAAGCCUCGUGCAAAUGAUCUGUAAAAUUGGUGCGUGUAUCCUCACCUCUAAAACUCAAAAACACAUCAUAUGUCCAUGAUGAAUCAUGAGUGAAAGAAGAAGAAGAAGAAGAAGAAGAAGAGACUGGUUGAGUGGUCAUAGGGGGCAGAUCUGAAGGAAGUUGAGGUUGAGUAGCCCAACUCCCUAUACACCUGAAUAAGGAUUUGAAGAACAUCGAAGAAUUGAAGAAGAAGCAGAGAGAAUCUUAUCUGAUUUUGUAUUGAUUUUCUUUCUUAAUAAAACGAUACAGUAAAAAUUGGGUAUGGCAGUGGCGCUCUGGUUAGAUUUAUGAGGGCUUGACGAGGCAGUUUCCUACCACCUUCCAUGUGGGGGAGCUUUCGUUUCAACUUCAAGUCAUCAAAGGCUAGAUUUUCUUUUUCAUACUGAUGCGGUCUUUAAUUUGGUGAAGCAUCUAUAGGUGAGAGAGGCACUACCUUUCUUUACCUUUUCUUUACCUUUUCUUUGCUGAAUAAAUUGCUUUAAGGGAGUGAACAUGGCCAGUAUUGCUAAAUAGCAGAUAUGGGCCUACAUUGCUUUAAGAUAUGGGUCAAACGGUGAUAUUAUUAUUUCUUUUUCUUUUUUCUUUGAUGCGCUUUCUUUCAAAUGAUGAUCUUUCUAUCCAAAGAUUUUGUUUUUAGGUCUGAAAAUAAAAAAUUGAAAGAAUACUGAAACUGUUGUAAAAUAUAAAGUAGUGGAGCCCACUUACUAUUUGUUUGUAGACUUUGGUGCAUGAGUUUAUUCACGGGUGAAUAGUGAAUAGUGAAGAUGAAUCACGGGUGCCAUUUAUCUGCCUAUAAAUAGGCAACCUGCAAAGAAGAGGAAAAUAAGAAGACAAAGAAGAAAAAGGGAGAAACGGAAAGAAAACAAAGAAGAGGAAAGAGAGAAGAGAGAAGAGGAAAGAGAAGAGGAAAGAGAGAAGAGGAAAAAGAAAAGAGGAAAGAGAAAAGAAAGAGAGUCAGGCAGAGAAGAGGAAGAGAAGGAAGAAAGAGGGUGAGUGAGCAGAGAGAAAAUUCAGUGAGCCACACAUAUUGAAAACACUAAAGUUGUAGCCCUAUUAUUUUACAUAGUGAAAAAGUUACUACUGCUGCUCUCCGGGGACGUAGGCAUAGCCGAACCUCGUUAAAUACUGUGUCUCAUCUACUUUACGUGCAGCUCAAUAUUCGCACAUAUUCCAGGUCAUUUUAUAACACGUUAUCAGCACGAGAAGCUCUCAAGUAUAAUUUUUGUGCUGCACUAUUAUUUAUACUACUAACCAUUAUGUUGAUGUAAAGAAGAAAAGCCAACGCAUCUAGCUUUCCACUAAUAUAUCAGUAUAAUAUAUAUAUAUAUAUAUUAUAUAUAUGAAAAGUUGAUGGUAAUAUAAUAUACUAUAUUUAUCUGCUUUUCUAUUACUAACCAUUAACAAAAAUGGACCCUUGGUAAUACUAAACAUAUUAUCAGUGGGAGACCGUUACUAAUACUAACACUUUCCUUAUCUUGUUCAGUGGUGGUUUUUAUUCCCACAUUUAUUUUAUUUACUGUAUGGUGUAGGUUUAUUACCCAUACAACAGUAUUUAUUUAAAAGGGUGGUGCGGGUUUAUCUCCCACGCCUUUGCAUUUAUUUAAAUGUAUGGAGCAGAAUUAGUGCCCAUACAAGCACGUUUACUUUAUCGCAAAUUGACUUUUACUUAAAGUAUUAUUUAUGGUAUGAUGUAGGUUUAUUACCCAUACGGCAAUAUUUAUUUAAAGGGUGGUGCAGGUUUAUCGUCCACGCCUUUGCUUUUAUUUAAAUGUAUGGAGCAGAAUUAGUGCCCAUACAAGCACGUUUACUUUACCGCACAUUUAAUUUUAUUUAAGGUAUGGUGCGGGAUUAACGUCCAUACAGCAAGCUAUUUAAUUUAUUUAAGGUAUGGUGCGGGAUUAACGUCCAUACAGCAAGCAAUUUAAUUUAUGAAUUUAAUUUACUGCACAUUUAUAUUUAUUUAAAGGGUGGUGCGGGUUUAUCGUCCACGCCUUUACUUUUAUUUAAAUGUAUGGUGCGGGUUUAUCGUCCAUACCAGUAAUUUAUUUACCAGUAAUUUAUUUUAUGGAUUAAUUGUGCUGUAUGAUGAGUUUUUACAGUAUGCAGAUCAGGACCAGAAGUUCCUUGAUCCUCAUCAUACAAUUACAUCAGGACUUGAAGAUCCUUGAUGAUGAUAUUAAUAUGAGAGCUGGCAGUCUCUCCGGUACUGUAUUUGUAAACAUGUGAUCGAAAUUAAGGGUCCUUGAUCCCUGACAUGUAAAUAAGGACCUAGAGUUCCUUAAUGAUGUAACAGUACCGUAUUGGUUCAUAGUGCCGUACACAUUGAUGAUAACUGUACUGGCAGAUGAAUAGAUACGUAUUCAUGACUUGAUGAAUAGUACUAUUCACAUGAAUAGUGACGUAUGCAUAAAUAUGAACCAUUUUGGGUAAACCGUCACUAUAUACAAAAGGGAACCUGCAGUUUCAUGGUACCGUACACAUUGAUGAUAACUGUACUGGCAGAUGAAUAGAUACGUAUUCAUGACUUGAUGAAUAGUACUAUUCACAUGAAUAGUGACGUAUGCAUAAAUAUGAACCAUUUUGGGUAGACCGUCACUAUAUACAAAAGGGAACCUGCAGUUCCUUAAACUCAUGGAUGAACAAUUAAAUGAGAUGCCAGAAGUUCUUCAAAAUAUGGACAAUUAUGUAAGAGCUUGAAGUCCCGAAAUAUGUACAGAAAAUUGUAAAAAUGUUCAUAUCAUGAGAAUAUGUGGGUUUGGCCUGAAGUUCAAAAUUUAACAGUGUUUAGAACCUGAAGUUCCAACAAUUAAAUGGACAACCCUUGAGGUAUUAUUGCAAAUUGUGGUAUGCCACAUAUUUCUUUGGCAUAAGAAGAUGAUGAAUUUAAAGUUCGAUUUUGUUAUAAUCGACACCUCAAGGAAGAAAUAUAUUUUGUGAAUUCCGGUUGUUAAGAAUAUACCGCGAAAUGGAUAAUAUCAAUAUAAACCUCAAAUAAUGAAUUGAGGCUCCCCACAUAUUUUGUUAUAUCUGGGCCGGAAGCCCAUGGAUCCAAAUAUAUGAGAGAUCCUGAACUUGAAGUUGUGGGUAUAUAGUAGUUAAUGCUCUUCACUACUAUAUUGCGAUAUUAUCAUGGCUUUUACUCAAUUCACAUUUCAUGUCCAUUUGAAAAGGGCAAAUAAAUUCUGAGUUUGUGCCAAGGCCAAAAGUUUCGGGCUCCCAUACGUUGAAAUAUGAAAUUUGGGAAAGUCGAUGUGGUUAUUUGAACCUAUAAGGCACAAGGUUCCAAACCGUCAUUUUGAAAAGACGUAAAAAACCACAGGUGCAAAUUUUAAGAAUGUGCGCAAUUAUUAUAACAGGAAAGGAGCAAGAUGAAACGCAGUUGCUCCAAUCAAGUUUUGCAAAGGCCAUAUCUAUAGGAGGAAAUAUGGCUACAGUUUCCAGGAUCCCAAAAUUAUCUCAGAUCCCCAUAUUAUCUUUUUCUUUCCCAGAGUCCAAAACUUCACGUGGCCUCUGAUAAUGCCUGUCGGCACUUUCGGCGUUUUCAAGUAUUAUUUUCAAAGCCGAUCUUGCUUUACGGAUUUCACGGAGCUACUUUUUCAAAGAGUAUCCCGAGAAUCUCGCAAUUUUCCUAUGGUUAAUUUGAAAUUCACCGGUUCUACCUAUUCAUUGUAUUUGUGUAUAAAUGUGUUACUAACAAAAUUUUCUUUGCAGAAGACAUCCAGUUUUCUCCAUACCUAGUGAUGCGAUAUCUACUUGUUUUUCUUAUCAGUGAGCACUCAAUAUGCCUAAGAAGCAAGACUAUCUCUGAUCAUCCAUUCAGGAAGCGAGACUAUCCCUGAUCACGUUUCGACCACAUCAGGGAACUGUGAAGGCAACCUUAUGCUCUAAUCUCCGGAAGUUCUUCUAAAUUAGAAGAAAUGAGAGCUUGUCGUUUGCUCCCACCAGCUUCCUUCCUUGAUUGCUGAGCAUGUUGUCUGCUCCCACCAGCUUCCUUCCCUAAUUGCUUGCUCCCACCAGCUUCCUUCCCUAAUUGCUUACCUUACCUUGCAAUCAAUAUCACAAUUUUUGCAUUUUUUCUCUUUUUGUAACUCUCUGUUCAUAAGAGAUUUUAUUUCUUUAGAAUGAACAUCUGAAGAAAGAAUCCAUGAAGUGAUCCUAACUCUGAGAGUUAUUUGUUUUUGACAGAGAAAAGAAUUGUGAUUUUUGCUCUUGCAGGAUAUAACAAGAUCAUCAAGCGAUACUUUAUAUUUACUGGGCCGAUACGAGCUUGAAUGAUACUUGAGAAAAGUUUCUCCCACCUAAGGAUGUAAGCAAUACUUGUGUUAUUUUAUGCUUAUAUACCUAUUUGAUAUUUUAUCUUGAAAGGUAACCAAAUGGGAAGAUAAGUCAGUUCCAAAAGAAUGGCUUGUAUGUAUCCAUGAAUUAUUAAUGCAAAUUUUACAGAUUGCAAGUUGGAUACAUUGAUAAUACACUGCACAGAUUAAAGUCCCAUAAGAACAGAAUAUGGGUAUAGCAGUGAUCAAUAUGAUGCACGCCUGUUGCGUAGCAAAUGAUGUGGAUUGAAGUCCCGAAAGGACAAUCCUUUGACAUGUCAAUAUUGAUAUUAUGCACGCCUAAUGCGUAGCAAAUUAUAAGGGUCAAAGUCCCAUAAUAUGGGUUAAAGUCCCAUAAAUUAAUUGACAUGUAUGUAUUAAUCUGUGGAUACAUUGAUAAUACACUACACAGAUUAAAGUCCCAUAAGAACAAAAUAUGGGUAUAGCAGUAAUCAAUAUGAUGCACGCCUGUUGCGUAGCAAAUGAUGCGGAUUGAAGUCCCGAAAGGACAAUCCUUUGACAUGUCAAUAUUGAUAUUAUGCACGCCUAAUGCGUAGCAAAUUAUAUGGGUUAAAGUCCCAUAAAUUAAUUGACAUGUAUGUAUUAAUCUGUGGCAUGUCUGCAGCAUGACAGAUAUAUGGGUUCUAAAUGUUCCAACUCCCUAAAUGGAGAUUAUCCACGCCCUACUAUAAAAUAACGCUCCGUUGGAGGUUAUAAUCCACAUUCUCACAUAAUAAAAGCCCUCUGAAGUGGCUUGGGUACCCAAAAGCAAAGAAAUGCUUAUAAUUGAUGCAUGCGCAUGCAAAUGAGAAUGGUGGGAUCAUGAAUUGAUGAAUGACAAUUUUUAGUUUUGGAGUAGCUACUCAAAUCAUCAAUGGGCUGUGUUGAUUGGAACCACGUUCAAUUAUUAAAUGUCGACAAUAUCAUUGGCCAAAAUGGAACGAGGUAAUUCCAUUAUAGAUGAGAAUGAACGUGAAAGAACAAACCCACAGUACGAACCCCAAAAUUUGUUAAUACUGAAAGUUAUACUUGGGUGUUCGGAAUAAAAGGGAAUAUACCUACUUUGUAUGACACACUGUUUCUGGCAGAAACAAGGAAUGUUGGGUUUUCUCCAUAUUUACAGAUUCAAUUGUGCCCCCCUUAUUACACAAUUACGGAGACCAACAUAUUAUCUUUAAGGGUUAUUAAAUGCACGGAGCAUAUCGCCAGAAGCGAUUCCCUAAAGAUGUAUAAAUAGCUGGGUUAAAGCUAUAUAAUGUGUCAUAAAGUUUAAUUCCUUUAAACAAAAUCCUUGAAAGGAUUGAAAUUGCAUGAAGCAAGUCCCUGAAUGACAUGUGCCUGAAGCACAAAAUUUGUACUCAAUAUUAAUAUGCAUAAAUUACCUCAGUGAGUACAUUGAUUAUAAUGUGAUUGCAACACAUUAAAACUUCUGCAGAAUUCACGAAAUAUUUGUCUCGACUUAAAGAUCGAGCAUUGUGCCAACGAGAUUCUUGCUUAUACUAAGAAAGUAUUGAAACAUUUUUAUGAGGAUUAUCCGUUGGGCACUUUAAGGAUUUUCCGGAAGUGUAUUGGACCGGACAUCAUAUUUUCCAGAUAAGGCUCAACUCCAUCACCAUCAUUUUGGGAUGAUGUGAGGUAUAUUUGAUGCUAUCUCCGCAUAACACCAUGUAUGGGCAUAUUCUUUCAUAUGAUCUUACAAAUAGCCCAGGUUUUGUUGGAAACGCGGACUCUGAAAAUUUCUAUGAUUUACAUAGAGAUAGCUCACUGGAAAUAUAUUUACUAUAUGAAUUGUUGGUGGCUACAUCAUUCACUCACUCCGAAAGAUUCUCACUCCAAAAGAUAGUUAUGAAGACAUCAGGGGGAGAUAUUAAUCAGGGGGAGCAUCCAGAAGUAUGCUAUACAGAUUGUUGUACUAUUCUUUCUUCCUUCCAUCAGUUCUCUACCUUACUAGGUUUUUCUCCAAGCAAAGUCUGAUGAAGCAACUGACAUAUUAUUUGUGGUCUCCAAGGGGGAGUGUUGUAAAAUAUAAAGUAGUGGAGCCCACUUACUAUUUGUUUGUAGACUUUGGUGCAUGAGUUUAUUCACGGGUGAAUAGUGAAUAGUGAAGAUGAAUCACGGGUGCCAUUUAUCUGCCUAUAAAUAGGCAACCUGCAAAGAAGAGGAAAAUAAGAAGACAAAGAAGAAAAAGGGAGAAACGGAAAGAAAACAAAGAAGAGGAAAGAGAGAAGAGAGAAGAGGAAAGAGAAGAGGAAAGAGAGAAGAGGAAAAAGAAAAGAGGAAAGAGAAAAGAAAGAGAGUCAGGCAGAGAAGAGGAAGAGAAGGAAGAAAGAGGGUGAGUGAGCAGAGAGAAAAUUCAGUGAGCCACACAUAUUGUAAACACUAAAGUUGUAGCCCUAUUAUUUUACAUAGUGGAAAAGUUACUACUGCUGCUCUCCGGGGACGUAGGCAUAGCCGAACCUCGUUAAAUACUGUGUCUCAUCUACUUUACGUGCAGCUCAAUAUUCGCACAUAUUCCAGGUCAUUUUAUAACAGAAACAAGUUUUAUGGUUUGUUUUUUCUUAAACUGGUCUAAUAGCAGCAAUAUUGACGACUAUCUCUAUGGUAUUUAGUUAUAGUCAGUUGAAGCAAUUACUUUGUAAUGCGAAGGUACCUACAAUUUGUUGAAGUAAAUGGUAAGGAACCUUCAAGGAAACUUCUCUUGGACGGUGAUACCUUCUUUUACCUACAAAACAGGCCAAGUACAAACUAGACUGCACCUUUGCCGCACCAUGUUUGUCUAAAACAUCUUCACACGGUAGAUCACCCUGUGAAGUAUAUGAUAUAAACUAGUUAUAAAAUGUUAAAAUAAAUUUGAUCACAGCUUGGAGUAAUUUCAUACAAUCAAAACCGAAAGGACCAUAAGUACCAAUACCAUACCAAAUCAAGUAGAAAUUUUAGUGCCUUUGCUACAAUAUACAAUUGCUAGAACAAGAAACACAUUCAAAGCAAAGGCAUAUCAAUGUCUUUAAGCAGUGGCUAAUUACUGUGUAACAUGAUUGAACAGCCACAAAAAUAAAAGAAGAGGCACACUCCCAGUCUUUUGAUGAAAGUCUUCUAAGUGCAAGUGAGAGCCAUAAUAGUAAAGGGUAAGGAAAAGAACCUUCAACGUUGUCUUUGAUAGUGAUACUUCCUUUCUAACGCGCAACAGCUUUCUUUCAUCGGUUCAUGAUGAUGCUUUUUUCUUUUUGACUAACAUCUCUUCACAAUUGUUUAGCCUUCGUUGACUGGAUUCACCUCAUCAAGAGAAAUUUCAUUUGCACCUUCAAGCGUGAGGAGUCCAUAACUUCUUGUCUUUGAUGGUGACACACUUUUUGCUAUAUGAUAAAUAGGUACCUUAUGAAAAAGUAGGUACUCAAAAAAUAUAUAUAUAUAUAUGGAGGUUUCUUCGUCCCAUCAAGCAGAGUUCCAACGUAGUGCACUAAAUUCAAAUUUCCACACUCUAUGCUCCGUUUGGAUGAAGGAAUUGCAAAUUACAUAGAAUUCUAAAAUGACGGAAUUUAGAUUUCCGUCAUUUCAAUUUCUGGCAAUUGAAGAUUUUAGUGUUUGGAUUUAUGUAUGUCGAAUUUUGUAAAUGACAUAAAUUGAAAAUUCCAAUGUUUGAAUAGCUCAUGUAAAUUGAAAAUGACAGAUAUUAAAUAUUUUGAAAGAACAAAAAAAUGAUAACCGACAUAGAAGGUAUUCCUUGAAAUAUAAAAUAACAUAUCGUUUUAUGAACUAAAUAACUCAAUUUAAACAAACAGAGCAUAUUAGCAAACCAAAUCACUCCCCACGUGCAAUUAAUAUCAACAACAUACUCUCUUUUUUCUCAAUUGGGAGUGCCUUCAGCAUCUAAAAUUAUUCGUCAUUUUCUAUCAGCCAAACACAUGCUUUGAGUUGUUCAUUUUCACUAAGACCUAGUACUGCUUGUACUUAAGCAUAUACCUCUGCUGGAUCAAGGUUCAUAGUAUCAGAAUGGAUAAACUCUUCAAAUGAUAAAGUCAUUCUAGCAAUCGAAUCAGCAAUAACAUCUUUGAUAGCACCUCUUUUCUUUGUAGGAAGAAUAUCAUAAGAAUUUGAUGCAUGAUUUCUUCUCUUUUGACCAUUUGUUGAGGUUGGUGAAAUAUCAUCAAUAACAUGAAUAUCUUCUAAAUCUUGUGUAUCACCAUCCAAAUCAACACGAUCAACUUCAUUAGUAUGAGUCAUAACCUCAAUUGCAUCUGCAACUGUUUCAGCACCCUUUCCAGUGGCUCUAUCUUUGCCACACAAAUCUACUAUAUCAUCCCAAUUUUCUAUAACUUUAAAUCGAAAACCUCUAGCAUCAUCAUGAGACUACCAAACAAAUAAUCAAAGUCAAAUAAGAAAGAGAGAAGACCAAAAUCGAUUUUCAGCAGCAUAUAACAAUCAAUAAAGCUUUUCGUUUCCUUACAGAGUAUAUAAAAAGCUUUUCAGCAGCAUAGGCUUUUUCUUCAGAGUAAGGAAACGAAGGGUAAAACUUGAACAAAGCGAUAACACAAAGCGAUAAAGCUAGCAAACAAUUACAGAGCUGUACCAUAAACACAAAUCACACACUAAUUUUCAUGGGCAUAUAGUAUUUUGUUAAAACUUCCCAAAAUCUAGUCAUAGUGCCGCAAAGAUCACAAAAAUCAUUCAUAAAUUUACUCAGAAAUACCCAAUUUUGAUAGCCAUUCAAAAACCAUAGUAACCCUAAAAUAGAAAAACAUAAAUUGAAGGAGAGAAAGGCUUGAAGACUAACCUUCAAAUUUGAUCCAGGAGAAGUGUACUUUUUUUUAAAAAGAGAAGUGUACUCUUUUUUUUAAUGAAAAGUUCGGCCCUUUUUUUUUAAUGUAAGUUUUGGUACACUAGAAAAAAUGAAUUCAUGCACUAUAAAAAUUGUGAAAUGACGCAUAUUUUGGUGGAAAUUAAACUCGGAAAUUUGAUGUCUCAAUUUCCAUGAUUUUUUCCGCGCGUCAUUCUUAAGUUGCCAAACAAGGGAAUUGUCAAUUUCUCCUCUUAAAUUCUCAAUUUUUAGCUAAAUUCCGAGUUAUUUUCCCUCAUCUAAACGGAGGGUCAAUGUAUCUAAAAUUAUAAAGUUUUAAUAGGAGAGAAAAAGAGAGAGAAAAAGAAAGAAAGAGUAUUUUGGCAUAUUUAGAAUUUUCAUUAAAGGGAGCCAAGUGCUUCCCGUGUUUUUGUCUUGUAGCGCUUUUAAGAAGAAGCACCUCUCAAGUGCUUCUUCCAAAACCACUCCAAGUGCUUUUGGAUCUCACCCAAAGCGCUAUUGCAAUUUUUGCUAAACACCAUUUUUAAAAGACAAAAGCGCUUUAAUCCAGUUUUCGCUGCUCCAAAAGCACUCCCAAACGAGCCCUAAUUCUCUCAAUUCCUCCAUUUUCCUUCCUUCUGCAAGUAUUCAACAAGAAAUAACAUUAAAAUAAAAACUAGUUUUUUUAUACAUAAGUAAUAAAAACUAGUCUUUUUUAUACGGAAGUAAUAAAAACUAGUUGGUGUACAUUUUAUAUGUGUUGAAAGCUUUAAAUUUAGCCAUUUGAGUGUAACUCAGUUGGUUGAGCUCUUCCACUUUCACUCAUGCAUGCAGAAAUUCGAACUAUAAUUAUAUAUUAUUGUAUUAAACAAACACAAAUUCAUAAUAAAUCAGACAACUUUAGUUAUUGAGGUAAUAAAUUUAUCAAUUAGCUCCCCAAGUCACUAGAAAGUAGGGGUGGGCACGGUUCGGUUUGGACCGGUUUUUGCCUCAAAUUAGAACCGAUCCGGUACUAUUCAACCAGUUUGGUUCGGUUCGAUUUUAAUAAAAAAAAUUUCAAAAACUGUCCGGUUCGGUUUGAAUCGAUUUCGGUCCGGUUCCGGUUCCGGUUCAGUUUUGAACCGGAUUAUAAAAAUUGUUUUUUUAAAUUGUUUUUUAAUACAAUUCUUAACUGAAAUAUUAUUUUUUUACUUGAAAAUUAACAAAUUAUUCAAUUUCAUAUAAAAAAUAAAUAUUAAAGUGAGAAAAGAGAGAUAUUUUGACAUUGAACUUGGAUAAAUAUUAUGUUUUUUUUAGUGAAAUUAAAAAUAUAGCAUUAAAUAUAAAUAUAUAUUGAAAUUAUAUAUUUUUUUAGUUUCACCGGUUCGGUUCGGCCCGGUUCGGUUUUUGAAGACAUGGAACCGGAUCCGAAACCGGUCCAAACCGGUCCGGUUCGGUUUUUGACCGGUUUUUGACUUUUUGGUCAACUCGGUUUUUUUUCAGUUUGGUUCGGUGCGGUUCGACUCGGAUUUCCGGUUCGCCGGUUUGAGUGCCCACCCCUACUAGAAAGAGGUGAAAGACCCACGACUUCUAUAUUCAUGGCCUACAUCAAAUUGCUACAAAUAUAGUCAAUAAACUUCGUAUUUUUGUUAUCCUACAUAAAAUUGCUCACCUGGGGUUAAUUACUUAUUAUCACUCAUGCUCAUAUAAGAAAGAAAUAAUAUAUAUAUAAAAAAACUAGAGAAACUAGUUUUAGUUCCAUUUCACGACAAACCUCUCUUUUCUCUCUCAAGCACUUUCUCCUUUCUCCUUUUACCCAUCCUACCUACAGAGCAAUCAAUCUUAAACAAACGCUAAAAAAGAUAAAAACUAUUUUCUCUCUCUUUUUUUGGGAAAAAAAUAAUGGAUAAAGCAUAAAACUCAUAUGAAUAAUUGAAAUUGUGAUUUCAUUUCUUCUGUGAAAAAAAAGUACUUAGCAUCUCAGGUAGGUGUGAAAGUUGGAUUGGAAAUUCUAAUUUCGACCAAUUUUUAUUCGAAAUUUUUUAACUUUUAGUGAGUUCAAAUCAAUUCCAACAUCCAAAAGUUUCGAAAAUUCUAGAAUUUUUUUUUUUUUUUUAAAGGAUUAGAAUUAGAAUGUAACUCAAGAUUACAAAAAUUCUUAAUUAUAUCGGAGUUUCAAGGUUAGACUACAUAUAAUGAGUAAUAUCUAUGGCCACCAGAUGCACUUUGCAUAAGCGAAAAUAAUGAAACUAAUGUUAUAGCCACAAUAUCAUAAUAUAAUUAUGUUAAAUUUUAAACAUGGAAACUUUAAAUAGAAAACUUGAUCAAUCAUGAGGAUACCAUGGCAUCUAAUUUCUUCGUUAUGAAGAAACAUGUGAUUUCUUUUGAUUCUAAAACAUGCAAACUAUGAUCUGACACCACAUGUAAACUGUAUUGACUGCACAUAACAUAAGUAGAACACAUGUAUUUUAGUAUUCCAUUAGAGUUGUCGGAAAUCAAGAACAUACAAGAUCUCUUCUCCUCAAUCCGACCCCUCACACACUCAUUAUAGAUGGGGUGAAUACUUUAGUGUAGGUUACAUUGAUCGGGUAAGUCGUGGCACCUGUAUUUAUAUGCAUCUGCCUAAGAGUCUUGCCCAUCAAGAAACUCUCUAGGAAAAGAAAACCCUUGUCCAUAUUAAGAUAGAGUCAAAAAAAAAAAAAGGGGGCAAAUUUUCUGAUAUAUAUUCUUCUCCAAUAUGGAGGUAUUUAUAAGAAGGGUACAAAGAUUAGUUAACCCUCAAUACAAUAGGAAAUAAAUCUAAAUUACAAUAUGAAAUAAAUAUCAAUUACAAUAGUACAAAAUAAAUAGGUAAGUAAUAACCAAAAAACCUAACAUAGUAAGGAACCAAAAUCAUAAGUAAAUAAGGACUUGCUAACACUCCCCCUCAAAUUGCCACAAAGAUGUUUCGCAUGCCCAACUUGACAAGCGGGUCAUAGAACACUAUACUUGACAUUAACCAAAUCGAACCACUAUAGAAAUGGCCAAAAAUUUGAUUUGUUCCAAGAAAUACAAUGUUUGUUGUAAUAAAACAGGCCCAAUUAAAGGACCUUUCAAGCCACAUGGGCUUUGAGUCGUUCAUAAUUAGAAAAGUAAAUGUCCAAAGAUCAAAGCCCAAGCACGGGUUUCUCCAAAAGGUUUGACUUUCCCAGAAAACCAUUGCGAAGCAGCUUUUACUCGGCUAAUAGCGUGAACACCUAAAUUUGAACUCAAAGUUGAUUUCGACAAUUAAGAAAAAGUCAAACAGCAAAGAGAGGGUUGGACAGCCGCAUUAACUGUGAUUUGAAUCAUGAGACUCAUCAACAUCAACUUGUUAAAAUACAACUAAUCACAUGGAUCAAAAUGAAAACAAAGUCCAUUAGUUUUAUUUGCAAAGAAGAAACUUGUACAAGGUGGAUGCAUCUCUUUACCAAACAUCCAAUUUCGAGAACCAAUGAGUCUAUAAAUGGAAGUAGAAAUUAUGGUCCAAAGAACAACCAAUCUCUAGAACAAACAACCAAUUUGAAUAAUAUUUAAAUACUCUAGAGUCAACACCUUUUUGAAAACUUUGGAAGAAUUGUAGAGAGAAUUCAUAGAAACUGAUUUUCUUAUUUCUCUUGUUAACUUGUAAUUACAUCAUUACAGUGCUUAUAAAUCUGCACCUACAGCAUAACCACUUCUUAUCAGCCUAACCACAUUCUAACAGACUAAAAAAUUAGAGUGGCACGUGGAUAUACUCUAUCAGACCCCCGCAAGCUCAUGGGAGAGAGGCUUGAGCAUGAGAUUGGAGUAGUGAUAAUUGAAUUGAGGUGAGCACAAGCCUUUCGUUAGGAUGUUAGCAACUUGCUGAGAAGAGGAAACAUGUUGAAGCUGGAUUUCACCGCGUGUGACCUUCUCACGAAUAAAGUGACAGCCAACUUCUAUAUGCUUAGCACGAGAAUGCAUAAUAGGAUUAGUAGAGAGGGCCAUAGCAGACAGAUUGUCACAGUAAAGAAGAGGAGAUUUGGCAAGAGGAAAGGAGAGAUCUGUCAACAACUGCUGUAACCACACAAUUUUAGCAGCAGUGGCAGCUAUGACACGAUAUUCUGCCACGGUGGAAGAUCUAGAAACAAAUUGCUGUUUCUUAGAACUCCAAGAAAUGGGAUUGGAGCCUAAGAAAAUAACAUAACCAGUUGUAGAGCGCCUAUCAUUGGGAUCACUAGCCCAAUCAGCAUCGGUGAAAGCAUGAAGAUCCAAAGAACCCUUGUGAAAUGUCAAUCCAUGAUGCAUGGUACCCUUAAGAUACCUAAGAAUUCGUUUCACAGCAAGGUAAUGAGUCUCAAGAGGAGAGUGCAUAAAUUGGCAAACCUGAUUUACGGAAUAAGCAAUGUCAGGCCUCGUGAAAGUCAAAUAUUGCAAAGCACCAACUAGACUUCGUAAUGAGCAGGAUCAGAAAAGAGGAGAUUGUCAUCUCCAAGAAGCUUGUGAUUAGGAUGAGAAGGAGUGACACAAGGCUUGAAUUCAAAAAGGUUGGCUUUAAACAAAACAUCCUUGAUGUAUUUAGACUGAGUCACAGAAAUACCAGCAUAUGUAUACUGAAUGUGCAGGCCAAGGAAAUAAUGAAGAUGUCCAAGAUCAGUCUUAUCAAACUCCUUGGAUAAUAAAGUGAUCACAUAAGCAAUUGCAGCAGGGGAAGAACCAGUCAAGAUAAUAUCAUCGACAUACAAAAGCAAUAAAACCAAAGAGGUGGCAUCUUGCUUAACAAAGAGAGAGGGAUCAGCUUGAGAGGUACGAAAUCCAAUACAAGGAAGAUAAUUGGUAAACCUUUCAUUCCAAGCUCGAGGAGCUUGCUUGAGACCAUAUAAAGAUUUAUCCAAUCAGCAAACAUGAUGAGGAUAGAGAGGAUCAACAAAACCUUGUGGUUGAGACAUGUAGACUUCCUCUUUGAGAAUGCCAUGAAGAAAGGUAUUUUUGACAUCUAAUUGGUGAAGUUUCCAGCCAAAAGUUGCAGCUAAGGCUAAUACCAAACGGACAGUGGUAUGUUUCACCACAGGACUAAAAGUCUCUGCGUAAUCCAAGCCAGCCUCUUAAGAAAAACCUUUGGCAACAAGUCUGGCCUUAUAUCUAGCCAUUGAACCAUCUGGAUUUCGCUUUUAGCCUAUAAACCCACUUGCAACCUACCAGAUUUCUAUUAGUAGGCAAAGGUACCAAAUGCCAACUGCGUUGCUUUUGUAAAGCAUCAAAUUAAUCUUGCAUAGCCUGCUGCCACUUAGACUUUUUUACUCCAGAAGCAUAAGUGGAAGGUUCUGUAACAGAGAGAUCUGAAGAGGCUUGAACAGCUGAUAGGAACACCUUUUCCUUGACAAUGCCAGAUUUUCUCCUAGUCUGCAUAGAUGAACAUUGGGAGGUGUUGAUGAUUGGCUCAAAAAUAGUCAAAAGCAAAACUGCUUUCGGCUGGCAGAUAUCUUGCGGUGCUUUCGGCUAGCAGACAAAUUGGAGACAAUUAAUGGCUAGCAUUGAUGGCUUACUUUUACUUUUUUGACUUGUGUGUUUUGCUUUUGCCGUUGGGUGGUUGAAGAGCAAAUGUUUGGCUUAUAAAAGGGAACAUGCAUUUGGGAAAAAUGUAGAGCGGAAAGCACCGAGAGUUGAUGAGAGAAGAGAGAAGUUGGGAGAGAGAAAAAUAAUAGUUUGGGCAACUAAGCUUUUGUUGCUAUUGUUGAUUAUUUUUCCCUCUCUAAAUUGUACUCAAUUUGUAUCCCCUUUAUAUUCUUGAGUGUGUGAGCUUGGGUAUAUUUGGGGCUUGGGUUUUCUGAGUGGUUAAACACUAUUGUAUUCUCUCAUUGAUUAUAGUGGAAUACUCCGUCGUCUCCAAACUGGAUGUAGGCAAUUGCCGAACCAGUAUAAAUCUUGGUGUUGUUCUUGUUGAUUUUUUUUGUUCAAUUUUUCUCCUGCCUGUCGUUAUUUAUUUUUCACUCGCAGUUGGUUGACGCUUCCGCACAACAAGUGGUAUCAGAGCUCCAGUUUUUCGACUGGGGUUUCGUGGGAGUGAAAAAUCUGUUGGUGCUACAGUGACGAGUGAAUAGUGCACGUGAAUAGUGUCGGUGCUACAGUGCCCCCCGUGAAUAGUGCUGUGCUACAGUAGCAGUGAAUAGUGCCAGGCAGAUUUGAUGGCUGGAGAAAAAGUUGAAAUUUUGAAGGAAAAGGAAUCGACAUCGUCUUCGUCGGCACCUACAUCCAAUAGACAUCCAAUUGCCAGUACAAGGUUAGAGGUUGAUAAAUUUAAUGGCUCCAAUAAUUUUGGUAUGUGGCAAUGUGAAGUUAUGGAUGUGUUGUAUCAACAAGAGUUGGAUAUGGUUCUGGAGGAUAAACCAGAAGAUAUUGAUGACAAGCAGUGGACUCGAAUUAAUCUCCAUACUUGUGCCACUAUUCGAUCAUUCCUUGAUAAGGAGUUGAAAUACCCGUAUAAGAAGGAAACUUCUGCUAAGAAGUUAUGGAUGAAAUUGGAGGAGAAGUAUAUGACCAAGAGCGCAGAAAAUCGGCUCUUCUUGAAGAAACGACUCUUCCGAUUUCAAUAUCGUUCAGGUAUUUCUAUGCAUGAACACCUCAAUGAUUAUAAUAAAAUACUGGCUGAUUUAGCAAAUCUUGAUGUGAUAAUUCCUGACGAGGAUAAGGCACUAUGUUUGUUAAAUUCAUUGCCUGAUGAUUAUGAUCAUUUGACAACUACUUUGUUGUAUGGAAAAUCCGAGGUGAAACUGGAUGAGGUGUCUGCGGCAUUGGUGAAUCAUGAGUGUCGAAAGAAGGAACAGAAGACUCAAAAUUCACAAACCGAGGCACUUGUUGCAAGGGGUCGAACAGAGGAAAGAAAAUCUGGGAAGCGGGGAAAAUCUCGUUCAAAGUCACGAGGGGAAGUUUCCUGCUAAAGAUGAAUGUGCCUUUUGUCGCCAAAAGGGUCAUUGGAAGAAAGACUGCCCCCAAAUUGAAGAACAAAGAGAAGGAGAAAGCCGGUUCUGAAGCAAAUGUUGCAAAAUCUGGAGAUGUUGAUUUCGAGUUUGCUUUGGCUAGUUCAUCUGCUGAUGGUCACUCAACUGAGUGGAUUUUGGAUUCAGGUUGCACCUAUCAUAUGUGUCCCAUUCGGGAAUGGUUUUCUAGCUUCGAGGAGCUGGAUGAUGGAGUUGUUUUGAUGGGCAAUAAUAAUGCCUGCAAAACACAAGGGAUAGGCAAAAUCCGUUUGAAGAUGCAUGAUGGAACAGUCAGAGAAUUAAGUGAUGUUCGGUAUGUACCGGAUAUGAAGAAGAAUCUCAUCUCAUUGGGCGCUUUGGAAUCCAAGGGUCUCAAGAUCACCAUGGAGGGUGGAGUUCUUAAAGCUGUGUACGGGGCACUGGUGGUGAUGAAAGGUACAAGACGAAAUAACUUGUAUUUCUUGCAGGGUAGUACAGUUAUUGGUGGAGCAGCUGUCACCGAAGCUGCUGACGCAGAUAGCACAGACACCACAAGGUUAUGGCAUAUGCGUCUUGGGCAUGCUGGUGAAAAAGCGUUGCAAGGAUUGGUGAAGCAAGGCUUAUUGAAAGGUGCAAAGGCAUGCAAAUUGGAAUUCUGUGAACAUUGUGUGCUGGGUAAGCAAACUAGAGUGAAAUUUGGCACUGCUAUUCACCACACUAAGGGCAUUCUAGAUUAUGUUCACACUGAUGUUUGGGGACCUUCCAAGAAUGCAUCUUGGGGAGGUAGCCAUUAUUUUGUCUCCUUUGUUGAUGACUUCUCUAGAAGAAUAUGGGUGUACACCAUGAAGCGUAAAGAUGAAGUCUUGAAGAUAUUCCUGAAGUGGAAAAAGAUGAUUGAAACGCAAAGCGGUCGAAAGAUCAAGACUCUCAGAUCAGACAAUGGUGGUGAAUAUAAGUCUGAUCCUUUCUUGAAAGUUUGUCAAGAUGAGGGUAUUGUGAGGCACUUCACGGUUAGGGAGACACCGCAACAGAAUGGGGUGGCAGAGCGCAUGAACCGUACUUUGCUUGAGAAAGUUCGGUGUAUGUUGUCUAAUGCUGGUUUAGGCAAGGCGUUUUGGGCUGAGGCGAUUACUUAUGCAAGCCAUCUCAUUAAUCGGUUGCCUGCUGUUGCGAAUGAGGGCAAAACGCCCAUGGAGGUAUGGUCUGGUAAACCUUGUACUGAUUACAAGUAUUUACACAUAUUUGGUUGUCCUGCUUACUAUCAUGUCAGGGAAAGCAAGUUAGAUCCAAGAGCAAAGAAAGCUCUAUUUAUGGGAUUUAGCACUGGCGUGAAGGGAUACCGACUUUGGUGUCCAGAUGAGAAGAAAUUUGUUGUAAGCAGAGAUGUGACUUUUGAUGAGGCUGCUAUGGUAAAUCAGAACAAGCAUGAAGGUGAAAUUGAAGCGACUAAGACCAUGAGUAGUUCAAAGCAGGUGGAGUUACUGAAGACUCCAGUUGUUCCAGUAAGGUCUUAUACUACAGACACUAGUCCUACAGUUGAUUCUGAUGAAGAGGACGAGGAUGAUGAAGAGGAGGCACCUACCCAAGAGCCUCCACAGCAACAAGAUUCUAUUGCAAUCAGAAGAUCGAGAAGGGAGAUUCGAAAGCCUGUUCGAUUUACUGAUAUUGUGGCAUAUGCACUUCCCGUUAUUGAAGAUGAUAUUCCAUCCGCCUACAAAGAAGCUGUCAGAAGUUCAGAGAGCGUGGAGUGGAAGAAAUCUAUGGAUGAGGAGAUGAAGUCUCUUCAUAAAAAUGAGACUUGGGAGCUGGUUCAGUUACCAAAGGGGAAGAAAGCAAUUGGUUGCAAAUGGGUUUAUGCCAAGAAGAUGGAAUCUUUGGGAAAAGACAAUGUGAGAUUCAAAGCCAGAUUAGUAGCUAAAGGAUAUGCUCAGAAGGAAGGCAUUGACUACAAUGAGGUAUUUUCUCCUGUAGUAAAACAUUCCUCUAUUCGUAUUUUGUUGGCUUUGGUUGCGCAGUUUGACCUUGAGUUGGCUCAACUUGAUGUCAAGACUGCAUUCUUACAUGGUGAUUUGGAGGAAGAAAUUUAUAUGUCUCAGCCAGAAGGUUUUAAGGUUGCUGGAAAAGAAAAUUGGGUUUGCAAAUUGCAAAAAUCAUUGUACGGCUUGAAGCAGUCUCCAAGACAAUGGUAUAAGCGAUUUGAUCGGUUUAUGAUCGGGCAGAAGUACACAAGAAGUCAUUAUGACCAUUGUGUAUACUUUCGCAAGCUACAAGAUGGAACCUUCAUCUAUCUGCUUUUAUAUGUUGAUGAUAUGCUUAUAGCAUGUAAAAGCAAAGUGGAGAUUGAAAGGUUGAAGACUCAACUGAGUAAUGAAUUUGAGAUGAAGGACUUAGGAGAAGCUCGGAAGAUACUGGGUAUGGAAAUUGAAAGAGAUAGAGCGAAGGGCAAGAUUAGUCUGUGUCAAAAGCAGUAUUUGAAGAAGGUACUACAGCGUUUCGGGAUGAAUGAAAAUUCAAAACCGGUUAGUACACCUCUUGCCCCUCAUUUCAAACUUAGUGCUUCUAUGUCUCCUAAAACUGGUGAAGAGAGUCAUUACAUGGCUCAAAUUCCAUAUGCAAGUGCUGUUGGUAGUUUGAUGUAUGCUAUGGUGUGUACGAGGCCUGAUAUUUCACAAGCUGUUAGUAUUGUCAGUAGAUAUAUGCAUAAUCCAGGAAAAGGGCAUUGGCAAGCUGUGAAAUGGAUUCUACGGUAUAUUCUGGGUACUGUGGAUGUUGGUUUAUUGUUUCAGCAUGAUAAAGUUACUGGUCAAUGUGUUGUUGGAUAUGUGGAUUCUGAUUACGCAGGUGAUUUGGACAAGCGUAGGUCCACUACAGGUUUUGUAUUCACUAUUGCUGGAGGUCCAGUGAGUUGGAGGUCGAUUCUACAAUCUACAGUUGCUCUGUCGACUACGGAGGCUGAAUACAUGGCGGUAACAGAAGCUAUAAAGGAAGCCAUCUGGCUUCAAGGAUUGCUUGAUGACUUGGGGAUUGAACAGGACCAUGUGGAUGUUCAUUGUGACAGUCAGAGUGCUAUUUAUUUAGCAAAGAAUCAAGUUCAUCAUGCACGUACAAAACACAUUGACGUGAGGUUCCAUUUUGUUCGUGAGAUUAUUGACGAGGGAAAUAUUCUUCUUCAGAAGAUUGGGACCGCUGAGAAUCCUGCGGAUAUGUUGACAAAGCCAGUUUCGUUGCUCAAGUUUAAGCAUUGCUUAGACUUAAUUGGCAUUUGUAAAGUUUGUUGAUUGCCCCAUGGGGGAUUGGGAGACGACCAUUCAGAGUGUUGCUUCGAGGUUUUGAGCCAAGGUGGAGAUUGUUGAUGAUUGGCUCAAAUGCAAUCUUUUGGCCUAGGAAGGCAGUAUGUACAGAAGAAGGAAGAGGCAUAGGAUAGAGACCAUUAUGACUGAGGCCCAAGAAAAGAAUUUGCCCUGUCCGCUUGUCCUGUAUGGUUAAACGAAACUCAUCAAAAAUACAUUGGCAUUUGUUAUCAGCACACAAUUGAUGAACAGAUAAUAAACUCUAUGAUAACGGGGGGCAUAUGUAGAACAUUGGUAAGUUGGAGAGAACUUGUAGGAGUAGGAAUUGAAGAAUAACUAAUAUGAGCAAUAGCUAAACCUGGUCCAUUUGCAGCAGUAAUGGUCUCAGAACCAAUAUAUGAAGUAGGAGCAGACAAAUUCCCAAAUUCAGUCGUCAUAUGGUUGGUUGCACCAGUAUCAGCAAUCCAAACCUCAGUGGAGGGUGAAGAGGAACAAGCCUGAGCAGCCAUGGCAGUCAUUGGAGUAGAGUGUGAGGAACUAAAAGGAACACUUCUCAAUAGAAACAUGUCAUGGCAGUAUGAUUUGUUUUCAAACAAAUUUGACAUGGUUCAGCCUCAGAGUGAGAUGGAAUUGUAGAUCGAAAACGACAAGUAGCAGCGAUAUGACCCUUUUUCUGACAAAUUCGACAAAUAAGCACAGGAGGACCAUAACUGUUUCAAAAAGGUUGAUGAGGCUUACCAAGAAUACAUUGAGCACCAUUACCAAACUGAGGAGGAGAAUUGGAGAAUUGCUGAGGAGGAUUAGAAUAAGACUGAUUCUUGGGAUAAAAGCGUGAACUAUUAGGGUAGCCAUGUUGAUUAUAGAACAUCUUGCCUUUGCCUUCAUCUUGAAAUCCAUAGGAAGAAUUAUGAGACCCGUAAGGCAUAGGGGAAUAAGGAACAGAAUUCAUACCAGACCCAUGAGGAAUUCUGAGUCGCGACAGCCAUAGCAGACAUGAUUGGAACAUUGUGAGUAGAUUCCUCAAUUGUGGCCUCCUCGGCCUUCAAUUGAGAUCGAAGAUCUUUCAAAGAAAUACCAUGAUCACGACCUCGAAUCACAACCUUGACCGUAUUAUAUUCAGAAGGUAAGCCUUUGAGAACCAAAAUGGCAGUAUCAUCAUCUGGAAUUUCAAAGCCAACAGCAGAAAGCUGAUCACAAACAUCCUUGAUUUUCUGAACAUAUUGAUCAAUAGUUUCCAAGCCUUUCUUGAUAUUCUGAAGAUCAGGCUAUAAUUGGAAAAUGCUUGCUCUAGUAACACUUGCAAAUCGUUCACGAAGAUUGACCCACAUGGCGUUAGAGGUUGAGCAACCUAUAACACACGAAAUAGCCGAGGGCAACAACGUCGCAGUAAUCAAAGUCAUGAGUGAUGUGUCCUGAAUCGUCCAAAUCGUGAAUGCGUCGAAAAGAACAGAGCCAUCCUCCGUGACCAAGAAUUGAGGCGAGCAUUUGAAUGAACCAUUGAUGAACCCUAGAAUUCUAUUUCCACGCAGCAAGAGCUCCAUUUGAAAAUUCCAAGUGACAUAAUUUGUAUCAUCUAGUUUAACAGAAAUAGUGUUACCAACACUAGAAAUCAAGGAAGAAAUUGGGGAUUGAGUUAGGGCUAACUGACCUAUUGUUACCAAAUAAAAAUGGAUAGAAUAAAUAAGAUAGCAGAGUAAAUUCAACCAAAAACAAAUACCAUAAAAUAUGUAAAAAGAAGAUGCACAAAAGGAUGGAGGUGGGGUGAGAGUGGGCCUGGAGCCUAACAGAGGGUGCCGGCACGUGGAACCCAAGCACAGACAAACGGAGCGCCAUCUGCUGCUCUGAUAAGCCAGCAUUCUUUGUUGCACACAAAGACGUCUACUUCGUUGUCAGCGACGGAAGACCUCUACCUAAUUACAGGCAAAGCGGCAUUUUGCAAAGCCACCUCUCCCACUCUCCAUUCUGCGACAGGAGUUGGAAGCCCACAAUCUCGCCCCACAACCCCAAAGCAUCUCUGGCCAAAUUUGCGCCUCGCAUAUGACGUCUGACACCGAUUUCAUGCGGACGACCAUAAAAUAUGUAAAAAGAAGAUGCACAAAAGGAUGGAGGUGGGGUGAGAGUGGGCCUGGAGCCUAACAGAGGGUGCCGGCACGUGGAACCCAAGCACAGACAAACGGAGCGCCAUCUGCUGCUCUGAUAAGCCAGCAUUCUUUGUUGCACACAAAGACGUCUACUUCGUUGUCAGCGACGGAAGACCUCUACCUAAUUACAGGCAAAGCGGCAUUUUGCAAAGCCACCUCUCCCACUCUCCAUUCUGCGACAGGAGUUGGAAGCCCACAAUCUCGCCCCACAACCCCAAAGCAUCUCUGGCCAAAUUUGCGCCUCGCAUAUGACGUCUGACACCGAUUUCAUGCGGACGACGUUACACACUCUUCCCUUCCAUGCCAUCCUUAUUGCCCCCACUUUGGGUCACAAGUCAGCGUGACUUGACUCGGCAAUGGAGUCUCGUAGAACUGAUCAUAUAAAUAGCACCACCGAAGUAUAAUUUGUCGAUGUGGGACAAAAUUGCGCGGCCUGGCGAGUUUCUUUGUAUUUUUUUUUUCCCACUUGAAAAAGAGUAAGUGGGUUUGUUGUCGGGGCGGAGCUAGGAUUUUAUAUUUGAGGGGGCCAAAAUGUUAAACACAAAAAGUUUAGUUGUGUUGUAAAUGUGGAGCCCAAAUGCCUAUAAAUAGGGCUUCUCCAUUUGUAACAAAACACACAAUAAGAAGAGAAAAACUUCUCUCUCUCUCCAUCAAAAAAAAAAUAAAAAUGGAACGAGGUAAUUCCAUUAUAAAUGGGAAUGAACGUGAAAGAACAAACCCACAAUACGAACCCCAAAAUUUGUUAAUACUGAAUUUAUACUUGGGUGUUCGGAAUAAAAGGGAAUAUACCUACUUUGUAUGACACACUGUUUUCUAGCAGAAACAAGAAAUAUGUGGCAUACCACAAUUUGCAAUAAUACCUCAAGGGUUGUCUAUUUAAUUGUUGGAACUUCAGGUUCUCAACACUGUUAAAUUUUGAACUUCAGGCCAAAGCCACAUAUUCUCAUGGUAUGGACAUUUUUACAAUUUUCUGUACAUAUUUCGGGACUUCAAGCCCUUACAUAAUUGUCCAUAUUUUGAGGAACUUCUGGCAUCUCAUUUAAUUGCUCAUCCAUGAGUUUAAGGAACUGCAGGUUCCCUUUUGUAUAUAGUGACGGUUUACCCAAAAUGGUUCAUAUUUAUGCAUACGUCACUAUUCAUGUGAAUAGUACUAUAUCGUGGCCGUCACCAUGGGUCUAUCAGAGUUUAGACUUAUGCUCAGGCUUCCAACUGGGACCGCGACAGGAUGGAGAUCCCAAAUUUUCUCUAUCGAAGUCUGGCCUGUUUUGCAUCUCAGGUAGGUCUGGAAAGUUGCAAUUCCCAUAAGUGACAGUCUUCCAUCCUCAAAACUGCGUAAGUUCCAUUAGCAAGUUCAAUCAAAGCGGACACCGCCGCUCAUCGCCGGGCAACCACCUCUGCCUCUGCCUCUGGAAUCCACAGAUCUCAAAAACCUCAUGAAUUCCAACUUCGACUUCGAUCUGGGUCUCGGAUCGAGUCGACCUAAAUCGCUCAACGACCAGAAGAAGAAAACCUCUUCCUUUUCCUCCACCGCGACGGGGCAAUCCAGACCCCCCUGGCAACCCCGUACUGAUCACGUUCUUUGUAAGCCACGGAGAGCAGGUUGCGCUCCUCCACUGUCAGCUCACCGGCGGGGGUUGCGCCAGAGGAGGCGGACGGAAUCGAAAGCUCGGCCGAAAGGUAGCUCAUCUUCCUGCCCAGUUUGGAUAAAUCAGGGGGCGGAUCGAAAUCGGAAGAGGGUGUGGAUUUCUUGCCUCAUUCCUUCCAAGUAUCGUCCUCUUCGUCGUCUACGACAUCGUCCAGGUCGUCAGUGAUCUACAUGAACAGCAAGCAUAGCCCAUCUGCAGUGAAUGAGCUCAGACUCCUUGGACCUCUCUAAGUUUUCUGGCACUUCUCCUAGCCGAAGUGGGUGAGCAUAGGAAUUGGGGUGUGGUUGAGGCCAAAGAAACUAGAAAGAAGCUUGAGGGAGCAAGGCCUUACGGGCAAUUCCUACAAGCUUUUGUUUGGAGACACCAAAGAGAGCUCAAUGAUGCUGGAUUGAGUUUUGGGGUUGAAUUGGUGCAGUGACUCAGAGAUGACUUUGUGAGAGAAAAUAUUGAAGCAGAUGGAAUUCAUCCGAACACUCCCCCUUGGAGACCACAAGCGAAUUCGUGCUGAUAACGUGUUAUAAAUCAAGAGGAAUUGGAGAGGGAAUUGAGAGAGAAUUUAGAUGGAGAGAGAGAGAAGUUUUUCUCUUCUUAUUGUGUGUUUUGUUACAAAUGGAGAAGCCCUAUUUAUAGGCAUUUGGGCUCCACAUUUACAACACUCCCCCUUGGAGACCACAAAUGAUACAGAAUAUGUCUCGUUAAAAACCUUGCCAGUAAAAACCCAGUGGGACAAAAACUGGUCAAAGGGAAAAAGAGUACAUAAUCAUGUGUAAUAUAAAAUUCUAUGUAUAUUGACGCGCGUGCGACACUGCCUCGUUAAAACCUUGCCAGGAAAAAUCCAGUGGGAUAAAAACCUGGACGAAGGAAAAAGAGUACAGUGUUUGAAGAUCUUUAUUGAUAGCGCGCUCCCCCUGAUGCUUGGCAAAAUAUCUUUAAGUCAUACUGUUGUUCACCUUUCUGAAUAUCGUAGUUGACACUGCUUCUGUGAGUCAAUCUUGAGUGACACUGCCUCGUUAAAACCUUACCAGGAAAAACCCAGUGGGAUAAAAACCUGGAUGAAGGAAAAAAAGUACAGUGUAUGAAGGUCUUUAUUAAAACCAUGCUCCCCCUGAUGAAUAUCUCCCCCUGAAAAAUUUAGGACUAGCUUUUGUCCAGUAAGCGACUAUAGAAAUUUUCAUAGUAUACCCUAAACCCUUGAGCUACACUGCCUCGUUAAAACCUUACCAGGAAAAACCCAAUGGGAUAAAAACCUGGAUGAAGGAAAAAGAGUACAGUGUGGAGCUGAGCUCUAUCUGGUCUAGUAUACUUCCGGAAAAAUAUUUAAGGACCAACGGAUAAGACUCAUAAAAAUACUUCAAUACUUUGUUAGUAUAAGCAAGAAUCUCGUUGGCAUAAUGCUCAGUCGAGACAAAUAUUUCGUGAAUUCUGCAGAAGCUUUAAUGUGUUGCAAUCACAUUAUAAUCAAUGUACUCACUGAGGUAAUUUAUGCAUAUUAAUCUUGAGUACAAAUUUUGUGCUUCAAGCACAUGUCCUUUAGGGACUUGCUUUAUGCAAUGUCAAUCCUCUCAACGGAUUUUGUUUAAAAAGGGGAUUAAACUUUAUGACACAUUAUAUAGCUUUAACCCAGCUAUUUAUACAUCUUUAGGGAAUCUCUUCUGGCGAUAUGCUCCGUGCAUUUAAUAACCCUUAAAGAUAAUAUGUUGGUCUCCGUAAUUGUGUAAUAAGGGGGGGCACAAUUGAAUCUGUAAAUAUGGAGAAAACCCAACAUUCCUUGUUUCUGCUAGAAAACAGUGUGUCAUACAAAGUAGGUAUAUUCCCUUUUAUUCCGAACACCCAAGUAUAAAUUCAGUAUUAACAAAUUUUGGGGUUAGUAUUGUGGGUUUGUUCUUUCACGUUCAUUCCCAUUUAUAAUGGAAUUACCUCGUUCCAUUUUGGCCAAUGAUAUUGUCGACAUUUAAUAAUUGAACGUGGUUCCAAUCAACACAGCCCAUUGAUGAUUUGAGUAGCUACUCCAAAACCAAAAAUUGUCAUUCAUCAAUUCAUGAUCCCAUCAUUCUCAUUUGCAUGCGCGUGCAUCAAUUAUAAGCAUUUCUUUGCUUUUGGGUACCCAAGCCACUGCAGGGGGCUUUUAUUAUGUGAGAAUGUGGAUUAUAACCUCCAAUGGAGCGUUAUUUUAUAGUAGGGCGUGGAUAAUCUCCAUUUAGGGAGUUGGAACAUUUAGAACCCAUAUAUCUGUCAUGCUGCAGGCAUGCCACAGAUUAAUACAUACAUGUCAAUUAAUUUAUGGGACUUUAACCCAUAUAAUUUGCUACGCAUUAGGCGUGCAUAAUAUCAAUAUUGACAUGUCAAAGGAUUGUCCUUUCGGGACUUCAAUCCAUAUCAUUUGCUACGCAACAGGCGUGCACCCAUAUAUCUGUCAUGCUGCAGGCAUGCCACAGAUUAAUACAUACAUGUCAAUUAAUUUCUGGGACUUUAACCCAUAUUAUGGGACUUUAACCCAUAUAAUUUGCUACGCAUUAGGCGUGCAUAAUAUCAAUAUUGACAUGUCAAAGGAUUGUCCUUUCGGGACUUCAAUCCAUAUCAUUUGCUACGCAACAGGCGUGCAUCAUAUUGAUCACUGCUAUACCCAUAUUCUGUUCUUAUGGUACAUUAAUCUGUGCAGUGUAUUAUCAAUGUAUCCAACUUGCAAUCUGUAAAAUUUGCAUUAAUAAUUCAUGGAUACAUACAAGCCAUUCUUUUGGAACGGACUUAUCUUCCCAUUCGGUUACCUUUCAAGAUAAAAUAUCAAAUAGGUAUAUAAGCAUAAAAUAACACAAGUAUUGCUUACAUCCUUAGGUGGGAGAAACUUUUCUCAAGUAUCAUUCAAGCUCGUAUCGGCCCAGUAAAUAUAAAGUAUCGCUUGAUGAUCUUGUUAUAAACGGAAAAAGAAGAGGAAAGAAACAAAGAAGAGGAGAGGAAAGAGAGAAGAGAGAAGAGGAAAGAGAAGAGGAAAGAAAGAAGGGGAAAGAGAAAAGAGGAAAGAGAGAAAAGGAAAGAGACAAGAGGAAGAGAAGGAAGAAAGAGGAAAGAGAGAGCAGAGAGAAAUUCUCCUAGAGAGAAACUUCAGUGAGCCACACAUAUUGUAAACACUAAAGUUGUAGCCCUAUUAUUUUACAUAGUGAAAAAGUUACUACUGCUGCUCUCCGGGGACGUAGGCAUAGCCGAACCUCGUUAAAUACUGUGUCUCAUCUACUUUACGUGCAGCUCAAUAUUCGCACAUAUUCCAGGUCAUUUUAUAACACGUUAUCAGCACGAGAAGCUCUCAGGUAUAAUUUUUGUGCUGCACUAUUAUUUAUACUACUAACCAUUAUGUUGAUGUAAAGAAGAAAAGCCAACGCAUCUAGCUUUCCACUAAUAUAUCAGUAUAAUAUAUAUAUAUUAUAUAUAUGAAAAGUUGAUGGUAAUAUAAUAUACUAUAUUUAUCUGCUUUUCUAUUACUAACCACUAACAAAAAUGGACCCUUGAUAAUACUAAACAUAUUAUCAGUGGGAGACCGUUACUAAUACUAACAUUUUUCUUAUUUUAUUCGGUGGUGGUUUUAACCCCAUAUUUAUUUUAUUUACUGUAUGGUGUAGGUUUAUUACCCAUACAACAGUAUUUAUUUAAAAGGGUGGUGCGGGUUUAUCGUCCACGCCUUUGCUUUUAUUUAAAUCUAUGGAGCAGAAUUAGUGCCCAUACAAGCACGUUUACUUUAUCGCAAAUUUACUUUUACUUAAAGUAUUAUUUAUGGUAUGGUGUAGGUUUAUUACCCAUACGGCAAUAUUUAUUUAAAGGGUGGUGCAGGUUUAUCAUCCACGCCUUUGCUUUUAUUUAAAUGUAUGGAGCAGAAUUAGUGCCCAUACAAGCACGUUUACUUUACCGCACAUUUAAUUUUAUUUAAGGUAUGGUGCGGGAUUAACGUCCAUACAGCAAGCUAUUUAAUUUGUUUAAGGUAUGGUGUGGGAUUAACGUCCAUACAGCAAGCUAUUUAAUUUAUUUAAAGUGUGGUGCGGGUUUAUCGUCCAUACAACAGUAUUUAUUUAAAAGGGUGGUGCGGGUUUAUGGUCCACGCCUUUACUUUUAUUUAAAUGUAUGGAGCAGAAUUAAUGCCCAUACAAGCACCUUAACUUUAUGAAUUUAAUUUACCGCACAUUUACAUUUAUUUAAAGUGUGGUGCGGGUUUAUCGUCCAUACCAGUAAUUUAUUUAUCAGCAAUUUAUUUUAUGGAUUAAUUCUGCUGUAUGAUGAGUUUUUACAGUAUGCAGAUCAGGACCAGAAGUUCCUUGAUCCUCAUCAUACAAUUACAUCAGGACUUGAAGAUCCUUGAUGAUGAUAUUAAUAUGAGAGCUGGCAGUCUCUCCGGUACUGUAUUUGUAAACAUGUGAUCGGACUUAAGGGUCCUUGAUCCCUGACAUGUAAAUAAAGCUUCUCAAGAGUUCCUUAAUGAUGUAACAGUACCGUAUUGGUUCAUAGUGCCAUACACAUUGAUGAUAACUGUACUGGCAGAUGAAUAGAUACGUAUUCAUGACUUGAUGAAUAGUACUAUUCACAUGAAUAGUGACGUAUGCAUAAAUAUGAACCAUUUUGGGUAAACCGUCACUAUAUACAAAAGGAAACCUGCAGUUUCAUGGUGCCGUACACAUUGAUGAUAACUGUACUGGCAGAUGAAUAGAUACGUAUUCAUGACUUGAUGAAUAGUAUUAUUCACAUGAAUAGUGACGUAUGCAUAAAUAUGAACCAUUUUGGGUAAACCGUCACUAUAUACAAAAGGGAACCUGCAGUUCCUUAAACUCAUGGAUGAGCAAUUAAAUGAGAUGCCAGAAGUUCCUCAAAAUAUGGACAAUUAUGUAAGGGCUUGAAGUCCCGAAAUAUGUACAGAAAAUUAUAAAAAUGUUCAUACCAUGAGAAUAUGUGGCUUUGGCCUGAAGUUCAAAAUUUAACAGUGUUGAGAACCUGAAGUUCCAACAAUUAAAUGGACAACCCUUGAGGUAUUAUUGCAAAUUUUGGUAUGCCACAUAUUUCUUUGGCAUAAGAAGAUGAUGAAUUUAAAGUUCGAUUUUGUUAUAAUCGACACCUCAAGGAAGAAAUAUAUUUUGUGAAUUCCGGUUGUUAAGAAUACACCGCGAAAUGGAUAAUAUCAAUAUAAACCUCAAAUAAUGAAUUGAGGCUCCCCACAUAUUUUGUUAUAUCUGGGCUGGAAGCCCAUGGAUCCAAAUAUAUGAGAGAUCCUGAACUUGAAGUUGUGGGUAUAUGGUAGUUAAUGCUCUUCACUACUAUAUUGCGAUAUUAUCAUGGCUUUUACUCAAUUCACAUUUCAUGUCCAUUUGAAAAGGGCAAAUAAAUUAUGAGUUUGUGCCCAGGCCAAAAGUUCCGGGCUACCAUGCAAUUUGGGAGAGACAAUGUGGUUAUUUGAACCUAUAAGGCACAAGGUUCCAAACCGUCAUUUUGAAAAGACGUAAAAACCACAGGUGCAAGUUUAAGAAUGUGCGCAAUUAUUAUUACAGGAACAUACAACAGAUAAAUUUUUUCCACCUGCAAUGAAGGUGCAGGCCCUGUAAAAUCUAUAAAAUUACAUUAUGUUCUGGAAGCCUCUGAAGGAAGAGUACGGCGCCUCUUAAGCUUGGCCAUGAGCUUCUCGUGGUCUCCCAAAAUUCUUUCAUUGGAUACCUGCAGCAUGUCUGGCCUUCUCAGUGUAUCAACGGAGUACGAACUCACCAGUUUCAGGAAGGAAUUAUUCUCCCCUUUAAGUUUCUCAACCUCCUGUUGAGACUCAUGAAGCAUUCUUUGAAGAGACGAAUUUUCAGUUGUCAGCUUCUCAACCUCGUUUGCUCUAGCACGCAAACGAUCAGCCAUGUUAGAAACAGAAGCAGCACUCUGAAUGCUAAAAGCCAUUGAGUCAUCAAUAGCCUCUUCCUCAGACCUCCCUGUUAACAGCAUUUCAUCCAUUGGAGUAAUGAAAUUCCUAGCUACUAUGACAGCAGUAGCAUCAUUCAUCAUCACAGAAUCAUUAACUCUGAGAUGACGAUUUUGGGAUACAAAGGAUGGACGCCAAACUUGGGCAUCAUUGGUAGUUGUGGGAGCAUCAUUUAAAUUGAAAUAAUUUGGGCAGGAAGAAGAGGAAGCCAUUUUUAAGAAGGUUUCGAAGAAAGUCUUAGGAAAACUAAAGUUUCAGAAAAUGAAGAAAUUUGAGUUGAAACGCAGUUGCUCCAAUCAAGUUUUACAAAGGCAAUAUCUAUAGACGAAAAUGUGGCAACAUUUCCAGGAUCCCAAUAUCUUCUCGAAUCCCCAUAUUAUCUUUUUCUUUCCCAGAGUCCAAAACUUCACGUGGCCUCUAAUAAUGCCUGUCGGCACUUUCGGCGUUUUCAAGUAUUAUUUUCGUCAAAGCUGAUCUUGCUUUACGGAUUUCACGGAGCUACUUUUUUAAAAGUAUCCUGAGAAUCUCACAAUUUUCCUAUGGUUAAUUUGAAAUUCACAGGUUCUACCUAUUCAUUGUAUUUGUGUAUAAAUGUGUUACUAACGAAAUUUUCUUUGCAGAAGACAUCCAGCUUACUCCAUACCUAGUGAUGCGAUAUCUACUUAUUUUUCUUAUCAGUGAGCACUUAAUAUGCCCGAGAAGCAAGACUAUCUCUGAUCAUCCAUUCAGGAAGCGAGACUAUCCCUGAUCACGUUUCCGCCACAUCAGGGAACUGUGAAGGCAACCUUAUGCUCUAAUCUCCGGAAGUUCUUCUAAACUAGAAGAAAUGAGAGCUUGUCGUUUGCUCCUACCAGCUUCCUUCCUUGAUUGCUUACCUUACCUUGCAAUCAAUAUCACAAUCUUAUAUACCUAUUUGAUAUUUUAUCUUGAAAGGUAACCAAAUGGGGAGAUAAGUCCGUUCCAAAAGAAUGGCUUGUAUGUAUCCAUGAAUUAUUAACGCAAAUUUUACAGAUUGCAAGUUGGAUACAUUGAUAAUACACUGCACAGAUUAAAGUACCAUAAGAACAGAAUAUGGGUAUAGCAGUGAUCAAUAUGGGUGCACGCCUGUUGCGUAGCAAAUGAUAUGGAUUGAAGUCCCGAAAGGACAAUCCUUUGACAUGUCAAAAUUGAUAUUAUGCACGCCUAAUGCGUAGCAAAUUAUAUGGGUUAAAAUCCCAUAAUAUGGGUUACAAUCCCAGAAAUUAAUUGACAUGUAUGUAUUAAUCUGUGGCAUGCCUGCAGCAUGACAGAUAUAUGGGUUCUAAAUGUUCCAACUCCCUAAAUGGAGAUUUUCCACGCCCUAUGUAAAAUAACGCCCCAUUGGAGGUUAUAAUCCACAUUUUCACAUAAUAAAAGCCCCCUGAAGUGGCUUGGGUACCCAAAAGCAAAGAAAUGCUUAUAAUUGAUGCACGCGCAUGCAAAUGAGAAUGAUGGGAUCAUGAAUUGAUGAAAGACAAUUUUUAGUUUUGGAGUAGCUACUCAAAUCAUCAAUGGGCUGUGUUGAUUGGAACCACGUUCAAUUAUUAAAUGUCGACAAUAUCAUUGGCCAAAAUGGAACGAGGUAAUUCCAUUAUAAAUGAGAAUGAACGUGAAUGAACAAACCCACAAUACGAACCCCAAAAUUUGUUAAUACUGAAAUUUAUACUUGGGUGUUCGGAAUAAAAGGGAAUAUACCUACUUUGUAUGACACAAUGUUUCUGGCAGAAACAAGGAAUGUUGGGUUUUCUCCAUAUUUACAGAUUCAAUUGUGCCCCCCCUUAUUACACAAUUACGGAGACCAACAUAUUAUCUUUAAUGGUUAUUAAAUGCAAGGAGCAUAUCGCCAGAAGCGAUUUCCUAAAGAUAUAUAAAUAGCUGGGUAAAAGCUAUAUAAUGUGUCAUAAAGUUUAAUCCCCUUUUUAAACAAAAUCCGUUGAGAGGAUUGACAUUGCAUAAAGCAAGUCCCUAAAGGACAUGUGCUUGAAGCACAAAAUUUGUACUCAAGAUUAAUAUGCAUAAAUUACCACAGUGAGUACAUUGAUUAUAAUGUGAUUGCAACACAUUAAAGCUUCUGCAGAAUUCAUGAAAUAUUUGUCUCGAUCGAGCAUUAUACCAACGAGAUUCUUGCUUGUACUAAGAAAGUAUUGAAGCAUUUUUAUGAGGAUUAUCCGUUGGACACUUUAAGGAUUUUCCGGAAGUAUACUAGACCAGAUAGAGCUCAGCUCCACACUGUACUCUUUUUCCUUCAUCCAGGUUUUUAUCCCACUGGGUUUUUCCUGGUAAGGUUUUAACGAGGCAGUGUCGCUCAAGGGUUUAGGGUAUACUAUGAAAAUUUUUAUGGUCGCUUACUGGACAAAAGCUAGUCCUAAAUUUUUCAGUUAUAAAAUGACCUGGAAUAUGUGCGAAUAUUGAGCUGCACGUAAAGUAGAUGAGACACAAUAUUUAACGAGGUUCGGCUAUGCCUACGUCCCCGGAGAGCAGCAGUAGUAACUUUUCCACUAUGUAAAAUAAUAGGGCUACAACUUUAGCGUUUACAAUAUGUGUGGCUCACUGAAUUUUCUCUCUAGGAGAAUUUCUCUCUGCUUUCUCUUUCCUCUUUCUUCCUUCUCUUCCUCUUGUCUCUUUCCUUUUCUCUCUUUCCUCUUUUCUCUUUCCCCUUCUUUCUUUCCUCUUCUCUCUUCUCUCUUUCUUUCCUCUUCUUUGUUUCUUUCCUCUUCUUUUUCCGUUUCUCCCUUUCUCUUCUUUUUUUCUCAUUCUUUUCACUUUGCAGGUUGCCUAUUUAUAGGCAUUGAUAAAUGGCACCCGUGAUUCAUCUUCACUAUUCACUAUUCGCCCGUGAAUAAACUCAUGCACCAAAGUCUACAAACAAAUAGUAAGUGGGCUCCACUACUUUAUAUUUUACAACACUCCCCCUUGGAGACCACAAAUAAUAUGUCAGUUGCUUCAUCAGACUUUGCUUGAAGAAAACCUAGUAAGGUAGAGAACUGAUGGAAGGAAGAAAGAAGAGUACAACAAUCUGUAUAGCAUACUUCUGGAUGCUCCCCCUGAUUAAUAUCUCCCCCUGAUGUCUUCAUAACUAUCUUUUGGAGUGAGAAUCUUUCGGAGUGAGUGAAUGAUGUAGCCACCAACAAUUCAUAUAGUAAAUAUAUUUCCAGUGAGCUAUCUCUAUGUAAAUCAAAGAAAUUUUUAGAGUCCGCGUUUCCAACAAAACCUGGGCUAUUUGUAAGAUCAUAUGAAAGAAUAUGCCCAUACAUGGUGUUAUGCGGAGAUAGCAUCAAAUAUACCUCACAUCAUCCCAAAAUGAUGGUGAUGGAGUUGAGCCUUAUCCGGAAAAUAUGAUGUCCGGUCCAAUACACUUCCGGAAAAUCCUUAAAGUGCCCAACGGAUAAUCCUCAUAAAAAUGCUUCAAUACUUUCUUAGUAUAAGCAAGAAUCUCGUUGGCAUAAUGCUCGAUCUUUAAGUCGAGACAAAUAUUUCGUGAAUUCUGCAGAAGUUUUAAUGUGUUGCAAUCACAUUAUAAUCAAUGUACUCACUGAGGUAAUUUAUGCAUAUUAAUCUUGAGUACAAAUUUUGUGCUUCAAGCACAUGUCCUUUAGGGACUUGCUUUAUGCAAUGUCAAUCCUCUCAACGGAUUUUGUUUAAAAAGGGGAAUAAACUUUAUGACACAUUAUAUAGCUUUUACCCAGCUAUUUAUAUAUCUUUAGGAAAUCGCUUCUGGCGAUAUGCUCCUUGCAUUUAAUAACCCUUAAAGAUAAUAUGUUGGUCUCCGUAAUUGUGUAAUAAGGGGGGGCACAAUUGAAUCUGUAAAUAUGGAGAAAACCCAACAUUCCUUGUUUCUGCCAGAAACAUUGUGUCAUACAAAGUAGGUAUAUUCCCUUUUAUUCCGAACACCCAAGUAUAAAUUUCAGUAUUAACAAAUUUUGGGGUUCGUAUUGUGGGUUUGUUCUUUCACGUUCAUUCUCAUUUAUAAUGGAAUUACCUCGUUCCAUUUUGGCCAAUAAUAUUAUCGAAAUUUAAUAAUUGAACGUGGUUCCAAUCAACACAGCCCAUUGAUGAUUUGAGUAGCUACUCCAAAACCAAAAAUUGUCAUUCAUCAAUUCAUGAUCCCAUCAUUCUCAUUUGCAUGCGCGUGCAUCAAUUAUAAGCAUUUCUUUGCUUUUGGGUACCCAAGCCACUGCAGGGGGCUUUUAUUAUGUGAGAAUGUGGAUUAUAACCUCCAAUGGAGCGUUAUUUUAUAGUAGGGCGUGGAUAAUCUCCAUUUAGGGAGUUGGAACAUUUAGAACCCAUAUACCUGUCAUGCUGCAGGCAUGCCACAGAUUAAUACAUACAUGUCAAUUAAUUUCUGGGACUUUAACCCAUAUAAUUUGCUACGCAUUAGGCGUGCAUAAUAUCAAUAUUGACAUGUCAAAGGAUUGUCCUUUCGGGACUUCAAUCCACAUCAUUUGCUACGCAACAGGCGUGCAUCAUAUUGAUCACUGCUAUACUCAUAUUCUGUUCUUAUGGGACUUUAAUCUGUGCAGUGUAUUAUCAAUGUAUCCAACUUGCAAUCCGUAAAAUUUGCGUUAAUAAUUCAUGGAUACAUACAAGCCAUUCUUUUGGAACGGACUUAUCUCCCCAUUUGGUUACCUUUCAAGAUAAAAUUUCAAAUAGGUAUAUAAGCAUAAAAUAACACAAGUAUUGCUUACAUCCUUAGGUGGGAGAAACUUUUCUCAAGUAUCAUUCCAGCUCGUAUCGGCCCAGUAAAUAUAAAGUAUCGCUUGAUGAUCUUGUUAUAUCCUGCAAGAGCAAAAAUCACAAUUCUUUUCUCUGUCAAAAACAAAUAACUCUCAGAGUUAGGAUCACUGCAUGGAUUCAUUCUUCAGAUGUUCAUUCUAAAGAAAUAAAAUCUCUUAUGAACAGAGAGUUAUAAAAAGAGAAAAAAUGCAAAAAUAAUGUGAUAUUGAUUUCAAGGUAAGGUAACCAAUCAAGGAAGGAAGCUGGUGGGAGCAAACAACAAGCUCUCAUUUCUCCUAGUCUAGAAAGACCUCAGGAGAUUGGAGCAUAAGGUCGCCUUCACAGUUUCCUGAUGUAGCGGAAACAUGAUCAGGGAUAGUCUUGCUUCCUGAAUGGAUGAUCAGAGAUAGUCUUGCUUCUCGGGCAUAUUGAGUGCUUACUGAUAAGAAAAACAAGUAGAUAUCGCAUCACUAGGUAUGGAGUAAACUGGAUGUCCUCUGCCAAGAAAAUUUCGUUAGUAACACAUUUAUACACAAAUACAAUGAAUAGGUAGAACCGGUGAAUUUCAAAUUAACCAUAGGAAAAUUGCGAGAUUCUCGGGAUGCUUUUGAAAAAGUAGCUCCGUGAAAUCCGUAAAGCAAGAUUGGCUUUGAAAAUAAUACUUGAAAACGCCGAAAGUGCCGACAGGCAUUAUUAGAGGCCACGUGAAGUUUUGGACUCUGGGAAAGAAAAAGAUAAUAUGGGGAUUCGAGUUCCCUUUUGUAUAUAGUGACGGUUUACCCAAAAUGGUUCAUAUUUAUGCAUACGUCACUAUUCAUGUGAAUAGUACUAUUCAUCAAGUCAUGAAUACGUAUCUAUUCAUCUGCCAGUACAGUUAUCAUCAAUGUGUACGGCACUAUGAACCAAUACGGUACUGUUACAUCAUUAAGGAACUCUAGGUUCUUAUUUACAUGUCAGGGAUCAAGGACCCUUAAGUCCGAUCACAUGUUUACAAAUACAGUACCGGAGAGACUGCCAGCUCUCAUAUUAAUAUCAUCAUCAAGGAUCUUCAAGUCCUGAUGUAAUAUGAUGAGGAUCAAGGAACUUCUGGUCCUGCGACACUGCCUCGUUAAAACCUUGCCAGGAAAAACCCAAUGGGAUAAAAACCUGGACGAAGGAAAAAGAGUACAGUGUUUGAAGAUCUUGAUUGAUAGUGCGCUCCCCCUGAUGCUUGGCAAAAUAUCUUUAAGUCAUACUGUUGAUCAGCUUUCUGAAUAUCGUAGUUGACACUGCUGCUGUGAGUCAAUCUUGAGUGACACUGCCUCGUUAAAACCUUACCAGGAAAAACUCAGUGGGAUAAAAACCUGGAUGAAGGAAAAAGAGUACAGUGUAUGGAGGUCUUUAUUAAAACCAUGCUUCCCCUGAUGAAUAUCUCCCCCUGAAAAAUUUAGGACUAGCUUUUGUCCAGUAAGAGACCAUAAAAACACAAGUAUUUCUUACAUCCUUAGGUGGGAGAAACUUUUCUCAAGUAUCAUUCAAGCUCGUAUCGGCCCAGUAACGCUUGAUGAUCUAGUUAUAUCCUGCAAGAGCAAAAAAUCACAAUUCUUUUUCUGUCAAAAACAAAUAACUCUCAGAGUUAGGAUCACUGCAUGGAUUCAUUCUUCAGAUGUUCACUCUAAAGAAAUAAAAUCCCUUAUGAACAGAGAGUUAUAAAAAGAGAAAUAAUGCAAAAAUAAUGUGAUAUUGAUUGCAAGAGAAGGUAAGCAAUCAAGGAAGGAAGCUGGUGGGAGCAAACAACAAGCUCUCAGUUCUCCUAGUCUAGAAGGACCUCAGGAGAUUAGAGCAUAAGAUCGCCUUCACAGUUUCCUGAUGUAGCGGAAACGUGAUCAGGGAUAGUCUUGCUUCCUGAAUGGAUGAUCAGAGAUAGUCUUGCUUCUCGGGCAUUUUAAAUGCUCACUGAUAAGAAAAACAAGUAGAUAUCGCAUCACUAGGUAUGGAGAAAACUGGAUGUCUUCUGCAAAGAAAAUUUCGUUAGUAACACAUUUAUACACAAAUAAGAUGAAUAGGUAGAACUGGUGAAUUUCAAAUUAACCAUAGAAAAAUUGCGAGAUUCUCGAGGUACUUUUGAAAAGUAGCUCCGUGAAAUCCGUAAAGCAAGAUCGGCUUUUGAUGAAAAUAAAACUUUGAAAACGCCGAAAGUGCCGACAAACAUUUAAUGGAGGCCACGUGAAGUUUUGGAAUCUGGGAAAGAAAAAGAUAAUAUGGGGAUCUGAGAUAAUAUUGGGAUCCUGGAAACUGUAGCCAUAUUUCCUCCUAUAGAUAUGGCCUUUGCAAAACUUGAUUGGAGCAACUGCGUUUCAACUUGCUCUUUUCCUGUUAUAAUAAUUGCGCACAUUCUUAAAAUUUGCACCUGUGGUUUUUUACGUCUUUUCAAAAUGACGGUUUGGAACCUUGUGCCUUAUAGGUUCAAAUAACCACAUUGUCUCUCCCAAAUUGCAUGGUAGCCCGGAACUUUUGGCCUGGGCACAAACUCAGAAUUUAUUUGCCCUUUUCAAAUGGACAUGAAAUGUGAAUUGAGUAAAAGCCAUGAUAAUAUCGCAAUAUAGUAGUGAAGAGCAUUAACUACUAUAUACCCACAACUUCAAGUUCAGGAUCUCUCAUAUAUUUGGAUCCAUGGGCUUCCGGCCCAGAUAUAACAAAAUAUGUGGGGAGCCUCAAUUCAUUAUUUGAGGUUUAUAUUGAUAUUAUCCAUUUCGCGGUGUAUUCUUAACAACCGGAAUUCACAAAAUAUAUUUCUUCCUUGAGGUGUCGAUUAUAACAAAAUCGAACUUUAAAUUCAUCAUCUUCUUAUGCCAAAGAAAUAUGUGGCAUACCACAAUUUGCAAUAAUACCUGAAGGGUUGUCCAUUUAAUUGUUGGAACUUCAGGUUCUCAACACUGUUAAAUUUUGAACUUCAGGCCAAAGCCAUAUAUUCUCAUGGUAUGGACAUUUUUACAAUUUUCUGUACAUAUUUCGGGACUUCAAGCCCUUACAUAAUUGUCCAUAUUUUGAGGAACUUCUGGUAUCUCAUUUAAUUGCUCAUCCAUGAGUUUAAGGAACUGCAGGUUCCCUUUUUUAUAUAGUGACGGUUUACCCAAAAUGGUUCAUAUUUAUGCAUACGUCACUAUUCAUGUGAAUAGUACUAUUCAUCAAGUCAUGAAUACGUAUCUAUUCAUUUACCAGUACAGUUAUCAUCAAUGUUUACGGCACCAUGAAACUGCAGGUUCCCUUUUGUAUAUAGUGACGGUUUACCCAAAAUGGUUCAUAUUUAUGCAUACGUCACUAUUCAUGUGAAUAGUACUAUUCAUCAAGUCAUGAAUACGUAUCUAUUCAUCUGCCAGUACAGUUAUCAUCAAUGUGUACGGCACUAUGAACCAAUACGGUGCUGUUACAUCAUUAAGGAACCCUAGAUCCUUAUUUACAUGUCAGGGAUCAAGGACCCUUAAGUCCGAUCACAUGUUUACAAAUACAGUACCGGAGAGACUGCCAGCUCUCAUAUUAAUAUCAUCAUCAAGGAUCUUCAAGUCCUGAUGUAAUUGUAUGAUAAGGAUCAAGGAACUUCUGGUCCUGAUCUGCAUACUGUAAAAACUCAUCAUACAGCACAAUUAAUCCAUAAAAUAAAUUGCUGGUAAAUAAAUUACUGGUAUGGACGAUAAACCCGCACCAUACAUUUGAAUAAAAGUAAAGGCGUGGAUGAUAAACCCGCACCACCCUUUUAAAUAAAUGUAAAUGUGCAGUAAAUUAAUUUCAUAAAUUAAAUUGCUUGCUGUAUGGACGUUAAUCCCGCACCAUACCUUAAAUAAAAUUAAAUGUGCGGUAAAGUAAAGGUGCUUGUAUGGGCACUAAUUCUGCUCCAUACAUUUAAAUAAAAGUAAAGGCGUGGGCGAUAAACCCGCACCACCCUUUUAAAUAAAUACUGUUGUAUGGGUAAUAAACAUACACCAUACAGUAAAUAAAAUAAAUGUGCGGUAAAGUAAAUUUGCAGUAAAGUAAAUUUCAUAAAGUAAAGUGUUAGUAUUAGUAACGGUCUCCCACUGAUAAUAUGUUUAGUAUUACCAAGGGUCCAUUUUUGUUAAUGGUUGGUAAUAGAAAAGCAGAUAAAUAUAAUAUGAAAUAAUAGAGAAGAUAAGGGAGCAGAGAUCUUAUCGCUUAUUCUUUCGCUUAUGCCAUUGCUGAGUGAUCCCCUUUUAUUUUAUUUUAUUUAUUUGUUUAUUUAUUUAUUUUUUAUUUUUUAUUUUUUAUUUUUUAUUUUUUCUUUCUGUCGGUGGGUUUGCUGUUGGAUCUUUUCCUGAGUGCCCUUGCUUUUUCUGAGUGAUCCCUUUGUGAGUGCCCUUGCUUUUCUGAGUGAUCUUUUUCUUUCAAAAACUUCCAGUGGGUAUCUUUUUCUUUCACUGCUCGGAAAGACCCUGUCCAAAACUUGUAGCCACUGUACCCUCUUAGCCCCACGUCAACCGUGCGAGAGAAAAGAUGGGCAAGAGAGGCACCCCAGCCACCAUCACCGAAAGACUCCUUGGUGAUUGAGUCACCCAAAAGGUAAAUCUUUGGCCUCAUCUUUUGAUUUGAUGAGAGAGAGAGAGCCCUGAGCUUGGUGGGCUUAGCCUUGCGCUUGUUGACAAGCGGCUUCUUGACGUCAUCGGCAGGAUAGAACUUGGGCGGCUUCUGGGGUUGGGUCACAGCCGCUGGCUUCGCGUCAUGGCGUGGGAAAACGCCGCCGUUUUUGGCCUUGAUGGCCCAAAGACCACGCUUGCGGGACAUCUUGGACCUCGAGAACUUACCCACCCCACGAACCAGAUCUGGUCGAUAUGUUCCUCGAGCUGUGCUCAUGGAUCUGGAGCCUAGCACCAUGGACAGCAUCAGAUCUGGGCCAUAUGGCCAGAUCUUCUGACCUGAUAACUUCGUUUUCGGUCAAUCGGGUGCUGGAAACAACUGGGCCAAUUUAGCUAUCCUAAAGAUGUAUAAGUCCGUUCCAAAAGAAUGGCUUGUAUGUAUCCAUGAAUUAUUAAUGCAAAUUUUACAGAUUGCAAGUUGGAUACAUUGAUAAUACACUGCACAGAUUAAUGUACCAUAAGAACAGAAUAUGGGUAUAGCAGUGAUCAAUAUGAUGCACGCCUGUUGCGUAGCAAAUGAUAUGGAUUGAAGUCCUGAAAGGACAAUCCUUUGACAUGUCAAUAUUGAUAUUAUGCACGCCUAAUACGUAGCAAAUAUUAUAUACAUAAUAUAUAUUGCUAGAGGUUUCUGCAACUUUUAGCUUUAUUGCCACUUUUAGCUUUCCACCAACAUGAUAAGAACCCACCGGAACAAAUAUAUUCAUAUAUACAUAUACAUACAUAUGUAAUAUUAAUAUUGAAAUGUGGUAAUAUAAUAUGCUAUAUCUAUUCACUUUUCUAUUACUAACCACUAACAAAAAUGGACCCUUUGGUAAUACUAAANNNNNNNNNNNNNNNNNNNNNNNNNNNNNNNNNNNNNNNNNNNNNNNNNNNNNNNNNNNNNNNNNNNNNNNNNNNNNNNNNNNNNNNNNNNNNNNNNNNNCCGUUACUAAUACUAACAUUUUUCUUAUUUUAUUCGGUGGUGGUUUUAACCCCAUAUUUAUUUUAUUUACUGUAUGGUGUAGGUUUAUUACCCAUACAACAGUAUUUAUUUAAAAGGGUGGUGCGGGUUUAUCGUCCACGCCUUUGCUUUUAUUUAAAUAUAUGGAGCAGAAUUAGUGCCCAUACAAGCACGUUUACUUUAUCGCAAAUUUACUUUUACUUAAAGUAUUAUUUAUGGUAUGGUGUAGGUUUAUUACCCAUACGGCAAUAUUUAUUUAAAGGGUGGUGCGGGUUUAUCGUCCACGCCUUUGCUUUUAUUUAAAUGUAUGGAGCAGAAUUAGUGCCCACACAAGCACGUUUACUUUACCGCACAUUUAAUUUUAUUUAAGGUAUGGUGCGGGAUUAACGUCCAUACAGCAAGCUAUUUAAUUUAUUUAAGGUAUGGUGCGGGAUUAACGUCCAUACAGCAAGCAAUUUAAUUUAUGAAUUUAUUUUACCGCACAUUUACAUUUAUUUAAAGUAUGGUGCGGGUUUAUCGUCCAUACCAGUAAUUUAUUUAUCAGCAAUUUAUUUUAUGGAUUAAUUGUGCUGUAUGAUGAGUUUUUACAGUAUGCAGAUCAGGACCAGAAGUUCCUUGAUCCUCAUCAUACAAUUACAUCAGGACUUGAAGAUCCUUGAUGAUGAUAUUAAUAUGAGAGCUGGCAGUCUCUCCGGUACUGUAUUUGUAAACAUGUGAUCGGAAUUAAGGGUCCUUGAUCCCUGACAUGUAAAUAAGGACCUAGAGUUCCUUAAUGAUGUAACAGUACCGUAUUGGUUCAUAGUGCCGUACACAUUGAUGAUAACUGUACUGGCAGAUGAAUAGAUACGUAUUCAUGACUUGAUGAAUAGUACUAUUCACAUUAAUAGUGACGUAUGCAUAAAUAUGAACCAUUUUGGGUAAACCGUCACUAUAUACAAAAGGGAACCUGCAGUUUCAUAGUGCCGUACACAUUGAUGAUAACUGUACUGGCAGAUGAAUAGAUACGUAUUCAUGACUUGAUGAACAGUACUAUUCACAUGAAUAGUGACGUAUGCAUAAAUAUGAACCAUUUUGGGUAAACCGUCACUAUAUACAAAAGGGAACCUGCAGUUCCUUAAACUCAUGGAUGAGCAAUUACAUGAGAUGCCAGAAGUUCCUCAAAAUAUGGACAAUUAUGUAAGGGCUUGAAGUCCCGAAAUAUGUACAGAAAAUUAUAAAAAUGUCCAUACCAUGAGAAUAUGUGGCUUUGGCCUGAAGUUCAAAAUUUAACAGUGUUGAGAACCUGAAGUUCCAACAAUUAAAUGGACAACCCUUGAGGUAUUAUUGCAAAUUGUGGUAUGCCACAUAUUUCUUUGACAUAAGAAGAUGAUGAAUUUAAAGUUCGAUUUUGUUAUAAUCGACACCUCAAGGAAGAAAUAUAUUUUGUGAAUUCCGGUUGUUAAGAAUACACCGUGAAAUGGAUAAUAUCAACAUAAACCUCAAAUAAUGAAUUGAGGCUCCCCACAUAUUUUGUUAUAUCUGGGCCGGAAGCCCAUGGAUCCAAAUAUAUGAGAGAUCUUGAACUUGAAGUUGUGGGUAUAUAGUAGUUAAUGCUCUUCACUACUAUAUUGCGAUAUUAUCAUGGCUUUUACUCAAUUCACAUUUCAUGUCCAUUUGAAAAGGGCAAAUAAAUUCUGAGUUUGUGCCCAGGCCAAAAGUUCCGGGCUACCAUGCAAUUUGGGAGAGACAAUGUGGUUAUUUGAACCUAUAAGGCACAAGGUUCCAAACUGUCAUUUUGAAAAGACGUAAAAACCACAGGUGCAAGUUUAAGAAUGUGCGCAAUUAUUAUUACAGGAACAUACAACAGAUAGAUUUUUUCCACCUGCAAUGAAGGUGCAGGCCCUGUAAAAUCUAUAAAAAUUACAUUAUGUUCUGGAAGCCUCUGAAGGAAGUUGAGUUGAAACGCAGUUGCUCCAAUCAAGUUUUGCAAAGGCAAUAGCUAUAGACGAAAAUGUGGCAACAUUUCCAGGAUCCCAAUAUCUUCUCGAAUCCCCAUAUUAUCUUUUUCUUUCCCAGAGUCCAAAACUUCACGUGGCCUCUAAUAAUGCCUGUCGGCACUUUCGGCGUUUUCAAGUAUUAUUUUCGUCAAAGCUGAUCUUGCUUUACGGAUUUCACGGAGCUACUUUUUCAAAAGUAUCCCGAGAAUCUCGCAAUUUUCCUACGGUUAAUUUGAAAUUCACAGGUUCUACCUAUUCAUUGUAUUUGUAUAUAAAUGUGUUACUAACGAAAUUUUCUUUGCAGAAGAUAUCCAGUUUACUCCAUACCUAGUGAUGCGAUAUCUACUUGUUUUUCUUAUCAGUGAGCACUUAAUAUGCCCGAGAAGCAAGACUAUCUCUGAUCAUCCAUUCAGGAAGCGAGACUAUCCCUGAUCACGUUUUCGCCACAUUAGGGAACUGUGAAGGUGACCUUAUGCUCCAAUCUCCUGAGGUCCUUCUAGACUAGGAGAAAUGAGAGCUUGUUGUUUGCUCCCACCAGCUUCCUUCCUUGAUUGCUUACCUUAUCUUGCAAUCAAUAUCACAAUUUUUGUAUUUUUUCUUUCUUUUAUAACCCUCUGUUCAUAAGGGAUUUUAUUUCUUUAGAAUGAACAUAUGAAGAAUGAAUCCAUGAAGUAAUCCUAACUAUGAGGGUUAUUUGUUUUGACAGAGGCAAAAGAGUUGUGAUUUUUGCUCUUGCAGGAUAUAACAAGAUCAUCAAGCGAUACUUUAUAUUUACUGGGCCGAUACGAGCUUGAAUGAUACUUGAGAAAAGUUUCUCCCACCUAAGGAUGUAAGCAAUACUUGUGUUAUUUUAUGCUUAUAUACCUAUUUGAUAUUUUAUCUUGAAAGGUAACCAAAUUGGGAGAUAAGUCCGUUCCAAAAGAAUGGCUUGUAUGUAUCCAUGAAUUAUUAACGCAAAUUUUACAGAUUGCAAGUUGGAUACAUUGAUAAUACACUGCACAGAUUAAAGUCCCAUAAGAACAGAAUAUGGGUAUAGCAGUGAUCAAUAUGAUGCACGCCUGUUGCGUAGCAAAUGAUGUGGAUUGAAGUCCCGAAAGGACAAUCCAUUGACAUGUCAAUAUUGAUAUUAUGCACACCUAAUGCGUAGCAAAUUAUAUGGGUUAAAGUCCCAUAAUAUGGGUUAAAGUCCCAUAAAUUAAUUGACAUGUAUGUAUUAAUCUGUGGCAUGCCUGCAGCAUGAGAGAUAUAUGGGUUCUAAAUGUUCCAACUCCCUAAAUGGAGAUUAUCCACACCCUACUGCUAAAUAACGCUCCAUUGGAGGUUAUAAUCCACAUUCUCACAUAAUAAAAGCCCCAUGAAGUGGCUUGGGUACCCAAAAGCAAAGAAAUGCUUAUAAUUGAUGCAUGCGCAUGCACAUGAGAAUUGUGAGAUUAUGAAUUGAUGAAUGACAAUUUUUGGUUUUGGAGUAGCUACUCAAAUCAUCAAUGGGCUGUGUUGAUUGGAACCACGUUCAAUUAUUAAAUGUCGACAAUAUUAUUGGCCAAAAUGGAACGAGGUAAUUCCAUUAUAAAUGAGAAUGAACGUGAAAGAACAAACCCACAAUACGAACCCCAAAAAUUUGUUUAUACUGAAUUUAUACUUUGGGUGUUCGGAUAAAAGGGAAUAUACCUACUUUGUAUGACCCACUGUUUCUAGCAGAACAAGAUGUUGGGUUUUCUCAUAUCCACAGAUCCAUGUGCCCCCCCCCCCCCUNNNNNNNNNNNNNNNNNNNNNNNNNNNNNNNNNNNNNNNNNNNNNNNNNNNNNNNNNNNNNNNNNNNNNNNNNNNNNNNNNNNNNNNNNNNNNNNNNNNNNNNNNNNNNNNNNNNNNNNNNNNNNNNNNNNNNNNNNNNNNNNNNNNNNNNNNNNNNNNNNNNNNNNNNNNNNNNNNNNNNNNNNNNNNNNNNNNNNNNNNNNNNNNNNNNNNNNNNNNNNNNNNNNNNNNNNNNNNNNNNNNNNNNNNNNNNNNNNNNNNNNNNNNNNNNNNNNNNNNNNNNNNNNNNNNNNNNNNNNNNNNNNNNNNNNNNNNNNNNNNNNNNNNNNNNNNNNNNNNNNNNNNNNNNNNNNNNNNNNNNNNNNNNNNNNNNNNNNNNNNNNNNNNNNNNNNNNNNNNNNNNNNNNNNNNNNNNNNNNNNNNNNNNNNNNNNNNNNNNNNNNNNNNNNNNNNNNNNNNNNNNNNNNNNNNNNNNNNNNNNNNNNNNNNNNNNNNNNNNNNNNNNNNNNNNNNNNNNNNNNNNNNNNNNNNNNNNNNNNNNNNNNNNNNNNNNNNNNNNNNNNNNNNNNNNNNNNNNNNNNNNNNNNNNNNNNNNNNNNNNNNNNNNNNNNNNNNNNNNNNNNNNNNNNNNNNNNNNNNNNNNNNNNNNNNNNNNNNNNNNNNNNNNNNNNNNNNNNNNNNNNNNNNNNNNNNNNNNNNNNNNNNNNNNNNNNNNNNNNNNNNNNNNNNNNNNNNNNNNNNNNNNNNNNNNNNNNNNNNNNNNNNNNNNNNNNNNNNNNNNNNNNNNNNNNNNNNNNNNNNNNNNNNNNNNNNNNNNNNNNNNNNNNNNNNNNNNNNNNNNNNNNNNNNNNNNNNNNNNNNNNNNNNNNNNNNNNNNNNNNNNNNNNNNNNNNNNNNNNNNNNNNNNNNNNNNNNNNNNNNNNNNNNNNNNNNNNNNNNNNNNNNNNNNNNNNNNNNNNNNNNNNNNNNNNNNNNNNNNNNNNNNNNNNNNNNNNNNNNNNNNNNNNNNNNNNNNNNNNNNNNNNNNNNNNNNNNNNNNNNNNNNNNNNNNNNNNNNNNNNNNNNNNNNNNNNNNNNNNNNNNNNNNNNNNNNNNNNNNNNNNNNNNNNNNNNNNNNNNNNNNNNNNNNNNNNNNNNNNNNNNNNNNNNNNNNNNNNNNNNNNNNNNNNNNNNNNNNNNNNNNNNNNNNNNNNNNNNNNNNNNNNNNNNNNNNNNNNNNNNNNNNNNNNNNNNNNNNNNNNNNNNNNNNNNNNNNNNNNNNNNNNNNNNNNNNNNNNNNNNNNNNNNNNNNNNNNNNNNNNNNNNNNNNNNNNNNNNNNNNNNNNNNNNNNNNNNNNNNNNNNNNNNNNNNNNNNNNNNNNNNNNNNNNNNNNNNNNNNNNNNNNNNNNNNNNNNNNNNNNNNNNNNNNNNNNNNNNNNNNNNNNNNNNNNNNNNNNNNNNNNNNNNNNNNNNNNNNNNNNNNNNNNNNNNNNNNNNNNNNNNNNNNNNNNNNNNNNNNNNNNNNNNNNNNNNNNNNNNNNNNNNNNNNNNNNNNNNNNNNNNNNNNNNNNNNNNNNNNNNNNNNNNNNNNNNNNNNNNNNNNNNNNNNNNNNNNNNNNNNNNNNNNNNNNNNNNNNNNNNNNNNNNNNNNNNNNNNNNNNNNNNNNNNNNNNNNNNNNNNNNNNNNNNNNNNNNNNNNNNNNNNNNNNNNNNNNNNNNNNNNNNNNNNNNNNNNNNNNNNNNNNNNNNNNNNNNNNNNNNNNNNNNNNNNNNNNNNNNNNNNNNNNNNNNNNNNNNNNNNNNNNNNNNNNNNNNNNNNNNNNNNNNNNNNNNNNNNNNNNNNNNNNNNNNNNNNNNNNNNNNNNNNNNNNNNNNNNNNNNNNNNNNNNNNNNNNNNNNNNNNNNNNNNNNNNNNNNNNNNNNNNNNNNNNNNNNNNNNNNNNNNNNNNNNNNNNNNNNNNNNNNNNNNNNNNNNNNNNNNNNNNNNNNNNNNNNNNNNNNNNNNNNNNNNNNNNNNNNNNNNNNNNNNNNNNNNNNNNNNNNNNNNNNNNNNNNNNNNNNNNNNNNNNNNNNNNNNNNNNNNNNNNNNNNNNNNNNNNNNNNNNNNNNNNNNNNNNNNNNNNNNNNNNNNNNNNNNNNNNNNNNNNNNNNNNNNNNNNNNNNNNNNNNNNNNNNNNNNNNNNNNNNNNNNNNNNNNNNNNNNNNNNNNNNNNNNNNNNNNNNNNNNNNNNNNNNNNNNNNNNNNNNNNNNNNNNNNNNNNNNNNNNNNNNNNNNNNUUUUUACACAAUUUACGGAGACCCAACAUUUUAUCUUUAAGGGUCAUUAAAUGCACGGAGCAUAUCGCCAGAAAGCGAUUCCCCUAAAGAUGUAUAAAUAGCUGGGUUAAAGCUAUAUAAUGUGUCAUAAAGUUUAAUCCUUUUAGACAAAAUCCGUUGAGAGGAUUGACAUUGCAUAAAGCAAGUCCCUAAAAGACAUGUGCUUGAAGCACAAAAUUUGUACUCAAUAUUAAUAUGCAUAAAUUACCUCAGUGAGUACAUUGAUUAUAAUGUGAUUGCAACACAUUAAAGCUUCUGCAGAAUUCAUGAAAUAUUUGUCUCGAUCGAGCAUUAUACCAACGAGAUUGUUGCUUAUACUAAGAGAGUCUUAUCCGUUGGUCCAUAAAUGUUUUUCCAGAAGUAUAUUGGACCGGACAUCAUAUUUUCCAGAUGAGGCUCAACUCCAUCAGCAUCAUUUUGGGAUGGUGUGAGGUAUAUUUGAUGCUAUCUCCGCAUAACACCAUGUAUGGGCAUAUUCUUUCAUAUGAUCUUACAAAUAGCCCAGGUUUUGUUGGAAACGCGGACUCUGAAAAUUUCUAUGAUUUACAUAGAGAUAGCUCACUGGAAAUUUAUUUACUAUAUGAAUUGUUGGUGGCUACAUCAUUCACUCACUCCGAAAGAUUCUCACUCCAAAAGAUAGUUAUGAAGACAUCAGGGGGAGAUAUUAAUCAGGGGGAGCAUCCAGAAGUAUGCUAUACAGAUUGUUGUACUCUUCUUUCUUCCUUCCAUCAGUUCUCUACCUUACUAGGUUUUCUCCAAGCAAAGUCUGAUGAAGCAACUGACAUAUUAUUUGUGGUCUCCAAGGGGGAGUGUUGUAAAGUAUAAAGUAGUAGAGCCCACUUACUAUUUGUUUGUAGACUUUGGUGCAUGAUUGUAUUGUAGAUUCACAGGUGGAUUGUAGAUUCACGGGUGUUAUCCACCCUUUCCCUAUAAAAGGCUUCUCUCUUAUGCAAAGAGAGACAAUGAUCGAUGAGGAAGAGAAUAGAGGGAAACGGAAAGAAACAAAGAAGAGGAAAGAAAGAAGGGAAAAGAAAGAAGAGAAGAGAAAGGGAGAAACGGAAAAAGAAGAGGAAAGAAACAAAGAAGAGGAAAGAAAAAAAAGAAGAGGAAAGUGUAACACCCCGACCCCAAUUUAACCCUUAUUUAAUUAUUUAAUUAUUUAAGGGUAUUUUAGUCAUAUUUUAACCGGAGAGAGUUUGGGACCGCAACUUAUAUUUUUGGAUAGGUCGUACUGAGACGAGUUCAUAGACACGUAGUGGGCUCGAAUCGGAGUUGUAACUAGAGAGAUAUGGUCAAAAGAAGCCCAGUGGCAUAAUCGUAAAUAUUUCGAAAUGGGAUUUUUUAUAAAAUCAGAUUUUUCUCUCUCUCGCUCUCCCGCGACUUCUCUCUCUCUCCCGUCGGCCUCUCCUCUCUCUCUCUCUUCGUAACUCCGGCCACCGGCCGCGGCUGCGGACGGGGCCGGUGUCAAAAGAACCGGCUCGACCUCGGCGUCACGUCCCAGCCCAUCCCCGCCAUCGGCCGCCGCUCCAGCCGCCGGAAAAUGGCGAUUUUCGCUCAGAUGUCGCCGGAUCUUCACGGCCGCCGAUCUCCCUCCUCCGGCCUCCAUUUCUGGCGAUCAAGGUAUGGAAAUUCAUCCCUUCUGCAUGCUCUAGCUGAUGGUUGGGUAGGAUUAGAUCGAUUCUUAGCGUAGACAACUCGAUUUUCGAAUUGAAAAUCGGCCGAAACUUCGGCCGCCAUUAUCGGCCAUUUCCGGCCACUUUUUGGGAAAGGUCCAAGAACAAAAGUGGCUCCAAAUAGGGUGUUAUACCUAGGGUAGGAGUUUGGAGCCGAGAUGUUGAGAUUUUCCGGCGAAGCGUUAUCGCUUUGGGCACCCACGCGCUGCCGGCGCGUGCGGCGGCGCGUGGGCGCUGUAGAAAAAGUAGCGAUGUGUUCCGAUGAGAUCCUUAGGUUGUCACGAGUGCGUAGGAUUUCGCGGAUCUCAAUUCGGACGUCGUUUGACUAUCGAACGGAUAAUCGCAUAGUAUGCGUUAUCCUGGUUCGAUAGGUUGGGACCGUCGGAUGGUCCCAAAUUUAAUAUAUGUUAAUCUAGGUAUUUCUAGGAUCGUGUAGGAAUUCACGGAUCGUGAAUCGGAGCCCCGGAUGUUCCGAAUAAUAAUUUAAAGUUUAUAUUUUAUAUUAACCGUCAGAUCAUGCGAUCGUGAGAAAUCCGACCGUCUGAUCUGAACCAAACUCGCAGGACAAGUGUCAUAUACCUGGUAGAACCCAUAGAGACUCUCGGAUCGGAAAUUGGAGGUUGUGGGUUCUGCAAGUCUGUUUGACCAGGGUUAGAGUAGUUUGACCCUUGGUUGACCGUGAAUCUCCCGGAGUAAUCUCACCCUUCCGGGGGGGAUUAUCGGGAGCUAGACUAUUGUGGAGGGUUACACAAAUAUAAGAAUUAAUUUAUAUAAAUAUAAUUAUAUAUGGUUGUACAAGGGUACAACAGAGUCUAGAGUGUCAGUUUGGAGUGCUAUACGCACUACUUUAGGUACCUCCUCGGACUUUGGAUUCAUUACAAGCACCACCAAGUGAAAGUUAGGUCCCACGUGGCGUAGGUUAUCCGGCGUUGGGACCGGCCCCAUACGUGGCGUUGGUUGUACCGGCGUAUGGGGAGAUUUGUGAUAUUAUGUUCAGGUCUCACGUGGCGUAGGUUAUCCGGCGUUGAGACAGGCCCCGUACGUGGCGUUGGUUGUACCGGCGUACGGGGAGAUUAUGUGAUAUUGUGUUGAGGUCGCACGUGGCGUAGGUUAUCCGGCGUGUUGACAGGCCCCAUACGUGGCGUUGGUUGUACCUGCGUAUGCGGAGAUUUGUGAUAUUAUGUUCAGGUCUCACGUGGCGUAGGUUAUCCGGCGUUGAGAUAGGCCCCGUACGUGGCGUUGGUUGUACCGGCGUACGGGGAGAUUAUGUGAUAUUGUGUUGAGGUCGCACGUGGAGUAGGUUAUCCGGCGUGUCGACAGACCCCAUACGUGGCGUUGGUUGGACCGGCGUAUGGGGAGAUUGGUGAUAUGAUAUUGAGGUUCCCGCGUGGCGUAGGUUAUCCGGCGUUGGGACAGGCCCCAUACGUGGCGUUGGUUGUACCGGCGUAUGGGGAGAUAUUAUGAUAGUAUGGCAUGGUCGAAACGUGGCGUAGGUUAUCCGGCGUGUUGACAGGCCCCAUACGUGGCGUUGGUUGUACCGGCGUAUGGGGAGAAUAUGUGAAAUACAGAGAAAUGAUAUAAGGUAUCGCCCAAGUGUGGAAUUGGGUUUUAGGGAAGAACUACGUGUGGCUUGAUCCCUCAAAGAGGGUACGUAGGCAGCCUGAGGUUAUUAGGUGCAGCCGCAGACUAAAUGUUAGUCAUAUUUGGUAUUUGAAUGGUUUGGUAGUUGGAUAGGAAUUAUUGAAAGGCCGAAGGCCAUUUGUGUGAAUUGCAUGAAAUUAUAUUGUGCAUGCUGCCAGUUGGGAAUAUUAAAUGCGUUUUUAUGCAGGUAUAAAUUUUGGGAAAUGUCCAAAUUAUAGGGGAGACUCUGCCGAAAUUUCGGCAGGAAGUCUCGGUUUUUAGUAAGUGGGCCUGGCAUCGGGGUGAUGUCAGGAAUUCCAAAGGGUUCGUCUCGGAUUUUGAGAAAAUUCGGGGCGGGUCCUUAAAGAAAGAGAGAAGAGAGAAGAGGAAAGAGAAGAGGAAAAAGAAAAGAGGAAAGAGAAAAGAAAGAGAGUCAGGCAGAGAAGAGGAAGAGAAGGAAGAAAGAGGGUGAGUGAGCAGAGAAAAAAUUCAGUGAGCCACACAUAUUGUAAACACUAAAGUUGUAGCCCUAUUAUUUUACAUAGUGGAAAAGUUACUACUGCUGCUCUCCGGGGACGUAGGCAUAGCCGAACCUCGUUAAAUACUGUGUCUCAUCUACUUUACGUGCAGCUCAAUAUUCGCACANNNNNNNNNNNNNNNNNNNNNNNNNNNNNNNNNNNNNNNNNNNNNNNNNNNNNNNNNNNNNNNNNNNNNNNNNNNNNNNNNNNNNNNNNNNNNNNNNNNNCCUGCACGUAAAGUAGAUGAGACACAGCAUUUAACGAGGUUCGGCUAUGCCUACGUCCUCGGAGAGCAGCAGUAGUAACUUUUCCACUAUGUAAAAUAAUAGGGCUACAACUUUAGUGUUUACAAUAUGUGUGGCUCACUGAAUUUUCUCUCUGCUCUCUCUCUCUUCACUCAUUCACCCUCUUUCUUCCUUCUCUUCCUCUUGUCUCUUUCCCCUUCACUUUUUCCUCUUCUUUGUUUCUUUCCGUUUCCCUUUCUCUUCUUUUCUCUCUUCCCUUAUUUCUUUCCUCUUUUCUCUUCUCUCUUUCCUCCCUUCUUUCUUUCCUCUUCUUUGUUUCUUUCCUCUUCUUUUUCCGUUUCUCCCUUUCUCUUCUUUUCUUCUCAUUUCUUUCACUUUGCAGGUUGCCUAUUUAUAGGCAGAUUGGUGCAACUCUCGUGAGUGUGCAGUAAGAAAAAGUUGCCGACAAACUCUACCCAAAGUCUCCAAAUGAAUAGUUAGUGGGCUCCACACAAAAACUUUACAACACUCCCCCUUGGAGACCACAAAUAAUAUGUCAGUUGCUUCAUCAGACUUUGCUUGGAGAAAACCUAGUGAGGUAGAAAACUGAUGGAAGGAAGAGUACAACAAUCUGUAUAGCAUACUUCUGGAUGCUCCCCCUGAUUAAUAUCUCCCCCUGAUGUCUUCAUGACUAUCUUUUGGAGUGAGAAUCUUUCGGAGUGAGUGAAUGAUGUAGCCACCAACAAUUCAUAUAGUAAAUAUAUUUCCAGUGAGCUAUCUCUAUGUAAAUCAUAGAAAUUUUCAGAGUCCGCGUUUCUAACAAAACUUGGGCUAUUUAUAAGUUCACUUGAAAGAAUAUGCCCGUACAAGGUGUUAUGCGGAGAUAGCAUCAAAUAUACCUCACAUCAUUCCAAAAUGAUGGUGAUGGAGUUGAGCCCUAUCUGGAAAAUAUGAUGUCCGGUCGAAUAUACUUCCGGAAAAUCAUUAAAGUGUCCAACGGAUAAUCCUCAUAAAAAUUCUUCAAUACUUUCUUAGUAUAAUCAAGAAUCUCGUUGGUAUAAUGCUCGAUCGAGACAAAUAUUUCUUGAAUUCUGCAGAAGCUAUAAUGUGUUGCAAUCACAUUAUAAUCAAUGUACUCACUGAGGUAAUUUAUGCAUAUUAAUAUUGAGUACAAAUUUUGUGCUUCAAGCACAUGUCCUUUAGGGACUUGCUUUAUGCAAUGUCAAUCCUCUCAACGGAUUUUGUUUUAAAAGGGGAUUAAACUUUAUGACACAUUAUAUAGCUUUUACCCAGCUAUUUAUAUAUCUUUAGGAAAUCGCUUCUGGCGAUAUGCUCCUUGCAUUUAAUAACCAUUAAAGAUAAUAUGUUGGUCUCCGUAAUUGUGUAAUAAGGGGGGGCACAAUUGAAUCUGUAAAUAUGGAGAAAACCCAACAUUCCUUGUUUCUGCCAGAAACAUUGUGUCAUACAAAGUAGGUAUAUUCCCUUUUAUUCCGAACACCCAAGUAUAAAUUUCAGUAUUAACAAAUUUUGGGGUUCGUAUUGUGGGUUUGUUCUUUCACGUUCAUUCUCAUUUAUAAUGGAAUUACCUCGUUCCAUUUUCGCCAAUGAUAUUGUCGACAUUUAAUAAUUGAACGUGGUUCCAAUCAACACAGCCCAUUGAUGAUUUGAGUAGCUACUCCAAAACUAAAAAUCGUCUUUCAUCAAUUCAUAAUCUCACAAUUCUCAUGUGCAUGCGCAUGCAUCAAUUAUAAGCAUUUCUUUUGCUUUUGGGUACCUAAGCCACUUCAUUGGGCUUUUAUUAUGUGAGAAUGUGGAUUAUAACCUCCAUUGGAGCGUUAUUUAGCAGUAGGGCGUGGAUAAUCUCCAUUUAGGGAGUUGGAACAUUUAGAACCCAUAUAUCUGUCAUGCUGCAGGCAUGCCACAGAUUAAUACAUACAUGUCAAUUAAUUUAUGGGACUUUAACCCAUAUUAUGGGACUUUAACCUAUAUAAUUUGCUACGCAUUAGGCGUGCAUAAUAUGAAUAUUGACAUGUCAAAGGAUUGUCCUUUCGGGACUUCAAUCCACAUCAUUUGCUACGCAACAGGCGUGCACCCAUAUAUCUGUCAUUAUGGUACAUUAAUCUGUGCAGUGUAUUAUCAAUGUAUCCAACUUGCAAUCUGUAAAAUUUGCAUUAAUAAUUCAUGGAUACAUACAAGCCAUUCUUUUGGAACGGACUUAUCUUCCCAUUUGGUUACCUUUCAAGAUAAAAUAUCAAAUAGGUAUAUAAGCAUAAAAUAACAUAAGUAUUGCUUACAUCCUUAGGUGGGAGAAACUUUUCUCAAGUAUCAUUCAAGCUCAUAUCGGCCCAGUAAAUAUAAUGUAGCGCUUGAUGAUUUAGUUAUAUCCUGCAAGAGCAAAAAUCACAACUCUUUUGCCUCUGUCAAAACAAAUAACCCUCAUAGUUAGGAUUACUUCAUGGAUUCAUUCUUCAGAUGUUCAUUCUAAAGAAAUAAAAUCUCUUAUGAACAGAGAGUUAUAAAAAGAGAAAAAAUGCAAAAAGAUUGUGAUAUUGAUUGCAAGGUAAGGUAAGCAAUCAAGGAAGGAAGCUGGUGGGAGCAAACAACAAGCUCUCAGUUCUCCUAGUCUAGAAGGACCUCAGGAGAUUAGAGCAUAAGGUCGCCUUCACAGUUCCCGGAUGUGGCGGAAACGUGAUCAGGGAUAGUCUCGCUUCCUGAAUGGAUGAUCAGAGAUAGUCUUGCUUCUCGGGCAUAUUGAAUGCUCACUGAUAAGGAAAAUAAGUAGAUAUUGCAUCACUAGGUAUGGAGAAAACUGGAUGUCUUCUGCAAAGAAAAUUUCGUUAGUAACACAUUUAUACACAAAUACAAUGAAUAGGUAGAACCGGUGAAUUUCAAAUUAACCAUAGGAAAAUUGAGAGAUUCUCGGGAUACUUUUGAAAAAGUAGCUCCGUGAAAUCCGCAAAGCAAGAUCGGCUUUUGACAAAAAUAAUACUUGAAAACGCCGAAAGUGCCGACAUGCAUUAUCAGAGGCCACGUGAAGUUUUGGACUCUGGGAAAGAAAAAGAUAAUAUGGGGAUCUGAGAUAAUAUUGGGAUCCUGGAAACUGUAGCCAUAUUUCCUCCUAUAGAUAUGGCCUUUGCAAAACUUGAUUGGAGCAACUGCGUUUCAACUCAACUUCCUUCAGAGGCUUCCAGAACAUAAUGUAAUUUUUAUAGAUUUUACAGGGCCUGCACCUUCAUUGCAGGUGGAAAAAAUCUAUCUGUUGUAUGUUCCUGUAAUAAUAAUUGCGCACAUUCUUAAACUUGCACCUGUGGUUUUUACGUCUUUUCAAAAUGACGGUUUGGAACCUUGUGCCUUAUAGGUUCAAAUAACCACAUCGUAACGCGAUAUCUGGCCUUACAUAAAAGUACUNNNNNNNNNNNNNNNNNNNNNNNNNNNNNNNNNNNNNNNNNNNNNNNNNNNNNNNNNNNNNNNNNNNNNNNNNNNNNNNNNNNNNNNNNNNNNNNNNNNNNNNNNNNNNNNNNNNNNNNNNNNNNNNNNNNNNNNNNNNNNNNNNNNNNNNNNNNNNNNNNNNNNNNNNNNNNNNNNNNNNNNNNNNNNNNNNNNNNNGCCUCAAUUCAUUAUUUGAGGUUUAUAUGAUAUUAUCCAUUUCGCGGUGUAUUCUUAACAACCGGAAUUCACAAAAUAUAUUUCCUCCUUGAGGUGUCGAUUAUAACAAAAUCGAACUUUAAAUUCAUCAUCUUCUUAUGCCAAAGAAAUAUGUGGCAUACCACAAUUUGCAAUAAUACCUCAAGGGUUGUCCAUUUAAUUGUUGGAACUUUAGGUUCUCAACACUGUUAAAUUUUGAACUUCAGGCCAAAGCCACAUAUUCUCAUGGUAUGGACAUUUUUACAAUUUUCUGUACAUAUUUCGGGACUUCAAGCCCUUACAGAAUUGUCCAUAUUGUGAGGAACUUCUGGCAUCUCAUUUAAUUGCUCAUCCAUGAGUUUAAGGAACUGCAGGUUCCCUUUUGUAUAUAGUGACGGUUGACCCAAAAUGGUUCAUAUUUAUGCAUACGUCACUAUUCAUGUGAAUAGUACUAUUUAUCAAGUCAUGAAUACGUAUCUAUUCAUCUGCCAGUACAGUUAUCAUCAAUGUGUACGGCACCAUGAAACUGCAGGUUCCCUUUUGUAUAUAGUGACGGUUUACCCAAAAUGGUUCAUAUUUAUGCAUACGUCACUAUUCAUGUAAAUAGUACUAUUCAUCAAGUCAUGAAUACGUAUCUAUUCAUCUGCCAGUACAGUUAUCAUCAAUGUGUACGGCACUAUGAACCAAUACGGUACUGUUACAUCAUUAAGGAACUUUAGGUCCUUAUUUACAUUUCAGGGAUCAAGGACCCUUAAUUCCGAUCACAUAUUUACAAAUACAGUACCGGAGAGACUGCCAGCUCUCAUAUUAAUAUCAUCAUCAAGGAUCUUCAAGUCCUGAUGUAAUUGUAUGAUGAGGAUCAAGGAACUUCUGGUCCUGAUCUGCUUACUGUAAAAACUCAUCAUACAGCACAAUUAAUCCAUAAAAUAAAUUGCUGAUAAAUAAAUUACUGGUAUGGACGAUAAACCCGCACCAUACUUUAAAUAAAUGUAAAUGUGCGGUAAAAUAAAUUCAUAAAUUAAAUUGCUUGCUGUAUGGACGUUAAUCCCGCACCAUACCUUAAAUAAAUUAAAUAGCUUGCUGUAUGGACGUAAAUCCCGCACCAUACCUUAAAUAAAAUUAAAUGUGCGGUAAAGUAAACGUGCUUGUAUGGGCACUAAUUCUGCUCCAUACAUUUAAAUAAAAGCAAAGGCGUAGACGAUAAACCCGCACCACCCUUUAAAUAAAUAUUGCCGCAUGGGUAAUAAACCUACACCAUACCAUAAAUAAUACUUUAAGUAAAAGUAAAUUUGCGAUAAAGUAAACGUGCUUGUAUGGGCACUAAUUCUGCUCCAUACAUUUAAAUAAAAGCAAAGGCGUGGACGAUAAACCCGCACCACUCUUUUAAAUAAAUACUGUUGUAUGGGUAAUAAACCUACACCAUACAGUAAAUAAAAUAAAUAUGGGGUUAAAACCACCACCGAAUAAAAUAAGAAAAAUGUUAGUAUUAGUAACGGUCUCCCACUGAUAAUAUGUUUAGUAUUACCAAGGGUCCAUUUUUAUUAGUGGUUAGUAAUAGAAAAGUGAAUAGAUAUAGCAUAUUAUAUUACCACAUUUCAAUAUUAAUAUUACAUAUGUAUGUAUAUGUAUAUAUGAAUAUAUUUGUUUCGGUGGGUUCUUAUCAUGUUGGUGGAAAGCUAAAAGUGGCAAUAAAGCUAAAAGUUGCAGAAACCUCUAGCAAUAUAUAUUUUGUAUAUAAUAUAAUAUUAUUAUACUAAUAUAUUAGUGGAAAGCUCUAUAUAUCAGGUUGGCCUUUGCUUGUCCAUCUCAACCACAAAACACACGGCACAGAUCUAAUCACACCUACACCCACCUCGGCUGGUCAUAAUUGUUAGAUAUUAGAUUAAUAUUAAAUAAUUGAGAUAGAGAAAACAGAGUGCUUAUCUCAUGGUCAUCAAGGCAUAUCCCACAUAGAGAGCGUCUCGUGCUGAUAACGUGUUAUAAAAUGACCUGGAAUAUGUACGAAUAUUGAGCUGCACGUAAAGUAGAUGAGACACAGCAUUUAACGAGAUUCGGCUAUGCCUACGUCUCCGGAGAGCAGCAGUAGUAACUUUUCCACUAUGUAAAAUAAUAGGGCUACAACUUUAGUGUUUACAAUAUGUGUGGCUCACUGAAUUUUCUCUCUAGGAGAAUUUCUCUCUGCUCUCUCUUUCCUCUUUCUUCCUUCUCUUCCUCUUGUCUCUUUCCUUUUCUCUCUUUCCUCUUUUCUCUUUCCCCUUCUUUCUUUCCUCUUCUCUUUCCUCUUCUCUCUUCUCUCUUUCCUCUUCUUUGUUUCUUUCCGUUUCCCUCUAUUCUCUUCCUCAUAGAUCAUUGUCUCUCUUUGCAUAAGAGAGAAGCCUUUUAUAGGGAAAGGGUGGAUAACACCCGUGAAUCUACAAUCCACCUGUGAAUCUACAAUACAAUCAUGCACCAAAGUCUACAAACAAAUAGUAAGUGGGCUCCACUACUUUAUACUUUACAACACUCCCCCUUGGAGACCACAAAUAAUAUGUCAGUUGCUUCAUCAGACUUUGCUUGGAGAAAACCUAGUAAGGUAGAGAACUGAUGGAAGGAAGAAAGAAGAGUACAACAAUCUGUAUAGCAUACUUCUGGAUGCUCCCCCUGAUUAAUAUCUCCCCCUGAUGUCUUCAUAACUAUCUUUUGGAGUGAGAAUCUUUCGGAGUGAGUGAAUGAUGUAGCCACCAACAAUUCAUAUAGUAAAUAUAUUUCCAGUGAGCUAUCUCUAUGUAAAUCAUAGAAAUUUUCAGAGUCCGCGUUUCCAACAAAACCUGGGCUAUUUGUAAGAUCAUAUGAAAGAAUAUGCCCAUACAUGGUGUUAUGCGGAGAUAGCAUCAAAUAUACCUCACAUCAUCCCAAAAUGAUGGUGAUGGAGUUGAGCCUUAUCUGGAAAAUAUGAUGUCCGGUCCAAUAUAAUUCCGGAAAAUCCUUAAAGUGCCCAACGGAUAAUCCUCAUAAAAAUGCUUCAAUACUUUCUCAGUAUAAGCAAGAAUCUCGUUGGCAUAAUGCUCGAUUUUUAAGUCGAGAUAAAUAUUUCGUGAAUUCUGCAGAAGUUUUAAUGUAUUGCAAUCACAUUAUAAUCAAUGUACUCAUUGAGGUAAUUUAUGCAUAUUAAUAUUGAGUACAAAUUUUGUGCUUCAAGCACAUGUCCUUUAGGGACUUGCUUUAUGCAAUGUCAAUCCUCUCAACGGAUUUUGUUUAAAAGGGAUUAAACUUUAUGACACAUUAUAUAGCUUUUACCCAGCUAUUUAUACAUCUUUAGGAAAUCACUUCUGGCGAUAUGCUCCGUGCAUUUAAUAACCCUUAAAGAUAAUAUGUUGGUCUCCGUAAUUGUGUAAUAAGGGGGGCACAAUUGAAUCUGUAAAUAUGGAGAAAACCCAACAUUCCUUGUUUCUGCCAGAAACAUUGUGUCAUACAAAGUAGGUAUAUUCCCUUUUAUUCCGAACACCCAAGUAUAAAUUUCAGUAUUAACAUCUUUUGGGGUUCGUACUGUGGGUUUGUUCUUUCACGUUCAUUCUCAUCUAUAAUGGAAUUACAUCAUUCCAUUUUGGCCAAUAAUAUUGUCGACAUUUAAUAAUUGAACGUGGUUCCAAUCAACACAGCCCAUUGAUGAUUUAAGUAGCUACUCCAGCACCAAAAAUUGUCAUUCAUCAAUUCAUGAUCUCACCAUUCUCAUUUGCAUGCGCAUGCAUCAAUUCUAAGCAUUUCUUUGCUUUUGGGUACCCAAGCCACUUCAUUGGGCUUUUAUUAUGUGAGAAUGUGGAUUAUAACCUCCAAUGGAGCGUUAUUUUACAUAGGGCGUGGAAAAUCUCCAUUUAGGGAGUUGGAACAUUUAGAACCCAUAUAUCUGUCAUGCUGCAGGCAUGCCACAGAUUAAUACAUACAUGUCAAUUAAUUUAUGGGACCUUAACCCAUAUUAUGGGACUUUAACCCAUAUAAUUUGCUACGCAUUAGGCGUGCAUAAUAUCAAUAUUGACAUGUCAAAGUAUUGUCCUUUCGGGACUUCAAUCCACAUCAUUUGCUAGGCAACAGGCGUGCAUCAUAUUGAUCACUGCUAUACCCAUAUUCUGUUCUUAUGGGACUUUAAUCUGCGCAGUGUAUUAUCAAUGUAUCCAACUUGCAAUCUGUAAAAUUUGCGUUAAUAAUUCAUGGAUACAUACAAGCCAUUCUUUUGGAACGGACUUAUCUCCCCAUUUGGUUACCUUUCAAGAUAAAAUAUCAAAUAGGUAUAUAAGCAUAAAAUAACACAAGUAUUGCUUACAUCCUUAGGUGGGAGAAACUUUUCUCAAGUAUCAUUCAAGCUCAUAUCGGCCCAGUAAAUAUAAUGUAGCGCUUGAUGAUCUAGUUAUAUCCUGCAAGAGCAAAAAUCACAACUCUUUUGCCUCUGUCAAAACAAAUAACCUUCAUAGUUAGGAUUACUUCAUGGAUUCAUUCUUCAGAUGUUCAUUCUAAAGAAAUAAAAUCCCUUAUGAACAGAGAGUUAUAAAAAGAGAAAUAAUGCAAAAAUAAUGUGAUAUUGAUUGCAAGAGAAGGUUAGCAAUCAAGGAAGGAAGCUGGUGGGAGCAAACAACAAGCUCUCAGUUCUCCUAGUCUAGAAGGACCUCAGGAGAUUAGAGCAUAAGAUCGCCUUCACAGUUUCCUGAUGUAGCGGAAACGUGAUCAGGGAUAGUCUCGCUUCCUGAAUGGAUGAUCAGAGAUAGUCUUGCUUCUCGGGCAUUUUAAAUGCUCACUGAUAAGAAAAACAAGUAGAUAUCGCAUCACUAGGUAUGGAGAAAACUGGAUGUCUUCUGCAAAGAAAAUUUCGUUAGUAACACAUUUAUACACAAAUAAGAUAAAUAGGUAGAACUGGUGAAUUUCAAAUUAACCAUAGGAAAAUUGCGAGAUUCUCGGGAUGCUUUUGAAAAAGUAGCUCCGUGAAAUCCGUAAAGCAAGAUCAGCUUUGACGAAAAUAAUACUUGAAAACGCCGAAAGUGCCGACAGGCAUUAUUAGAGGCCACGUGAAGUUUUGGACUCUGGGAAAGAAAAAGAUAAUAUGGGGAUUCGAGAAGAUAUUGGGAUCCUGGAAAUGUUGCCACAUUUUCGUCUAUAGCUAUUGCCUUUGCAAAACUUGAUUGGAGCAACUGCGUUUCAACUCAACUUCCUUCAGAGGCUUCCAGAACAUAAUAUAAUUUUUAUAGAUUUUACAGGGCCUGCACCUUCAUUGCAGGUGGAAAAAAUCUAUCUGUUGUAUGUUCCUGUAAUAAUAAUUGCGCACAUUCUUAAACUUGCACCUGUGGUUUUUAUGUCUUUUCAAAAUGACGGUUUGGAACCUUGUGCCUUAUAGGUUCAAAUAACCACAUUGUCUCUCCCAAAUUGCAUGGUAGCCCGGAACUUUUGGCCUGGGCACAAACUCAGAAUUUAUUUGCCCUUUUCAAAUGGACAUGAAAUGUGAAUUGAGUAAAAGCCAUGAUAAUAUCGCAAUAUAGUAGUGAAGAGCAUUAACUACUAUAUACCCACAACUUCAAGUUCAGGAUCUCUCAUAUAUUUGGAUCCAUGGGCUUCCGGCCCAGAUAUAACAAAAUAUGUGGGGAGCCUCAAUUCAUUAUUUGAGGUUUAUAUUGAUAUUAUCCAUUUCGCGGUGUAUUCUUAACAACCGGAAUUCACAAAAUAUAUUUCUUCCUUGAGGUGUCGAUUAUAACAAAAUCGAACUUUAAAUUCAUCAUCUUCUUAUGCCAAAGAAAUAUGUGGCAUACCACAAUUUGCAAUAAUACCUCAAGGCCAAAAGUUCCGGGCUACCAUGAAAUUUGGGAGAGACAAUGUGGUUAUUUGAACCUAUAAGGCACAAGGUUCCAAACCGUCAUUUUGAAAAGACGUAAAAAACCACAGGUGCAAAUUUUAAGAAUGUGCGCAAUUAUUAUAACAGGAAAGGAGCAAGUUGAAACGCAGUUGCUCCAAUCAAGUUUUGCAAAGGCAAUAUCUAUAGGAGGAAAUAUGGCUACAGUUUCCAGGAUCCCAAUAUUAUCUCAGAUCCCCAUAUUAUCUUUUUCUUUUCCAGAGUCCAAAACUUCACGUGGCCUCUGAUAAUGCAUGUCGGCACUUUCAGCGUUUUCAAGUAUUAUUUUUUUCAAAAGCCGAUCUUGCUUUGCGGAUUUCACGGAGCUACUUUUUCAAAAGUAUCCCGAGAAUCUCGCAAUUUUCCUAUGGUUAAUUUGAAAUUCACCGGUUCUACCUAUUCAUUGUAUUUGUGUAUAAAUGUGUUACUAACGAAAUUUUCUUUGCAGAAGACAUCCAGUUCUCUCCAUACCUAGUGAUGCGAUAUCUACUUGUUUUUCUUAUCAGUGAGCACUUAAUAUGCCCGAGAAGCAAGACUAUCUCUGAUCAUCCAUUCAGGAAGCGAGACUAUCCUUGAUCACGUUUUCGCCACAUCAGGGAACUGUGAAGGCGACCUUAUGCUCUAAUCUCCGAAAGUUCUUCUAGACUAGGAGAAAUGAGAGCUGGUUGUUUGCUCCCACCAGCUUGCUUCCUUGAUUGCUGAGCUUGUUGUCUGCUCCCACCAGCUUCCUUCCUUGAUUGCUUACCUUCUCUUGCAAUCAAUAUCACAUUAUUUUUGCAUUAUUUCUCUUUUUAUAACUCUCUGUUCAUAAGGGAUUUUAUUUCUUUAGAAUGAACAUCUGAAGAAUGAAUCCAUGCAGUGAUCCUAACUCUGAGAGUUAUUUGUUUUUGACAGAGAAAAGAAUUGUGAUUUUUGCUCUUGCAGGAUAUAACAAGAUCAUCAAGCGAUACUUUAUAUUUACUGGGCCGAUACGAGCUUGAAUGAUACUUGAGAAAAGUUUCUCCCACCUAAGGAUGUAAGCAAUACUUGUGUUAUAUUAUGCUUAUAUACCUAUUUGAUAUUUUAUCUUGAAAGGUAACCAAAUGGGAAGAUAAGUCCGUUCCAAAAGAAUGGCUUGUAUGUAUCCAUGAAUUAUUAAUGCAAAUUUUACAGAUUGCAAGUUGGAUACAUUGAUAAUACACUGCACAGAUUAAUGUACCAUAAGAACAGAAUAUGGGUAUAGCAGUGAUCAAUAUGAUGCACGCCUGUUGCGUAGCAAAUGAUAUGGAUUGAAGUCCCGAAAGGACAAUCCUUUGACAUGUCAAUAUUGAUAUUAUGCACGCCUAAUGCGUAGCAAAUUAUAUGGGUUAAAGUCCCAUAAUAUGGGUUAAAGUCCCAGAAAUUAAUUGACAUGUAUGUAUUAAUCUGUGGCAUGCCUGCAGCAUGACAGAUAUAUGGGUGCACGCCUGUUGCGUAGCAAAUGAUAUGGAUUGAAGUCCCGAAAGGAAAAUCCUUUGACAUGUCAAUAUUGAUAUUAUGCACGCCUAAUGCGUAGCAAAUUAUAUGGGUUAAAGUCCCAUAAUAUGGGUUAAAGUCCAAUAAAUUAAUUGACAUGUAUGUAUUAAUCUGUGGCAUGCCUGCAGCAUGACAGAUAUAUGGGUUCUAAAUGUUCCAACUCCCUAAAUGGAGAUUAUCCACGCCCUACUAUAAAAUAACGCUCCAUUGGAGGUUAUAAUCCACAUUCUCACACAAUAAAAGCCCCCUGCAGUGGCUUGGGUACCCAAAAGCAAAGAAAUGCUUAUAAUUGAUGCACGCGCAUGCAAAUGAGAAUGAUGGGAUCAUGAAUUGAGGAAUGACAAUUUUUGGUUUUGGAGUAGCUACUCAAAUCAUCAAUGGGCUGUGUUGAUUGGAACCACGUUCAAUUAUUAAAUGUCGACAAUAUCAUUGGCCAAAAUGGAACGAGGUAAUUCCAUUAUAAAUGGGAAUGAACGUGAAAGAACAAACCCACAAUACGAACCCCAAAAUUUGUUAAUACUGAAUUUAUACUUGGGUGUUCGGAAUAAAAGGGAAUAUACCUACUUUGUAUGACACACUGUUUUCUAGCAGAAACAAGGAAUGUUGGGUUUUCUCCAUAUUUACAGAUUCAAUUGUGCCCCCCCUUAUUACACAAUUACGGAGACCAACAUAUUAUCUUUAAGGGUUAUUAAAUGAACGGAGCAUAUCGCCAGAAGCGAUUCCCUAAAGAUGUAUAAAUAGCUGGGUUAAAGCUAUAUAAUGUGUCAUAAAGUUUAAUCCCCUUUUUAAACAAAAUCCGUUGAGAGGAUUGACAUUGCAUAAAGCAAGUCCCUAAAGGACAUGUGCUUGAAGCACAAAAUUUGUACUCAAGAUUAAUAUGCAUAAAUUACCUCAGUGAGUACAUUGAUUAUAAUGUGAUUGCAACACAUUAAAGCUUCUGCAGAAUUCACGAAAUAUUUGUCUCGAUUGAGCAUUAUGCCAACGAGAUUCUUGCUUAUACUAAGAAAGUAUUGAAGCAUUUUUAUGAGUCUUAUCCGUUGGUCCUUAAAUGUUUUUCCGGAAGUAUACUAGACCAGAUAGAGCUCAGCUCCACACUGUACUCUUUUUCCUUCAUCCAGGUUUUUAUCCCAUUGGGUUUUUCCUGGUAAGGUUUUAACGAGGCAGUGUAGCUCAAAGGUUUAGGGUAUACUAUGAAAAUUUCUAUGGUCGCUUACUGGACAGAAGCUAGUCCUAAAUUUUUCAGGGGGAGAUAUUCAUCAGGGGGAGCAUGGUUUUAAUAAAGACCUUCAUACACUGUACUCUUUUUCCUUCAUCCAGGUUUUUAUCCCACUGGGUUUUUCCUGGUAAGGUUUUAACGAGGCAAUGUCACUCAAGAGUGACUCACAGAAGCAGUGUCAACUACGAUAUUCAGAAAGGUGAACAACAGUAUGACUUAAAGAUAUUUUGCCAAGCAUCAGGGGGAGCGCGCUAUCAAUAAAGAUCUUCAAACACUGUACUCUUUUUCCUUCGUCCAGGUUUUUAUCCCACUGGGUUUUUCCUGGCAAGGUUUUAACGAGGCAGUGUCGCACGCGCGUCAAUAUACAUAGAAUUUAAUAUUACACAUGAUUAUGUACUCUUUUUCCCUUUGACCAGUUUUUGUCACACUGGGUUUUUACUGGCAAGGUUUUUAACGAGACAUAUUCUGUAUCAUUUGUGGUCUCCAAGGGGGAGUGUUGUAAAUGUGGAGCCCAAAUGCCUAUAAAUAGGGCUUCUCCAUUUGUAACAAAACACACAAUAAGAAGAGAAAAACUUCUCUCUCUCUCUCCAUCUAAAUUCUCUGUCAAUUCCCUCUCCAAUUCCUCUUGAUUUAUAACAAGUUGUAUAUUUUUUUUGGCCUAUUGAGUAAACUAUUGCGUACAAAAGUACUAAAUUGAAAUGAGUGGUUUUUUCCCAUAAAUGUAGUAUAAUUUUACUAUUAUAUUCACAUUAAAAUACAAUUUUGACAAGUAUUGAUUUGUGGUGAGGGGUCCAUAGGCUUAAGUAUAGCAAUUUUUCUUUGCAUUUGUUACCACAUCCAAUAUAUACAUUCAAAAGGGUUAAAUAAAUUGGAGGGGCCAAGGCCAUCCCAGGCCUUAGUACAGCUCCGCCCCUGUGUCCAGAGAUUAAGGUACGGGCUCCAUUUGCUUCUGUGGCUAUUUCUCCGGAACAUGUUGCACAGGCGAUGAGUUUUUCUCAAAUACUUCUUUCUGACUUCGUUCUCUUCUCUGUAUAGUUUUGCUGGAUAUAAUUCAGUAGAAAUGCUAGCUUUAUAUUGGCCCCUUUUUUUUUCUUCUCAUUUCCUGGAAAUAUAAAUCUCGUGCAAGCUUUACUGGUCCUUUUCUCUCCUUUCCCUUCUUUUUGUUUAAUUAAGCAUAUACAGAAUCAAGAUAUUCAUGUGGUAAAAACUACAAGAGUUCUUUUGUUUACCUUGUAAAGAGAGUAAGUGGGUGUCCAAUUUGAACCAAAAAAAUUUCAUUUCCCUGUUUCACAUAAAAUUGAAAAACUGAAAUUAAUUACCAAACAACUUUUUUCAGUUAUUUUUUUUAAAAUUGAAAAUAAAAAACUGAUGGUUAUCAAACGAACCCUUAAUAUUUUCGUUUCGUCUUGUUUGAGUGGGAUCCCUUUACAUAUUUUAUUGGUUUGUUUUGUAAUUCUUUGUCAUAGGGUUCAGGGAUUAUGAUUAUGAUUUCAUCUUUUCCAGUUAAGGGAUUAUGAUUUCGAAACUUGAUGCUUACCUUUAUUUAUUUUUUAUGUUGAGUCUGAAAAAAGAAAAUGAUUUGGUUGUAAAUUUGUGAAUAAUAGGAUGGUAUGAAAAAAGCUCAAAAAAAAAUUAGAACCCGUUUGAUGACUAUUUCGGUAUUUUAUUUUUAGUUUCUAUUUUUCAAUUCAAAGAAAUUGAAAGCAUAAAACUUCUUUGGUUAUUAAUUUUAAGGCCUCGUUUGAUAACCAUUUUAUUUUAUUUUCUGUUUUUUUAUUAUUAUUAAAGAAAAACAGAAAACAUAUUUGAUAAAACUUUUCAUUGUCAGAUUUCAAAGUUACCCUUUCUAAUUCUCAUGAAUCAAACAUUUUCAAAUAAUCCAUUCUCUAAAACAAACAGUGCUUAAUAAGUAUUGACAUCUGAAUCAAUACUUGAUGAACUAUCUAAGACAACAUGCAAACUACGUUCAUUAGAUAUAUGCUUUUGACCUCAUUAUUCUUGUAGUGACCUACAAUUAGAAUAGUACACUACAAUUAGAAUAGUAUAUUAUCAUUUUGCAUGUCGAAACGGUUUUCGAUUUAUCUAAUUUUUUGUAAGGAUGAUUUAUGAAUGAAGACCUAAAAAAUAGAGAGUUUGGAUCAUUGAAAAAAAUAUUCGUAGAGUACCUUAAAGGGUGUCCCUUAAAUAAAAUUAUUUGAAGGAUCCUCAAUAUAUAUAUAUGUACAUGAUGAGUAGUAUAUAUAUUAUAACAUAAUCAAAGCCAAUUGUUAGAUUUCCUUCAUGAUUAUAACACAUUAUAUAAUAAUUCAUGUUUCUUCAAUAGAUUCUACAAAGGGCCACUUGUUAGAUUUGUAGGCUCACUCCGCAUUGUAUUUCAUUAAUCUAAAUUCUACAUUCUAGAUAAUCAUUCAAAAAUCAUAUCUACAAAAAAUCACUUGAAUCCGAUAUUGUUUGACCACUCAAUUGUGUUAUUGAAAUUUUAGUACUUUCUUGAAGCACUGUGUUCUUUGAUUUUGUAGGAUACAAUUGGAUGUCGAAACGGUUUCCGAUUUAUCUAAUUUUUUGUAAAGAUGACGAGUAGUGUAUAUUCUUUUAAAAACAACAUAAAAAUAGUGGUAUGUUGUAAAAUAAAGAAGGUGGAGUCCAAAAUGAUGCUUACCUAUAAAGCUUCCCCCCCACUUGUAUUGGUAGGGAGAAGGUGGAGUCCAAAAUGGUAAUGAUGAUGCUUGCCAACACAAGAAGAAUGAUUAGGCAACCACUUUGUUCUGCCUACAAAUAAGGCUUCCUCCUCACUUGUAAUAUAUAGAACAUAGAUACAGAUAUGUGAAGAACUCUCUAUUCAAUAAGAGAUCAGUUUCUCUCUAUCUCAAUUCUCUCCAUUUUCUCUCUUGAUUUAUAACACGUUAUCAGCACGAAGCUCUAACCAGCUGAGUUUUCUGAUAAAAACCAGAGACCAAAAUCAACCGGAAUUCUCAGCUUCUCAAUCCCAAUCCUUGGAGGGGAAAUAUGGCUGAGCGGCAGAGCCGAAGAAAUAUCAAACACAUAAACGAGCCUGAAAAACAAAGAGAGUCUGCAGCCAGCAAUCCAAAGCAGAGAAAGAUCUCUGCUGGCGUCCUUGCCCGACUUGCCGUCCGUCACGUCAAAGACGUUGUAUUGGAUCAGCUGCUGUGCUGUUAGCUCCAUGGUUGCGUCCACACAGAUGCUAAAGGAGCAAAUGACAAGAAGCUCACAACUUGCGGGUCCUGGGCUUAGGCCAGCAGGUCAUAGUCCUAGCCCACGGCUUCGGCACCGACCAGUCGGUCUGAAAGCACCUCGUCCCCCACCGACUACAGAGUCGUCAUGUACGACAACAUGGGCGCCGGAACGACAAAGCCCGAAUACGCCGACUCGGUCACCUUCCCCACAGGCCGAGCAGAGUCCUCUGCCUUCUAAGAUCCUACCACCAAGCCUGCUUACAGCUUCAACAACCUGUCCUCUCAGUUUUUUGUGACAACAAACAGCCACCUCUUGUGAAAUGUGGUCAAGAGGGACAAUAUCCUAUCUGAUGAUGAAAGCUCAUCUUUUGGUCUGCGAAGCUUUUUAUGCACAGAAACAGGUGGACCUUGCUGGGCUUCAUGUUCUCCGGGAUGACGAAGAGCGGCGCGGAGAAGAUCAGGCCCGUCCAAGUGUCGGGCUGGGACUGGAAGUACAUGAGCAUGGUGGCAGCGCCGCCCAUGGACUCGCCGAAGAGGAAGGCAGGGAGGCGGAGGUAUAAUUCGUUGCGGCGCACGUGGAGGAAGAAGGAGAGUGAAGCUUCCUCUGACCAAUGCUCCCGAAGAAAAGCUUUUAACUCAGGAGCUACAGCCUCAUCAUCAGACCGAGCAAUACUGUCUGCAACAGCAUAAGUAGCUGCUGGAUCACCCAAGAAGUCGGAAUGGAGAAGAAAUGCAACACCAUCAAGAGAAAGACCACCACCUGUCAGAUGCGGCACAUGCGCACAUGCAACCUAAUAGUCUCCUGACCACUUGGCACAUGCGCACAUGCACACACGGUUUUGUGGCUACUAAUCUUGGUUAAACUGAAAACAGAUGCCUCCAUAUAUUUCUUUACGAUCAGAUGUGGGCCAUAUCUAUGAAUUGUUUUGUAGAUUGAUAUCUUUGAUGAUGGAUAUCGGUGGAGGAAGUAUGGUCAAAAAGUAAGCCACUAAAAGUGGUUGAAAGGCCGGUGUUGAUAUGAUGCAAGGCACUGGAAAUCUAGUAAGCAUGCCCAAAAAGUGACCCUAUGCUGGAGUAUAUUUUGAAAAGUGGGAUACACAGCAAGUUGAUCAGCCUAGUGGAAAGCAAAGGAUUAUUGCCAGGGAUAUGAACACCCACCGAAAUAAAGGGAUAAGUAUUCUGCCUCACUCUAUUUCCUUCAAUUAAAUACAUUAUUAAAAUAUCUACAGAAUUUAAUACUCAUGACCAGUGUAGAUUGCAGGUGGAAAGAAGAAAAAGCCAACGUGAUAUAUCUAGCUUUCCACUAAUAUAUCAGUAUAAUAAUAUUACACUAUUUAAUUGUGGUGUUGAUAAGAACCCACCAAUAAUUGCCUUUAUUUUUAUUUAAAAGUAUGGAGCAGAAUUAGUGCCCAUACAAGCACGUUUAAUUUACCGCACAUUUAAUUUUAUUUAAAGUAUGGUGCGGGAUUAACGUCCAUACAACAAGCAAUUUAAUUUAUGAAAUUAAUUUACCGCACAUUUACAUUUAUUUAAAAGGGUGGUGCGGGUUUAUCGUCCACGCCUUUACUUUUAUUUAAAUGUAUGGUGCGGGUUUAUCGUCCAUACCAGUAAUUUAUUUACCAGCAAUCUAUUUUAUGGAUUAAAUGUGUUGUAUGAUGAGUUUUUACAGUAAGCAGAUCAGGACCAGAAGUUCCUUGAUCCUCAUCAUACAAUUACAUCAGGACUUGAAGAUCCUUGAUGAUGAUGUUAAUAUGAGAGCUGGCAGUCUCUCCGGUACUAUAUUUGUAAACAUGUUAUUGGACUUGAGGGUCCUUGAUCCUUGACAUGUAAAUAAGGAACUCGGGUUCCUUAAUGAUGUAACAGUACCGUAUUGGUUCAUAAUGCUGUACACUUGGAUGAUAACUGUACUAGCAAAUGUACUGUACACAUAAAUAGUGCACUAUAUAUGAAUAGUGAUGUAUGCAUAAAUAUUUACCAUUUCGGGUAAACUAUCACCAUUCAAAAGGGACCUACAGUUCCUUAAACUCAUGGAUGAGCAAUUAAAUGAGAUGCCAGAAGUUCCUCAAAAUAUGGACAAUUAUGUAAGGACUUGAAGUCUAGAAAUAUGUACAGAAAAUUGUAAAAAUGUCCAUACCAUGAGAAUAUGUGAUUUUGGCCCGAAUUUCAAAAUCUAAGGGGAUUGAAUGUCCAUACCAUAAGAAUAUGUGAUUUUUGGCCUAAAAUUCAAAAUCUAACAGUGUUGAGAACCUGAAGUUCCAACAAUUAAAUGGACAACCCUUGAGGUAUUAUUGCAAAUUGUGGUACGCCACAUAUCUCUUUGGCAUAAGAGAAUGAUGAAUUGAGGCUCCCCACAUAUUUUGUUAUAUCUGGGCCGGAAGCUCAUGAACCCAAAUAUAUGAGAUAUUAGCGUGGCUUUUACUCAAUUCAUAUUUCAUGUCCAUUUUGAAAAGGGCAAAUAAAUUCUGAGUUUUGUGUUUAGCCCAGGCCAAAAAGUUCUGGGCUCCCAUACGUUGAAAUAUGAAAUUUGGGAGAGUCGAUGUGGUUAUUUGAACCUAUAAGGCACAAGGUUCCAAACCGUCAUUUUGAAAAGACGUAAAAACCACAGGUGCAAAUUUUAAGAAUGUGCGCAAUUAUUAUAACAGGAAAGGAGCAAGUUGAAACGCAGUUGCUCCAAUCAAGUUUUGCAAAGGCAAUAUCUAUAGGAAGAAAUAUGGCUACAGUUUCCAGGAUCCCAAUAUUAUCUCAGAUGCCCAUAUUAUCUUUUUCUUUCCCAGAUUCCAAAACUUCACGUGGCCUCCAUUAAAUGUUUGUCGGCACUUUCGGCGUUUUCAAAGUUUUAUUUUCAUCAAAAACCGAUCUUGCUUUACGGAUUUCACGGAGCUACUUUUUCAAAAGUACCCCGAGAAUCUCGCAAUUUUCUUAUGGUUAAUUUGAAAUUCACCGGUUCUACCUAUUCAUUAUAUUUGUGUAUAAAUGUGUUACUAACGAAAUUUUCUUUGCAGAAGACAUCUAGUUUUUCUCCAUACCUAGUGAUGCGAUACCUACUUGUUUUUCUAAUCAGUGAGCACUUAAUAUGCCCGAGAAGCAAGACUAUCUCUGAUCAUCCAUUCAGGAAGCGAGACUAUCCCUGAUCACGUUUCCGCUACAUCAGGAAACUGUGAAGGCGAUCUUAUGCUCUAAUCUCUGGAAGUCCUUCUAGACUAGGAGAUAUGAGAGCUUAUUGUCUGCUCCCACCAGCUUCCUUCCCUGAUUGCUUACCUUCUUUUUUUGCAUUUUUUCUCUUUCUGUAACUCUCUGAGGAUUAUUUGUUUUUGACAGAGAAAAGAGUUGUGAUUUUACUAUUGCAGGAUAUAACUAGAUCAUCAAGCGCUACAUUUACUGGGCCGAUACAAGCUUGAAUGAUACUUGAGAAAAGUUUCUCCCACCUAAGGAUGUAAGCAAUACUUGUGUUAUUUUUUGCUUAUAUACUUAUUUGAUAUUUUAUCUUGAAAGGUAACUAAAUGGGAAGAUAAGUCCGUUCCAAAAGAAUGGCUUGUAUGUAUCCAUGAAUUAUUAAUGCAAAUUUCACAGAUUGCAAGUUGGAUACAUUGAUAAUACACUGCAUAGAUUAAUGUACCAUAAGAACAGAAUAUGGGUAUAGCAGUGAUCAAUAUGAUGCACGCCUGUUGCGUAGCAAAUGAUAUGGAUUGAAGUCCCGAAAGAACAAUCCUUUGACAUGUCAAUAUUGAUAUUAUGCACGCCUAAUGCGUAGCAAAUUAUAUGGGUUAAAGUCCCAUAAUAUGGGUUAAAGUCCCAGAAAUUAAUUGACAUGUAUGUAUUAAUCUGUGGCAUGCCUGCAGCAUGACAGAUAUAUGGGUUCUAAAUGUUCCAACUCUCUAAACAGAGAUUAUCCACGCCCUACUGUAAAAUAACGCUCCAUUGGAGGUUAUAAUCCACAUUCUCACAUAAUAAAAGCCCCAUGAAGUGGCUUGGGUACCCAAAAGCAAAGAAAUGCUUAUAAUUAAUGCAUGCGCAUGCACAUGAGAAUGGUGAGAUCAUGAAUUGAUGAAUGACAAUUUUUGGUUUUGGAGUAGCUACUCAAAUCAUCAAUGGGCUGUGUUGAUUGGAACCACGUUCAAUUAUUAAAUGUCGACAAUAUUAUUGGCCAAAAUGGAAUGAUGUAAUUCCAUUAUAGAUGAGAAUGAACGUGAAAGAACAAACCCACAGUACGAACCCCAAAAGAUGUUAAUACUGAAACUUAUACUUGGGUGUUCGGAAUAAAAGGGAAUAUACCUACUUUGUAUGACACAAUGUUUCUGGCAGAAACAAGGAAUGUUGGGUUUUCUCCAUAUUUACAGAUUCAAUUGUGCCCCCCCCUUAUUACACAAUUACGAAGACCAACAUAUUAUCUUUAGGGGUUAUUAAAUGCACGGAGCAUAUCGCUAGAAGCGAUUUCCUAAAGAUGUAUAAAUAGCUGGGUUAAAGCUAUAUAAUGUGUCAUAAAGUUUAAUCCCUUUUAAACAAAAUCCGUUGAGAGGAUUGACAUUGCAUAAAGCAAGUCCCUAAAGGACAUGUGCUUGAAGCACAAAAUUUGUACUCAAUAUUAAUAUGCAUAAAUUACCUCAGUGAGUACAUUGAUUAUAAUGUGAUUGCAACACAUUAAAACUUCUGCAGAAUUCACGAAAUAUUUGUCUCGAUCGAGCAUUAUGCCAACGAGAUUCUUGCUUAUACUAAGAAAGUAUUGAAGCAUUUUUAUGAGUCUUAUCCGUUGGUCCUUAAAUGUUUUUCCGGAAGUAUACUAGACCAGAUAGAGCUCAGCUCCACACUGUACUCUUUUUCCUUCAUCCAGGUUUUUAUCCCACUGGGUUUUUCCUGGUAAGGUUUUAACGAGGCAGUGUCGCUCAAGAUUGACUCACAGAAGCAGUCUCAACUACGAUAUUCAGAAAGGUGAUCAACAGUAUGACUUAAAGAUAUUUUGCCAAGCAUCAGGGGGAGCGUGCUAUCAUUAAAGAUCUUCAAACACUGUACUCUUUUUCCUUCGUACAGGUUUUUAUCCCACUGGAUUUUUCCUGGCAAGGUUUUAACGAGGCAGUGUCGCACGCGCGUCAAUAUACAUAGAAUUUUAUGUUACACAUAAUUAUGUACUCUUUUUCCUUUGACCAGUUUUUUUUUUUUGUCCCACUGGGUUUUUACUGGCAAGGUUUUUAACGAGGCAUAUUACAUAUCAUUUGUGGUCUCCAAGGGGGAGUGUUGUAAAAUAAAGAAGGUGGAGUCCAAAAUGAUGCUUACCUAUAAAGCUUCCCCCCCACUUGUAUUGGUAGGGAGAAGGUGGAGUCCAAAAUGGUAAUGAUGAUGCUUGCCAACACAAGAAGAAUGAUUAGGCAACCACUUUGUUCUGCCUACAAAUAAGGCUUCCUCCUCACUUGUAAUAUAUAGAACAUAGAUACAGAUAUGUGAAGAACUCUCUAUUCAAUAAGAGAUCAGUUUUUCUCUAUCUCAAUUCUCUCCAUUUUCUCUCUUGAUUUAUAACAUGGUAUUUCUUUUCAUUUUAUUAAAGGUAAGAAAUUCAAAACUUAUCUCAAAUUGACUUUAUUGAAAAUUUAAAAUUCUAACUAAACUCCACAGCACACAUGUUCCUUCACUGAUGACGUAGGAAACUUAACAUCCCUCCCUUUGAAGUGAAUUUAUCAAUCUACUUCUAUUUCCAUGGCCUAUAUCAAAUUGCAUUAAACAUAGUCAAUAAACGUCAUAAUUUUGUGAUCGUACUCGCCUGUGGUCCUCUUUUCCUUUCAAAGUACCUGAAGCCAACCUUCCCUAAGGACACCCAGACCCAAUCGAGAUAGAAAAAGGCCGCCCUAGCCCAUAUAACAACCAUACAGCGGAUUAGAGAGAGAAAAUAAAAUAUCGUUUCAGCCCCUCCUUACCCAGAGAAACCUUUACACCCUUCCAAGUCCAUCUUUAUCGCUUUCCCAUUGAGUCACAAACCCACGUAACUACGCGCAGUGAUUUAACUUUCAACAUUUGUGUAUAUUAAAUGUGAGACGAAAGGAUAUCUCGCCAAUGUGGGACUAAUAAUUGUCAUUUGGCAAGAGAAGCCCAAUUUAUUUUCUACUAAAGAUUGAGGUGAAACUCAGAUUGUUUCAACCAUAAUGAUUAAACUUGUCAAAACUCAACAUCAAAACCGACAUGAUUAUCUUCUCAUCUUUAAUUGACAAUCACUCAUCUUCACUUAUUUUAGAAUGCGUUGCUUCGCAAAAAUCAAAACCUGGAGAGUUUGCAACUCCAACUUUGGCAAUUUAUUUCUUGGGUUUUUGCUUACACAAUCUCUAAUUUUUUGCUGUGCGGUGGCGGCUCCAUUUUAGGCCAUAUCGCUGCUUGUCGGUCAAUCAUUAGUUAUGUAAGUUCAGCUCAGUUACGAACCAAUUCCACCCCUAUCUAAAGAGGUUAGUAUUUUUAUGUUACACUUGUAUUGGUACUUUUAGUCGUAUUGAAACUACAACACAAUAUCUAGUAUGCGUAGAAUUAAAAAUUAAAUUAUUGAGGAGUUAUGUUAUGCUUAGAUAAGUAAAAAGGAUGAACAUUUUACUCUGAGAUUUUCCAACUCCAACUUCUGGUAAUUUGCUUCUUGGGUUUUCGCUUACCGGAUUUCUAAUUUUAAUUGAGGAAGUGAACUAGCUAGGAAACCUUAACAAGAAGCAUAAAACCAUUACAUAAUUAUUUUUAAAUAAAAAGAGCCCUCAUCUCACAUCAAGAAAGUACACAUCAAGUUUUUAAAUUCUCUCACAAUUAAUCCUUAAAAGUUCAAACUUAAUUUUUGAAAUUUGGGUUUUUUUAAAAGUUCGUUUAUUAAACCUCUAAUUAGGAAACCCCUUCAAAACCAAACAAAAUUCAUUUAGAAAUUAAAGAGAAAAAAACACCAUAUUCAAAAAUUCCCAAGAAAGAAAAACCAUUAUAUCAAUAAAAAAUUACAUUUUAUUAAACCUCUAAUUAUUAACUUGUAUUAGGAAAACCACAUACACAAAAAGAUGGACGUCGGGGGUUGAAGAGCCCCCACGGUGGGUGGCUACAUGAGGGGUGCCGGUGAGCUACUCUGGAGGGAGUAAUGCAGUAAGAGUGUCUUCUCGCUGCUCUGGUAAGCCAACGAGCUUUACAGCAUGCUGCAAAUUACAUCUUCCAUCUUCGCAAGGCGGAAGAAUAUUCUUGACGGCCUGCACUUCAGGGUUGGCCUAGCCGUUAGGGUUGUCCUCAGGUUCCUAAUUCCCUUCCAAACCAUCCUUAUUGCCCCCACAAUGGGUCACAUGCUCGCGUGACUGAGCUCGGCGUUUCUAAAGCCAAUACUUGGGUAUAUUAGGUGCUUAACUGUUGGCUAUUCUAUCGAUGUGGGAUUGUGAGUAUAUGAAAUAUGAGUUCUCUUUCUUCAUGUAUUUUGAAUGAAAACCUUUGCAUCUCUUUGGUCAUAUCUAUUAAACAUGAAAUACAAAGAUGAUUUUUCUAACAGUUUUUGCGUAUUUCAACUAGAUUAUGAACACCAAACAGAUUGAACAAAAUGGAGAAAUCUAUUGCUUAUUUUGUUUGGUUUCAAACUAUACAAGAUGGUUGCCAAGAGCAGUUUCGAGUGCCAUUCUCAAUGAAGAUCCUGUGCACGUAGAACAAUCCAAAUCUUAUGUUUUUGCCUCAAGAAUUCUGGCGUUUGGAUUUUUAUACUUCGGUGUGUCUUAUGAAGGUCCUCGCCGAUCCUCUUUUAGUAGUGCUUAAACCCUAGAAUGCUAUGCUUCUAUUUUAUUUUAUUUUAUUGUUCGAAAAAUGCAAUGCUUCUAAGGACAAGCGAUAUUGAAAGCACAGCAGGAAAACAAGAAUGCAAAAGGUUUCACUUUCAAUAUGGAAUUUUUAUGAAAAUCUAGAUAGUGACAACAUAUUAACACUAACCUGAUUUGGACAUGGUGAUGAUGUUGAUAGCACAACAGGAAAACCAGAGAGUUCUUCGUUUAGAAGCCGAGCCUUAUAGCAGUGAUUCUAGAUGGGGUGAAUUUCUGUAAAGCUUAAGUAUUUCAAGUUUAUGAGGGAACCCUCUAUUUAUAUGCAUCUCUCUAGGAGUCUUGCCCAUCAAGAAACUCCUAGAGAUAACCUUUAUGUGAUAGGAUUAUCUUCUCAUCUUUAAUGACAAUCACUCAUCUUUACUUCUUUUAGAAUGCGUUGCUUCUCCAAAAUCUAAAACCAUGGAGAGUUUGUAACUCCAACUUUUGGCAAUUUACUUCUUGGGUUUUCGCUUACACAAUUUCUAAUUUCAGGUGGUGCGGUGGCGACUCAUUUUUAGGCCAUUUCGGCACUUGUCAGUCAGUCACUAAUCACGUAAGUUUGGUUUGUUUACCAAACCAAUUCCACACCUAUUUGAAGGGGAUAGUAUUUUUAUGUUACACUUUUAUUGGUACUUUUAGUUGUAUUGAAACUACAACACAAUGUCUAUUUGUGUAGAAUUAAAAAUUAAAUUAUUGAGUUAUGUUGUACUUAGAUAAGUAAAAAGGAUGAAAAUUGUACUAAAAAGGAUUUUCCAACUCCAACUUUUGGUGAUUUGCUUCUUGAGUUUUCGCUUAUCCGAUUUCUAAUUUUAGCCCUCUAAUCAUUUGUCUCUCUCAAAUUUAAUUGAGGUAGUUAACUAUCAAGGAAACCUUAACAAGAAGCAUAAAACCAUUACUUAAUUAUUUUUAAUAAAAAGAGCCCUCAUCUCACAUCAAGAAAGCACACAUCAAGUUUUUAAAUUCUUUCGCAAUUAAUCCUUAAAAGUUCAAACCAAACAAAAUUCAUUUGGAAAAUUAAAAAUUACAGCAAAUUCAAAAAAAAAAAAAUUCCCAAGAAAAGAAAAACCAUUAUAUAUAACUAAAACCCCUUUUAUAAGAUCAUCACACCAAUUUUAUUAUUUUUUCAAUUAGUUGUUAAUAUUUUAUUACACAUAAUGUGGACCCUACGAAUGACAUAUCAUCACUUAACUGAUUUCGCUACGAUCAAAGUAAUGACGGAACCAUAUAGCAAUAAAUUUCCAAUGUGGGGUACUAUAUUAUUAAAAUUGAAAGGGCAUGGAUAAAUAACAUACCUAACGGCUUAAGGAUACAAUUGCUUGGUAACUUAAUUUUAUGUUCGUUUAUUAAAACUAACCCACAGCUGUAAAGACGUCUCUCAUCUUCAUCAAGGAGGAAGUAACUCUAUAGCCCUGCCCUUCAGGGCUGGCCUAACCGAAACGGCCUGCACUUCAGGGCUACCUCUUUCUCUUACUACCCAAGUGCGUGAUGUAACCUGUAACUCCUUUGCAUCCAGAUUGGCACGCCGACAAGGGCCCACUGUGCCCCUCAUGUGCGCGCACAUGCCGUCCGCAGGCUCCUACCCCUUCCUAACCAUCCUUAAUGCCCCCACAUUGGGUCACAAACUCACAUGACUGAGCUCAGCACUUCUCAAACCAAGACUUGGGUAUAUUAGGUGCUUAACUUUUCUCUAUUUUAUCGAUGUGGGAUUGUGAAUACAUAAAAUCUGAGUUAUCUUUCUUCACGUAUUUGAAUGAAAAAGCUUUGCAUCUCUUUGGUCAUAUCUAUUUAACAUGAAAUAGAAAGAUGAUUUUUCUAACAGUUUUUGCGUAUUUCAACUAAGUUAUGAACACCAAACAGAUUGAACAAAAUGGAGAAAUCUAUUGCUUGUUUUGUUUGGUUUCAAACUAUACAAGAUGGUUGCCAAGAGCAUUUUCGAGUGCCAUUCUCAAUGAAGAUCCUGUGCACGUAGAACAAUCCAAAGAGUUGAUUGAUUUGCAGAGUCCAAAUCUUAUGUUUUUGCCUCAAGAAUUCUGGGGUUGGGGAUUUAUACUUUGGCCUUCAGCUUCGACUAGAUAAACAAGUUUAUUGUUGACGCACCAACUUCCCCAAAUAUCCAAUUUGAAGAAAGAAAUUUUCAAAGUCAAUACUCAGUCUCCUCUGAUAAACUUUAUGAAUGGAAUAUUGAUGGUCUGUCUGAACAAGAAAUUAUGAAUAAAUUACAACAUAUGUUUACGGUCGCCAAUAGUUACAUUACUAACCAUAACCUAAAACAGUCAGAAAUAGUACCUCUCCUAGAAAUAGGAUUCACAAGAACCUUACGUAUAAAAAUAAAUUUUUUAAAAAAGAAAAAGAUAAAAUAAAUUAUUUAACAAAUAAAAAUGGAUAGAAUAAAUAAGAUAGCAGAGUAAAUUCAACCAAAAACAAAAGCCAUAAAAUAUGUAAAAAGAAGAGCACAAAACAAAAACCAUAAAAUAUGUAAAAAGAAGAUGCACAAAAGGAUGGAGGUUGGGUUAUAGAGCGGGCCUGGAGCCUAACAGAGGGUGCCGGCACGUGGAACCCAAGCACAGACAAACGGAGCGCCAUCUGCUGCUCUAAUAAGCCAGCAUUCUUUGUUGCACAAAGACGUUUGAUCUUUUCCACUUCGUUGUCAGCCUCGGAAGAUCUCUACCUAAUUACAGGCAAAGCGGCAUUUUUGCAAAGCCACCUCUCCCACUCUCCAAUUCUGCGACGGGGGUUAAGAACCCACAAUCUCGCCCCAACCCCAAAGCAUCUCUGGCCAAAUUUGUGCCUCGCAUAUAGACGUCUGACACCGAUUUCAUGCGGACGACGUUACACACUCUUCCCUUCCAUGCCAUCCUUAUUGCCCCCACUUUGGGUCACAAGUCAGCGUGACUUGACUCGGCAAUGGACGUUCGUAGAACUUGUUAUAUAAAUAGCACCACCGAAGUAUAAUUUGUCGAUGUGGGACAAAAUUGCAUGGCCUGGCGAGUUUUUUUGAUUUUUUUUUCCCACUUGAAAAAGAGUAAGUGGGUUUGUUGUCCAGAGAUUAAGGUACGGGCUCCAUUUGCUCCUGUGGCUAUUUCUCCGGAACAUGUUGCACAGGCGAUGAGUUUUUCUCAAAUACUUCUUUCUGACUUCGUUCUCUUCUCUGUAUAGUUUUGCUUGAUAUAAUUCAGUAGAAAUGCUAGCUUUAUAUUGGCCCUUUUUUUUUCUUCUCAUUUGCUGGAAAUAUAAAUCUCGUACAAGCUUUACUGGUCUUUUUCUCUCCUUUCUCUUCUUUUUGUUUAUUUGUUUUUUAAAUAUAAAAAUAAUAAUUAAGCAUGUACGGAAUCAGGAUAUUCAUGUGGUGAAAACUAGAAGAGUACUUUUGUUUCCCCUGUAAAGAGAGUAAGUGGGUGUCCAAUUUGACCCCAAAAAAAUUUCAUUUCCCUCUUUUCACAUAAAACUGAAAUUAAUUAUCAAACAACUUUUCUCAGUUAUUAGUUUUAAAAAAUAAAAAUAAAAAACUGAUAGUUAUCAAAAGGAUUCUUAAUAUUUUUGUUUCGUCUUGUUCUGAAUGAGAUACCUUUACAUAUUUUAUUCGUUUGUUUUGUAAUUCUUUGUCAUAGAGUUUAGGGAUUAUGAUUUCGCCUUUUCCAGUUAAGGGAUUAUGAUUUCGAAACUUGAUGCUUACCUUUAUUUAUUAUUUAUGUUGAGUCUGAAAAAAGAAAAUGAUUUGGUUGUCAAUUUGUGAAUAAUAGGAUGGUACGAGAAAAACUAAAAGAAGAUUAGGACCCGUUUGAUAACUAUUUCGGUAUUUUGUUUUUAGUUUUUAGUUUUCAAUUCAAAGAAAUUGAAAGCAUAAAACUUCUUUGGUUAUCAAUUUUAGGACCCGUUUUGUAACCAUUUUAUUUUAUUUUUGAUUUUCUUCUUUUUUAUUAUAAAAAAAAACUGAAAACAUAUUUGAUAAAACUUUUCAUUGUCAGUUUUCAAAAUCACCCUUUCUAAUUCUCAUGAAUCAAACAUUUUCAAACAAUCCAUUCUCCAAAACAAACAAUGCUUAAUGAGUAUUGACAUCUGAAUCAAUGCGUGUUGAUGAACUAUCUAAGACAACAUGCAAACUACGUUCAUUAGAUAUAUGCUUUUGACCUCAUUAUUCUUGUAGUGAACUACAAUUAGAAUAGUAUAUUACAAUUUUGGAUGUCGAAACGGUUUUCGAUUUGUCUAAUUUUUUAUAAGGAUGAUUUAUGAAUGAAGACCUUAAAAAUAGAGGGUUUGAAUCAUUGAAAAAAUAUUUGUAGGAUACCUUAACGGGUGUCCCUUAAAUAAAUUAUUUGAAGGAUCCUCAAUAUAUAUAUAUAUAUAUAUAUCCUUUGCAGCCUCUUCCUCUACCCUAGAACGAGACCUAGAGUUAGAGAAAGCUUUAAUUGAUUUAAAAUUGGAAUCACUGAGAAAAACUUCCCAAGUUACCCAUCCUGUUUGUGAAAAAAUUCCAGUACAAGAAGAUACUAAGUCUGAGUCCCCUGAAUCACCCACUCAAUCCGAUUUCAUAGGUAAUCAACUGAGAACACUUAAUAAAAUAUUUGUAAUUAAUUGGAAAUGACUAGAUAGUCAUUUGCAUGCCCCUGAGAAUCAAGGUAGAAGAGAUUAUUACCAUUCAAUCAUCCCUGAUAGAAUUCAAAGACAACAAAUUUUUAAUGAUUGGAAAGAAUACAUGCGCACUGCUAAAGUUGAAAUAUAUUAACUUGAUUUUGUAGAAAACCGACAUUUACCCAAUGAGUUAAAAACUUUAACCCAAGAAAAAUGGGAAAAAGUAGAUCACACUGAGAUUCUUGCUAGUCAUCCACCCGUUGAAACAAUAAUCAUUAAGCAUCAGAAAUCUAAAAUAGUCGCAUGCCCCUUUAAGAUCCCUGAUCCAGAGAAUAAAAUGAUAGUUGAACAAAAUAAUUACACCAACCAAAGUCUAGUUGUCAUAGGUAAACAAUUAGAUAAGAUAGAGACAAAAGUCGACAAGUUACUUCCAACAGAGCUCACACCUAAACAUCAUGAGAAACCCCUAGUUACAUUCCAAGAUUUAAAAUCAAAUCCAACUUUUAAGACAAAAGAAACAAUGACAAAAAUUGAGAAAAUGUUAGAAGAAUUAACGCCAGUCAAAAGAAAAGACAAAGAAAAGGUUGAAUCAAGCGUUAAAGUCCUAGGAUCCUCUGAGUCACCAUUUGUUUUCCAUAACUCCUCUAAGUCUGAAUCAAUCGUUAGUAUGGAAACAUAAACUAGUAAUAUAUCUAAAAUUGAAAAUGCGUUUAGAAAUCUUGAGUUAGAAAAUAAUCCAAAAGUCCAAAGAUUAACAAAUAGAGUCAGUCCCAAUAGUCUAACAAAAAACUGGUAUCCUAAGCCAACACCUUCUGAUAUACAAUUUGAAGAACGAAACACCUAAAGUCAGUUUUCAGUCUCUUCAGAAAAGUUAUAUGAAUGGAAUAUUGAUGGUCUUUCUGAGCAAGAAAUUAUUAAUAAACUUCAACAUAUGUCCAUGGUUGCUAAUAGUUACAUCACCAAUCACAGUUUUAGACAGUCUGAAAUUGUUCCUUUGCUAGAAACUGGUUUCACUGGAACUCUUCAUUCUUAGUGGGAUAAGCAUUUAACCCAUGAGUCUAAGCAACAUAUAAUUCAUGCAGUCAAACUUAAUGAAGACGGUCUUCCCAUUUUUGUUGAACAAAUAGGUCAAGUCAUUGAAGAUGGAGUCAACACUCUGCUAUACACAAUAGUUGAACAUUUCAUUGGAACACCCAGUAAUACUACUGCUAGGAUACAUGAUCAGCUUAGUAACUUAAGGUGCCCAAAAUUAUCUGAUUUUAGAUGGUAUAAAGAUGUGUUUAUUUCAAGAGUCAUGCUUAGAGAUGACAGUAAUCAGUCAUUUUGGAAAGAAAAAUUUGUUAAUGGUCUUCCUAAUUUAUUUGACCAUAAGAUCCGAACAACCCUUAGCAACGAACAAGGUCAUAUUGAUUGGGAUAGUUUAACAUAUGAAAAUAUAAUUAGCACGAUUAAUCAAGUCGGUAUGAGAAUGUGUGUUGAUAUAAAGAUUGGUAAACAAAUUCAGUCUGAGAGAAAUUCUGCUAAAUAUGAGUUAGGUAAUUUCUGUGAACAAUAUGGUCUAAUAUCUAUUCCCCCGUCUAGAAAGAAUAAGUCUAGUCACCACAACCGACAAUUUAGUAAACGUUGCCAUUAUUCACGCAGAAGACAAUCAUUCCAACAUAAUAAUGAGGAUAAAGAAUUUUAUAGUAAAAAGAGAUUCCCCCUUAAGAAAAACUGGAAAAAGAGUCACAGCAAAGAUAAGAAUAAUCGCUUUAAGAAAAGUACCAACAAGAGAAAAGUAAAAUGUUAUAAAUGUCAAAAGUUUGGCCACUAUGCUAAUAAUUGCAAAGUUAAAGACACAAUCAAACAAUUAAAAAUCACGGAUGAAGAUAGAGACAAACUGAUUGAAGUCCUUGAGUUAAGAAAUUUUGAGUCAAGUGAAAAUGAAACCAUGGUUAGUAGCACUGAGUCUUUAGAAUCUAUCUCCUCAGAUUCCCAAUUAAGCUCACCCAGAAUUCAAUUUGGUUGCCAAGAUAAUUGCUUUAAGUCUAAGUCAAUUAAUGUCCUUACUAAGCAAGAAGAAAUGAAGAAUUAUUAAUUGAUUUAAUAAGUAGAGUUGAAAACCCAGAAUUAAAAUCUGAGUAUUUAAGGAAAUUAAGAAAAGUCAUCAGCCAAGAAGAAUCUAAACAGUCUAAUUCCCAAAAGAUAAGUCUGAAUACAACCUUAGAGAACUUUAAUAAAAAGAAAGAAGUCACUUUAUAGGAUUUACAAUUAGAGGUAAAAUUAGUAAAAAAAAAAAUAAUUGAGAUAAAACAAAUAAGUCAAAAGUUACAAAGUGAAAAUUAUGAGAUAAAACAAGAAUUAGUUAACUUAUUAGAAAAGAGAACUUCUGAGUUUACACCAGUUAAUCCCACAAAUUCUGACGAAGAACCCUCCAAUCAGGAUCAUGUCGUCAAUUUAAUCAGAUAAGUCAAUUUUAGAAAAUGAUAUGCUAAAGUCACCAUAUUUGUAAAAAAAAUUUGAGUUAAACACAAUCGCCCUCUUUGAUUCAGGUGCCGACCUUAACUGCAUCCAAGAAGGUCUAAUCCCCACUAAAUAUUAUAAGAAAUCAAAAGAGUCUUUAAGCAUAGCCUCAGGAAAGUCACUCUAGUUAAAUUAUGAAUUCCCUAAGGCCCAUGUCUGUCAAAACAGAAUCUGUUUUAAGACCUCUUUUGUCUUAGUUAAAAAUAUAACUGACGCAGUCAUCUUAGGUUUACCCUUUAUUACCCGCUUAUAUCUUUUCCAGGUCGAACACGAUGGAGUCAUUUCCACCUGUUUAGGUGAAAAGGUUAAGUUUGAAUUCCUGAGUAAACCAGAGUUACAUAAUUUAAAAGAAUUACAGAAGAAUGCAGUCACUAAAAUAAUCAGAGUCAUUCAAAAUAAAGAUAAGCAACUAGAGUUUCUCCAGGAAGAAGUUAGAACAAAACAAAUUGAGCAACAACUUAGUCAUAAGUCAUUACAGUCACAAAUUCGAUAGUUUGAAGAAAAAUUAAAACAAAAAGUCUGUUCUGAGUUACCCAAAGCUUUUUGGGAUAGGAAACAGCAUGUAGUCAGUCUUCCUUAUGUCAAGACCUUUAGUGAGAAAAAUAUACCCACUAAAGCCAGACCAAUACAAAUGAGCAAAGAAUUAACGAAAUUUUGUAAAACUGAGAUCACAUAAGUACUUGAGAAGGGGGUCUUGUCCUGCUUUCUAUGUCCAAAAAAAUGCUGAACUAGAACGCGGAGUCCCGAGAUUAGUCAUUAAUUACAAGCCGCUUAAUACUGUCUUAGAAUGGAUUAGAUAUCCGAUUCCUAAUAAAAGAGAUCUAAUUAAUAGAUUAGAAAAGUCAGUCAUUUUUUCUAAGUUUAACAUGAAGAGUGGAUUUUGGCAAAUUCAAAUUUGUGAGUCUGAUAGAUACAAAAUUGCUUUUGUUACCCCAUUUGAUCAUUAUGAGUGGAAUGUCAUGCCUUUUGGUCUUAAGAAUGCGCCCAGUGAAUUUCAAAAUAUAAUGAAUGAGAUUUUUAAUCCUUACAGUCAUUUUUCCAUAGUCUAUAUUGAUGAUGUGCUCGUCUUUUCUGAGUCGAUAGAGCAGCACUGGAAACAUCUGCAUAAAUUCUUAUAGAUAGUCAAACAAAAUGGAUUAGUUGUUUCUGUUAAGAAAAUUAAGUUAUUCCAAAUUAAUGUGAGAUUCCUUGGGUUUAAUAUCUGUCAGUCAUAGACAAAAGUCAUCCAGUUUGCUGAUAAGUUUCCUGAUCAAAUCACAGACAAAAGUCAACUCCAAAAAUUUUUAGGAUCUCUAAAUUAUGUUUCUGAUUUCUAUAAGAAUUUGAGAAAACAAUGUAAGCCUUUAUUUGAUCGUCUCCAAAAUAAUCCUCCUCCUUGGUCAUCUAUUCAUACUGAUAUAGUCAAACAGAUCAAAGCUCAUACUAAAACACUUCCCUGUCUUGGUAUCCCUUCUGCUCAUUCAUUCAAAAUAGUUGAAACUGAUGCCUCUAACAUUGGUUAUGGAGGUAUCCUCAAACAAAGAGUUAAUUCUAGUCAAUCUGAGCAAAUCAUUCGAUUCCAUUCUGGUACUUGGUCUUAGUCCCAAAAUAAUUAUAGUACUAUUAAAAAAGAGAUAUUAUCUAUUGUACUAUGCAUUAAUAAAUUUCAGUCUGAUUUAUUAAAUCAAAAUUUUUUAAUCCGAGUUGAUUGUAAGUCUGCUAAGCAUAUUUUAGAAAAAGAUGUUCAAAAUAUUGCAUCCAAACAAAUAUUUGCAAGAUGGCAAGCUAUUUUGAGUAUCUUUGAUUUUGAUAUUGAGUAUUUGAGAGGAAGUGAGAAUUCUGUCCCUGAUUUUCUUACCAAAGAAUUUCUACAGGGAAAACAAUGGCAGAAAGAAGAAAAGAAAAAGACAAGCAAAAGAGUCAAAUUGGUCAAUCUAGUCAACCCAGUCAUCCCCAGUCACUCCGAGUCCUCCCUCCAUCAAUGAGUCAAGCCAAACAUGAGUCACCUUCGCAGAUUGUCCCUUUCCCGGGAUGUUCUCCUAUCCAAAUUAGUAACAGAUUUGCCAACCUAGGAGCCCCAGUAGGCCGAGUUCGCCCUAGUUUCCAGUCUGCCCUAAUAUCCAGUCAUGAUCCCUUCCAGGAUAUUGCUCCCAGUUGCCUCUUAUCAUAAGACGUCUCCAUACACGAUCAAAAGUAAUAUCACCUAUUCGUAAUUGAGUCAAAAUACAAUUCCAUUGCCAAUCCAAUCACCAUUGCCAAAUCCUACUUUCCACCAAAUAGUCAUUUCAUUCCUCCAGCACCAUUCAAAAAUUUAAAAUUUUACAGAGACAUCCUCCAUGAGACCCAAUCCAUCACAAUUAAAACAAUCAAAGACAGAGACAACCCCCAUAUCAUCCUUUAUCAUUCUCUUUACAUCCAUCAAAUCAUCGGUGAGAAUGAAUGGAGCAGUCACCUAUAUAAUCUCAAAGUUCUUCAGUCAGAACUUCAAUACAGUUAUUAUGAUUAUAUCGAAGCAUGGUAUUCUAUCUUGCUUCACCAAACAGUUGAUUUUAGUCAUUCAUGGUUCCUCAAUUUUGACAGCAAAUUUAAGAGUCCUUUCCCCUACUAGUUCAAUCAUUGGUGGGAAAAACAUGGUCCAGUCAUUGAUCUAUUUCCUCCUCCAAUGCAAGAUUUAGUCAAUUAUUUCACUAAUAAAAAUAAGUUUAAAGAGUCUGAGUUGUUCUUCCCAAAUCUUCUCCAUUUUGUUGCUAAGUACAAAGUCCCUUGGAUCCUCAAAUGGUCAUACCAAGUUAAUUGGGAAACUAGAGUCCUAUCCCGUCAAUUUUCAAUCAAAUGGUGGGAUAAAUUUAAACUUGAGCAUAUUGCAGAUUAUGUUUAUGCUGAUUUUCCUCCAGUCAGGAAUCCACAGCCUGAGAAAAAGUCAUCCCCUGCUACAUCACAUUCUUCUCUUCCAAUCGAGGAAAAAUCUAAGUCUGAGUUGCAGGAAAUUGCUCGCCAGCUAAUGUUACAAGCCUCACAAAUGAAUGAAGAUGAUGAUAGUGAUGCCACUCCCAAGUCACAAUCAUCCACCAGUCAACCAAAGUCAUCCCCAAAAUGCGGUGGAGUGAUUACCCUCUUGAUGAUCAAAUCCAUGGUCAAGACCCUUAUGAUUUUAGUCCUCUUGACCUCAGAGAUGAUUAAAGUUGCCCAACAUCAUGAGUCCUGAGACAGACAAAGCAUUCGGAAUCUUGGACCCGUGCUUUAACAGUCUGGUAGCCCGUGCUCCUUUAGUCCGAUUCUCCGACAAAGUAAAAUUUACAGCACUCAGUAAAAGCAAAAGCUUUCGCGUGCUUCUACAGUCACUCUCCAAGCAUCCAAUGUUGCCAGCUCAUCAAUAGUUACUUUAUUUGCUUAUUUAAGAAGGCCUUGGCCUCAGUCAUCCACGUAAUGUAAUUAGUACACUAUAAUUUUCUCAGUUUCAAAGUUCUAUCAGCAUCAAUGCUCUGAAGAACUAAGUGGUGAAACUAGAAUCUUUGUAAGUGUUUUACAUUCAAGUUAUCAAUUAUAUUUUGAGUAUUUUGAAUAAUGCUAUUUUUGAUUGCAUCUAUUUUCAUAUAUUCAUUAAUUUGUUUCAUGCAUAAGUUGAGUCUGUUUUAUUAUCUCUGCCUCUGUUCUUAUAUUAUCCCUUCUAUCUCUUCUUGGUUCUAGACCCUUCUAGCAAAUAAAGUAACUAUUGAUGAGCUCGCAAGAUUGGAUGCUUGGAGAGUGACUGUAGAAGCACGCGAAAGCUUUUGCUUUUACUGAGUGCUGUAAAUUUUACUUUGUCAGGAAAUCGGACUAAAGAAGCACGGGCUACCAGACUGUUGAAGCACGGGUCCAAGAUUCCGAAUGCUUUGUCUGUCUCAGGACUGAUGAUGUUGGGCAACUUUAAUCAUCUCCGAGGUCAAGAGGACUAAAAUCAUAGGCGUCUUGACCAUGGAUUUGAUCAUCAGGAUAUAUAUUUGUGUGUAUGUGUGUGUAUGUACAUGACGAGUAGUAUAUAUAUUAUAACAUAAUCAAUGCCAAUUGUUAGAUUUCCUUUAUGAUUAUAACACAUUAUAUAAUAAUUCAUGUUUCUUCAAUAGAUUCUACAAAGGGCCAUACUUGAUUUGUGUGUGAAUAUAUUCAUGUACAUAAGUAAAUAAGAAUCCUUUUCUUUUUAAAACUACGACAUAAAUUUUUGUAGCUUUGUGUAUCGUCAAAGGGGCAAGGCAUUCCUUCAAUACUUUUAAAAAAGUACACGGCAUUGGAUACCUUUAAAGACAACUUAAAAUACGUUGACAUUUCUCUUCAUUUUAGUGCCAAUCAAAAAUUCUAAACAAUAUAUGAAAUUUAUUUUAUUGAAAAUUGUACUAAUAUUGUAAAAUCUGGUAUAAGGAAUUCUAUAUUCCAUGGUAUUUACAUACAAUAUGUGCAGGUACAUAUAUAGGGAUUGAUACAGCAAUAUAGAUCCCACAAUUAUGCAGUUAGCCAAACUAGGACCCCAAACACGAGGUCAUGCUAUCUCUAAACUAGGCAAGAAUCAAUUACAAUAUUCUCAAAUAUCAAUUGGAAUAAACCCAUAUCUCAACACUCCACCUCAAAUUGGCGAGUGGAUAUUGUACACUUCCAACUUGCCAAGUAGUGUUCCAAAGGAAGCCUUCCUUAAUGGUUUUGUGAAGAGGUCUGCCACUUCAAAUUUGUUGGCGUGUAUGUAGUGGAAACCAAUCCUGGUGUAAUAUUUUGUCGCACCAAAUGACAAUCCAGGUCAAUAUGUUUUGUCCUUUCAUGGAAGACAAGGUUUUUGGCAAUGUGUAAUGCUGAUUGGUUAUCGCAGUGUAGUGUCAUUGGUUCUGAAUGUUGAAUGCCCAAAUCAUUGAGAAUAUAUCUCAACCAUGUUAACUCGCAACAUGUAUCCACCAUGGCACGGUACUCCGCUACUGCAGACGAACGUGCAAUGGUGUUUUGUUUCUUUGAUUUCCAUGAGAUCAGAGAGUUGCCAAGGAAGGUAGUAAACUUUACAAACCAGUUACGUGAAGCUUGUUUCAGACCAUAUAGAGAUUUGUGUAGCUGACAUACCAAAUUCUCCCCAUGUCGGCUAAAAUCAGGCAGGAGAGUCAUGUAAACCUCCUCGUCCAAAUCGCCAUGGAGGAAGGCGUUUUGAAAGUCGAGUUGAUGUAAGGGCCAAUUACGGACGGCGGCAAGAACAAGAAGACAUUGGAAUGUAACUAGCUUGGCAGUGGGAGAAAAGGACUCGAUAUAGUUGAGGCCCUCUUGUUGAGUGUAGCCUUUGACUACAAGUCGCGCCUAGUACUGUUCGACAGAGCCGAUAGAGUGGUACUUCACCUUGUAGACCCAUUUGCAGCCAAUGGGAGGCUUUCAUGCAAGUAAAGAGGUAAGAGACCAUGUGUGAUUUUGCUCAAGCUCCUGCAGUUCCUUUGCCAUGGCAUCGUACCAAAGAGGGUCAGUGGAAGCCUGGGCAUAGGUAGUGGGCUCUAUGAUUUUGGAGAUGCUGCAACAAAAGUGUGAUGAGUAGAAGACAAGUGAUCAUAAGUUUGAAAAUGGGACAAUGGAUACCUGGAACCUUUACCCGGUGUGGAGGAAGAAGACGACUGAGCAGGGGUAGGCAGCAUGGUAGAUUGCAGUGAAAGCCACGUAGAAGGAUGGAAGGUUGAGGAAUACGGUGAGAGCGAAGAAGAGGAGGUGGAGAAGGAGGAGAGGGCAGCAAUAAGGUAAGAGGAGAUGGCAUGGUGGGACUAUUUUGAUCAUGAGUCAUGGUAGGGGAGGAUGGUGAAGGAAGUGUGGUGUCGUGAGGGGAUUGAGAAAAAGAAUGGUCGGUGAGGUCACCUAGGGUGGUGUGUGGGGUAUCUAGAGGAGGUGGAAUAGGUGGGUCAGAAAGUGGUAUGGGUAUGGGUUGGUCAUGGUUAGCAGAAAGUGGCGUGGGCUAGGAAACAGGCAUAUGAGGGACCAUGUGUGGGCUUAAAGUGGAGGAGACGUAGGGAGGAUGGGGAUGGUGGUUGUGUGGGGAGUAGCAAAAGGAAAAAUAUUUUCAUGAAAAAUAAUCGCGGCUUCUGAAGAAUUUGUGAAUGUCAAGAUCAUAAAGAUGAUACGCCUUUUGCCCAAAAAGAUAGCCAAUGAAGAUUCAUUUUCUAGCUCGUGGAUCAAAUUUAUUGGUUGGUUGAAGGUUAGUGGCGUAACAUAGACAACCAAAGAUGCGAAGGUGACGAUAUGGUGGUGGAUGGCCAAAGAGGAGUUCACAAGGGGUUUUAUCAGUCAAAAUGGCGGUAGGUAAGCAAUUAAUGAGGUAGGCUGCGGUGAGAACACACUCCCCCCAGAGUUUGGAAGGGAGGUGUGCAUGAAAGCAAAGGGCACGAGCCAUUUCUAAGAGAUGUCAGUGUUUUCGUUCGACAACACCAUUUUGCUGGGGUGUGUAAGUACAAGUGUGUUGAUAGAGAACACCAAGAUCUGCAAAGAAAGUUCAAAGCGAGGAAAACUCUCCUCCAUUGUCCACACGGAUAGCUUUUAUUUGUUUAUUAAAUUGUGUGGACACAAAGGAAAAAAAAGAUUUCAGCAGAUUUUGUGUUUCAAAUUUCAGUUUCAUCAAAUAAAUCCAUGUGGUACGAGAGAAAUCAUCAACAAUAGUUAAAAAAUAUCGGGCACCAGAAUGAGAGGCAAUCUUAUAUGGACCCCAGAUGUCACAGUGAAUUAAAUCGAAAGGUGUGUAGGGGUCUUUUUGUUCCAAUAGCUUGACGAAUGGGCUUGGGCUGCCGUAAGAAGAAAAUGAACAGAAAUUCCCCAAGUGCUUGAGUUCGAGAACCAAGCUCCCAAGAGGGUUUUUGAAAAGUCUGAUGAAACUUAAAAAAAAGACACUCUUAGGUUCUUUUCACUAAUAGCUAGAUAAUCAUAAUAAAUUGAUGAGUGACUUAGCUUGGGGAGCUUGUGGCAUGGGAGCUAAGCUUUCACAAGUUUAGCAAUUUGAGAGAGAGAGAAGCAUGGAUUUCUUACAGAGAACGAAAGUUUGAAGUAAGACAGAGGAAAAUCAGAACAAUUUCUAUCUUAAAGGAAGAAGAAAAACAAAUGAAGAAGAAGAUUGGGUGACUUGAUUAAAUUCUCAGUUUCUUGACAAAGCUUGGUCAGGCUGUGAAUGAUGAUUUUUCUGGGUAGAGAAAGCUCCCUUUUAUAGGCAUAAAGAACUCCUAAUUUUUUCUAAUGUCACAUCCCGGGAUCAGCUCCGCCGUAACACGAUAUUGUCCGCUUUGGGCCCUCCUCUCUGCCCGCACGGUUUUGUUUAUAGGAGCUUACUAGCAACUUCCCAGUGGGUCACCCAUCCUGGGAUUGCUCUAGCCCCUAACUCGCUUAACUUUGGAGUUCCCAUGAUUCUGAAGCUAGUGAGCUCCCAAAAGGCCUCGUGCUAUGGAGGCGGACAUGUACAUAUAAGGCACAUCACCCCCUCUCCGUUGGUCGAUGUGGGAUGUUACAAUCUACCCUCCUUAAGGGCCCGACGUCCUCGUCAGCACACUCGUACCACACGGCAGAGUGGCUCUGAUACCAAAUUGUCAUAUCCCGGGAUCGGCUCCGCCGUAGCACGAUAUUGUCCACUUUGGGCCCCCCUCUCUGCUCGCACGGUUUUGUUUCUGGGAGCUCACGAGCAACUUCCUAGUGGGUCACUCAUUCUAGGAUUGCUCUAGCCCCCAACUCGCUUAACUUCGGAGUUCCCAUGACUCCGAAGCCAGUGAGCUCCCAAAAGGCCUUGUGCUAGAUGUAAGCGGGCAUGUACAUAUAAGGCACAUCACCCCCUCUCUGUUGGUCAAUGUGGGAUGUUACAUCUAACCUCCUCGUUCCUUUUCCUUUGCUUCUUUCCAUUCAAUCCUUUUUUGUGCAAGUUUCCUAUCCAAGGCGCAUAGGUAAGAAGCCCUUUGGGGUUCCAAGGUUUGGAUGCAGUUGGACUUCUCCAUAAGGGUGAGGGCCACCCACUUUCUUCCCUGUUUUUCCUAUGGAGGCUAACAGAGGAAAAGAAGAAUGGACAACUCGUUUUGCCUAAUGAGUAUCCCUCCUUCCCUACGAAUUUCCUUUGGUUUCUAGAGUGGCCUCCAUUGACUCUGUCAUAGAACUUUGGGCAAAGGCUGAACACGCUUGCUAGAUAUUUUGGAGAGCACUUGGGCUGGGCUUUUCCCAAGAUUUUGGGUCAGUAGUAGUCUAUUCUACAACCACUAGUUAACUUGUUUUCGUCAAGCCACUAGAAGUAGUUGGCCUAUAGCAUUUUUAACAAAGUAUUUGGGUACUCUAAUUAACAUAGGGUUUCCAAAGCAAACUACUAUAUUCUUUCUAAGGCAUUGGGUUAUGUUCUCUCUCCCAUGCUAGCCCAUGUGUUUGGAUCCAAGAAAUGGGCUUGAGUUUUGGUGCUCCCAAGCAGCCCAAAACUUCCAUUCCUUGAUCCCUCAAUAGGCCUUGCGAACGCUUGUACCCAUCCACACCAUAACCUUCUUAGCAAGCCCCAGGUAAUUACGUGGCUUGGGCCCACUUAAGCUUGUUGCAUGGCUUAGCAUUAAAAUAGUGAUUCUUCUCAUGGCUUUGCGUAUUGAUUUCAUUGCAUGAUAAUUUGGCCAUGACUAGAUCAAAUAGCAUUGGAUUCGGUGAGCGUGAAUUUACAAAGCUAGUGAAUUUUGGUCCCUUUGUGCAUGCUUGCUUGGCGUGACUCAUGGCUCCCGGCCUAUGUAAGCGCGUUCUUCGAUUUCUCUUAUGCCCCGAUCCAGCCUUUCUCGUGACUUAUUCGAGUUGGGCUAAGAAUGACCCUGGGCCUAGCCCUUGGAUUUUUGGGCCUCAACAAGGUGCAAUACUUUUUAUUGAACUAUAUUGCAUUGGAAGGAAAAGGUAGCCUAGUUUGUUUGGCCAAAGGACAAAAAUCACAAACAUGCGUAGGAAGUGAAAUAUCAUAAAAAUGUUUAGACAAAGAGCGAAGUUUGGCAUUGGAAGGGUGUCCUAAUCGAAGAUGCCAGAGGUUGUGGGAAGCAGACACAUGAUAUCUGGAGGAAGAAUGGAGCUGCGGAGCAAGUCGUUGUGGAUCGAAAUAAUACAGGUUUCCAUGCCUCUUACCCAACCCAAUCAUCUUCUUCAUGCGCAAGUCUUGUACAUAACAAAAGGUGGGAAAAGAACAAACACAACAAUUUAGUGAUGCAGUAAGGCCAGGGACAGACAAUAAAUUAACAUUGAAAGAAGGGACACAUAAGACAUCGGUAAGACGAAAAAUAUCAUUAAAGUUAACAGUGCCUAUAGAUGUGAUGGGUGCCUUUUCCUCUGUGGCUCAUCCUGCUGGUGGAAGAUGUGUUGGUGAAUUUUCAGUUAAGAGUGCAUGAGAAUUGGUGAUAUGGUUUGUUGCGCCACUAUCUAUAACCCAGGCAUGCGAUAAAUAAGAAUUAGUUUGGGAACUAAGGCAAAAAGGAUAAUUUAGACCUGGAAAAUUCGCUUGGGAUUGGGAAAAUUCCUCCUUGCCAAUAGUACCAAUAAUUUGCUGACAUUGCUCAAGUGUGAGAUGAGGAGCUAUGUUUUGUAGGUGAUGAAUUUGUGCAUCUGGACUCUGAACAUUAUUCACAUUGGUAUAUUGCCGGUUGCUUCCAUGAGAUUGGCAGUUUUGUGAAGGGCGACCGCUAUCAUCAAGUUUGGGUACCACCUCCCUGCCGUGCCACUUGUGCCCUGGAGGAAAACCUUUAAGAAAAAAACAAGUAUCGAUUGUACGAGUUUUACCAUUGCAAUAAGUGCAUUGUUUCGACUCUCUAGGAUUUCCACGAGGUUGAAAGGAUGGUCAUAUGUUGGAUGACAAAGGCCGCUGUUGAAAGCCUUGCUUGCUAGUAUUGCCUUUCAUAGUGUGUAUACUGAGCAUUGCCAUGCUCUUGUUGUUGGCUGUGUUGUGGUGGGUGGAAGCAACUUGCUGCUGCUUCUCUUCUUGCAAAAGGAGGCUGUGUGCCUUAUGGGCAGUGAGAAAAGGUUGCAUAAGCAAUAUCUGUCCUCUAAUGGCUGCAUAGGAUUCAUGGAGCCCCAUUAGAAGUUGCAUUGAACCUUGCUCCUCCUCUCGCAUUGCAAUGGAUUUCAAAGGCCCACAAGUGCAGGGUUCCAUGUUGUUGUAGGAUGACAGUUCAUCCCAAUACCCCUUGAGUUUCGAAUAGUACGUGGAUAAGGGCAUUUGAUCUUGUGUAAGAGUAGCUAUUUCCUUGUGAAUCUGGAAAACCCUAGGCGCAUUAGUCUGCCAGAAUCUCUCUUCAAGGUCUGCCCAAAUUUCGUGGGUUGAGUCAGUGUAGAUAACACUAUUCGCAAGAUCUGGAUCCAGUGAGUUCAAGAUCCAUGAUAAGACCAUGUCGUUUCAAUGCCGCCAUCUAUCAAAUUCUGGCUUCGCUUUUAACGGCUUCUUGAUUGAACCAUCGAGGAAGCCUGUCUUAUUCUUCGCGCUCAAGGCUAGACGAAACUGGUGGCUCCAAGUGCUAUAGUUAUCUCUGGAUAAUGGCUUACCGACCAGGACCAUUCCAGGAUGGCCAGAUUGGAAUAAACCCAUAUCUUAACAAAUAUAUGUACCACACAUGCUCCUCCAUGAAUGCCAUACGAACCAACCUUCCUUCCUUUGCAGUUCAUAUAUAUAGCUUCUAUUCAGGGAUUCUUCAAAUUAGUUUAUUUGAGGGACACCUUUGUAGGGCUCACUCUCAUUGUAUUUCACUUAGGGUUAGCAAUGGGUUGUGUCAUGUCGGGUUCGUGUCGUGUCGCGAUAAUAAACGUGUCAAGAAUGCUCAAUCCGAAGCCAACCCAUUUAAUAAACAUGUCGUGUCGGGUUCGGGUCAUCUUUUAUUGUGCGGGUUUCAAGUUGUGUAACUGGUUCAUAAAUAAUAACAUGCAUGUUACGAAACUCACAACUGAAAAAAUUUAAAUUAAAAAAAAAACUGAGAGAGGAGAGAAAAUAUAAGAAAAAGAAAGAAAAAAAGAUAGAGAGAAGGAAAAGAAAGAAAAAAAAAUAGAGAGAGAUGAGAGAAGAGAGAAGGAAAGAAAGAAAGAAAAAAGAGAGAGGAGAGAAAACUAAAGAGAAGGAAAAGAAAGAAAAAAAAUAGAAGAGAGAAGAGAGAAGGAAAAGAAAGAAAAAAAAAAGAGAGAGGAGAAAGAAGAGAGAAGGAAAAGAAAGAGAAAAAAUAAAAUAAAAAAUGGGAAGAGAGACGGAAAAGAAAGGAAAACAAAUGAAGAAAAAGAAACAUUAUAAAUAUCAAAAGGCAUACCAUAUAAUCACAAAGUUCUUUGUAGCAUGGUGGAUAAGAUGUUGGAGAGAAAUGAGGAUGGUAGGGGUUUGAAAUCCCUUGUUAUGUGCUGAAGUCUCAAUUUCUCUUCAUUUUUUAGCGGGUUAGCCUGUAUGACACGAGUUGACACGACCCGUUUAAUAAACGGGUUAAAUAUGUGUUUUAACGGGUUGACCAGACAUCAGAGUGAAUUAACGUAAAUGGAGUAGUACACUUGUUCGUACUCAACGAGUAGGGCACACGGUGACUCUUGGCCAAAAUACAAGUAUCACAUCUGAAGUCAGAGUCCUUGAAACCUGAGAAUAAAUCUGGUAUAAGAUGCUUCAUAUAACUAAAAGACAGAUGUCCCACCAGAUUUGCUUUUGUUUGCUAUCAAAGGGAUGUGUCACGCUGUUAGCUAUGCCGGGACUGAAGUCAUCGACAUAAUAUAGCCCCCCUCUCUUAGUACCACAACCAAGAAUCUCCUUAGUGUGAAUAUCAUGAAGCAAACAAAAACUCGGGUAAAUGAGUACACAACAAUUCAAUUGUUCAGUAAGCUGACUAACUGACAACAAUUUAAUGGAUAAAGAUGGAACAAGUAAAGUAUUAGACAGUGUAAGAGAGGAUGAGAGUGCAACAGUGCCAGCCCCUGUCACAGGAUAAGUAACACCAUUGGCAUUUGUAAUACAGGUUCGUUGAGGUUGUGUAGUAUUCACAAAAUCAUCAGGAUCAAACUUCAUAUGAUCAGUUGCACCGGAAUCAAUUAUCCAGCUCCUGGAAUCAAUCUUAUCGGAAGUAUGGAAUCCAUAACCAGUACCAUUACUGGUCAUAUUGCAUUGUCCUCGAUCUAUAAGAGUAGCCCACCAAUUGGGGUAGCCAUGCGAUUUAAAACAAGUCUCACAAGUGUGUCUCGGAUCACCACAAUAUGCGCAAUCUAGUCCAUGUGUCGGGGUCGUUAGUCUAGUAGUCAUAAUCUGUGCAGCGGAAGAUGCAUAGGAUACAGGUUGAGUAGGAAUUGGGAUCGGAAUCUGAGCCUGAGUCGGGGCCUGAGUCGAAGUCGAAAUCGAGAUCAGGGUCUGAAUCAGAGACAAAUUUGGGGUUGGGGUCAUCAUCGGAGUGGGGGUCGGGGUCAUCGUCGUCAUAGUCGGGGUCGGGGUCGUUAAAAGAGGAUCCUGAUUCUGGAUCAGAUUCGGGGUCAAAGUCUGCAUCUGUAGGAGCGGAGCCAUCUGGGCACCCAACUCAACGAUGGUUGGUGGAGAAUGAGAGAAGGAGUCGGUGGUGCUACCUCCAUGAGGGUUGAAAAAAUCAUCAACCCCCAUAGCAGCGGCGGGGGUUUGAAACUAGAGUCAGCAAUUCCAAGAUCGCCGCUCUGAUAUCAUGCUAAAAUAUGAAAACUAUGAGAGAAUAUUUGUUUGUGGGAAUUUUCUUUGUAUUCUUCUCCUUGUAGGAGGUCAUAUUUAUAAUACAACGAAACCUGAAUGGGCAAGUAAAUAAUAAAUUCCUAAAUCUAUUUGCAGUAGGAAAUCAGGAAUUAAAGUAAAUCAAUUACAAUUAUAAUAGGAAUUCUUGGUGUGUAAGGAAAGUAAGUCAAUAUCCACAAGUCACGCCAACAUUGCUUCACAAAAAUCGAAACCAUGGAGAGUUUGCAACUCCAACUUUUGGCAAUUUAUUUCUUUGGUUUUUGCUUACACAAUUUCUAAUUUUAGGCUGUGCGGUGGCGGCUCCAUUUUAGGCCAUAUCGCCGCUUGUUGGUCAGUCAUUAGUUAUGUAAGUUCAGCUCGGUUACGAAUGGAUUCCACCCCUAUCUAAAGAGGUUAGUAUUUUUAUGUUACACUUGUUUUGGUACUUUUAGUUGUAUUGAAACUACAAUACAAUAUCUAGUAUGCGUAGAAUUAAAAAUUAAAUUAUUGAGGAGUUAUGUUGUGCUUAGAUAAGUAAAAAGGAUGAACAUUUUACUCAAGAGAUUUUCCAACUCCAACUUUUGGUGAUUUGCUUCUUGGGUUUUUGCUUACCUGAUUUCUAAUUUUAGCCCUUUGAUCAUUUGUCUUGCUCAAAUUUAAUUGAGGAAGUUAACUAGCUAGGAAACCUUAACAAGAAGCAUAAAACCAUUACAUAAUUAUCUUUAAAUGAAAAGAGCCCUCAUCUCACAUCAAGUUUUUAAAUUUUAUCACAAUUAAUCCUUAAAAGUUCAAACUUAAUUUUUGAAAUUUGGGUUUUUUUAAAAGUUCGUCUAUUAAACCUCUAAUUAGGAAAACCCCUUCACAACCAAACAAAAUUCAUUUAGAAAUUAAAGAGAAAAAAAAAACACCAUAUUCAAAAAUUCCCAAGAAUAACAAACCAUUAUAUCAAUAAAAAAUUACAUUUUAUUAAACCUCUAAUUAUUAACUUAUAUUAGGAAAACCACAUACACAAAAAAAGAUGGACGUAGGGGGUUGAAGAGUGGAGGCCCACGGUGGGUGGCGACAUGAGGGGUGCCGGCGAGUGAGGAUCCACUCUGGAGGGAGUAAUGCAGUAAGAGUGUCUUCUUGCUGCUCUGGUAAGCCAACGAGCUUUACAGCAUGCUGCAAAUUCCAUCUUCCAUCUUCGCAAGGCGGAAGGAUAUUCUUGACGGCCUGCACUUCAGGGCUGGCCUAGCCGAAACGGCUUGCACUUCAGGGCGACCUAUUCCUCUUCCUACCUCCUUUGCACCCAGAUUGGCACGCCGACAAGGGCGCACUUGCCCCUCAUGUGCUCUCACGUGCCGCAGGUUGUCCUCAGGCUCCUAACCCCCUUCCAAACCAUCUUUAUUGCCCCCACAAUGGGUCACAUCCUCGCGUGACUGAGCUUGGCUUUUCUAAAGCCAUUCUAUCGAUGUGGGAUUGUGAAGAUAUGAAAUCUGAGUUCUCUUUCUUCAUGUACUUUGAAUGAAAACCUUUGCAUCUCUUUGGUCAUAUCUAUUAAACAUGAAAUAGAAAGAUGAUUUUUCUAACAGUUAUUGCGUAUUUCAACUAGAUUAUGAACAUCAAACAGAUUGAACAAAAUGGAGAAAUCUAUUGCUUGUUUUGUUUGGUUUCAAACUAUUGCCAAGAGCAGUUUCGAGUGCCAUUCUCAAUGAAGAUCAUGUGCACGUAGAACAAUCCAAAUCUUAUGUUUUUGCCUCAAGAAUUCUGGCGUUUGGGAUUUAUACUUUGGUGUGUCUUAUGAAGGUCCUCCCUCUUUUAGUAGUGCUUAAACCCUAGAAUGCUAUGCUUCUAUUUUAUUUUAUUUUAUUGUUCGAAAAAUGCAAUGCUUCUAAGGACAAGCGAUAUUGAAAGCACAGCAGGAAAACCAGAAUUGCAAAAGGUUUCACUUUCAAUAUGGAAUUAUUAUGUAAAUCUAGAUAGUGACAACAUAUUAACACUAACCUGAUUCGGACAUGGUGAUGAUGUUGAUAGCACAACAGGGAAACCAGAGAGUUCUUCGUCUAGAUGGGGUGAAUUUCUGUAAAGCUUAGGUAUUUCAAGUUUAUGAGGGAACCCUCUAUUUAUAUGCAUCUCUCUAGGAGUCUUGCCCAUCAAGAAACUCCUAGAGAUAACCUUUAUGUGAUAGGAUUAUCUUCUCAUCUUUAAUUGACAAUCACUCAUCUUUACUUCUUUUAGAAUGCAUGCUUCUCCAAAAUCUAAAACCAUGGAGAGUUUGUAACUCCAACGUUUGGCAAUUUACUUCUUGGGUUUUCGCUUACACAAUUUCUAAUUUCAGGUGGUGCGGUGGCGACUCAUUUUUACGUCAUUUCGGCACUUGUCAGUCGGUCACUAAUUACGUAAGUUUGGUUCGUUUACCAAACCAAUUCCACCCCUAUUUGAAGGGGAUAGUAUUUUUAUGUUACACUUUUAUUGGUACUUUUAGUUGUAUUGAAACUACAACACAAUGUCUAUAUGUGUAGAAUUAAAAAUUAAAUUAUUGAGUUAUGUUGUACUUAGAUAAGUAAAAAGGAUGAAAAUUGUACUAAAAAGGAUUUUCCAACUCCAACUUUUGGUGAUUUGCUUCUUGGGUUUUCGCUUAUCCAAUUUCUAAUUUUAGGCCUCUAAUCAUUUGUCUCGCUCAAAUUUAAUUGAGGUAGUUAACUAGCAAAGAAACCUUAACAAGAAGCAAAAAACAUUACUUAAUUAUUUUUAAAUAAAAAGAGCCCUCAUCCACUACUACAUUUUACGAUUUGCGCGACGAAGAUAAUUUCGUCCCGCAGAGUUACAUUUAAUCGCACAAACUCAAGCGCGACAAAAAAUUCAUCGCUCAAAGAGCGUGAAGAAAGACUUUGCGCGACCAAUUGUUUCACUCAUCGCGCAAAAUUGUGCCACGGUUACCUUUCGUUACACAAAAAGUUCAGAGACGACACAACAGUUUUUCGCACGAACUUAUGCGCGACGAAAGAAGGUUCGUCGCCACAACAAUGCACGGCGGAUAAUAUUCGUCGUGCGAUACGUCUCAUAGACAUUUGAGGCACCAAGAGUUCUUCGUCGCGCAAUUCGUGUCUACAUAUUUUGCGCGACGAAAAAUUGUUGUCGCUCAUAUCCUUUUUGCGCGAUGAAAAGAUUCGUCGCGCAAGAAUAAAUUAUUUGUAUUUAAAAAAAAUGUAUCAUUUUUAUUUCGUAAUAUGUGAAUUUGCGCGACGAGAAAGGUUUCGUCGCGCAAAAUUAAUAUAUAUAAAUAUUAUUUAAUUAUUAUGUUUUUUUCAAUUUUAUAAAAAAAUAAAUUUGGUUUUUUUUUUUGGUAAUAAAAUGAAAUUCCAAUAAAAAAAAGAAUUGUAAAGAACAAAUUUAUUAUAUAAAAUAAAAUAAAUGUAUGCUGCAAGAGAAAUAUUUAAAAAAUAAUUAUGAAAAUAAAAAAACUAAUCAAAUAAUAUUCCAAAAUCUAUAUUGUCGUCUGGCACAUGCGGUUCAGAGGUCUGGGGGUCUACAGCGGCCAUCGUCUGGUGGGGAUGCUCGGGAUGGACGGGCUCGGAGGUUGGCGCAUCAAAAUGCGGGACUGGAAUGCCGGACUGUGCGAGGGACUGCAGAAUGACCGACAUCUGACUCUGAAGAGUGGCCACCUGUGCUGUCAAAGCAGUGACCUCACUGUUUGACUGCGCUGAUGAACGGGGUCUGGGUUUCCUUCGCCUGGCAUGUCCCAUCCCUCGACAAUAUAUCCUCGGUCUCCUCCCUAGAGUCUGAUCCAAUGUCUCCGUCAAGAUCUGAAACCUAGCAUCCUGUGGAGGAUCCACAGACUCGAUCGGAGUAUCGGGAGGAAGUUGGGAGGCGGAUUCCUGAAGAACCAACUGGCUCCUCUCCACCAUCGUCGUCUGUUUAACAUAACAUAAAAUAUAAAUUAAAACAUUCAUAUAAUAACCUUUAAACUUGAAUGCGUAACAUAAGAAUUAAAAUUAAAUAAUACGUACAUGAAGGGACUCGGCCAACUCAUUCCCAGGUCGAACAUAAACGUUGCCAAAGACGUCGAUCUAUGGGAAUUUGGACCCCCCCUAAAUUGAACAAGAGAAGAAAAAUAUUAGUACGAAAAAAUAAAUUUAGAAUAAUGAAAUAUUAAAAAUUACAUAAAAAUUAUUUUAUUAUUACCUGCCGCCGUGCAUCCAUCCCAUAGGAGAAGGGCCUGGAACCUGAAUGAUGGAGAAGAGUCUUCUUCUUCCUAUUGCCCUUAUUGACUUUGGCUUUAUUCUUUUAUACAAAAAAUAAAACGUAUUAGUUGAAAUUGAAAUUAAAUAUAAAAAAUUAAAAAAACAUUAGUAAGAAAAAUAUAAUAAAUUUGAAAUUCAUAUUAUAAAUUACCACAAAAGCGCACGCCUGAAAAUGAGCGCAGAGCCACGCCCAACUAUCCUCCCGCCCCUAAAGCUCCUUCGGGCAACCCUCCUGAAGAGCGACUUGCGAAUCAUCAAACGCCUCAAAAUAGUGGUGCAAGUCGCUCUUCCAUUGUUUGUACCUCUCAGAGAAGAGUCUGUUGACAUACGUCAACGACUUGUCGUCGAGGUCCUCCAAGUUGUAGUUCGUCUGCAAUAAAUUAAUUACAUACAUUUAAAUAAUAGAAAUAUAAAGUUUGAAAUGCCUACAUACCGACAACUGGCCGCGAACCUCCGUCUUUAUCUCAUCAGGCAUGACCUUCCAAGACUUCCAUUUCAUCGGGCAAUGGCUCCGAACGACAUGACCAAUGUUGUGGGCCAAGGAGCUAUGCAACUCCACCUUCGGUGCAGCCCGAUGUCGCUCAUUGUAUCCGAUGUUGAUACGACUGUUAGUCACCCGGGUGACCUUCACCGUCUUCAACUGCCGACACGGCCCUCGGGUGUUCUUCUUGGCUACAAAGAAAGAUGACAUUAAUGUUAAAUAAAUAACAAAUUUAACUAUAAAAUACACACACAAAAACCAAACCAAAAACAAAAAUAAAAACAAGAACAUAAACAUAAACAAAAAUAAAAACAAAAAUAAAAAUAACUGGAGUUUAAGGAAAUCUAUACCUGGCUGUGACCCCGACGCAUCAGUGGAUGUGGUGUCGGUGGUGCUGGCAGGCCAAUGACGCCGCCUGGAGCUAACAGGCUGCGCCACUGAUGAAGCAGGCGCCUGGGACCCCGUGGGACCAACUGCCAAGUGGUCCAUCAGUGCUGGCGCAGUGGCAGCAGAUGUCGGCUGAGCCGGGGGCUCCGAACUCUGCGUAGUCGUCACCGCCCUACGACGUCUAAUCAGGUCUGACAUCUGCACAAUUUCAUUAAUACACAUACAAAUUAAUACAAUAUACAAAUAUUUGAAAGCACAUACAAUUUUAUUAAGAUUCUUGACUUAGGGUUUGCGAGUUCGGAGUAUCCGGGACUCCGAUCCACGAUCCAUCAAAUCCUAGACGAUCCUAGAAAUACAAGGUACACCAUACAUGAGUUUGAGUUUCAUCCAAUGGUCCGAACAUAACAAACUCGGAAAUCGCACAAUAGAAAAAAUCCGUUCGAGACUCAAACGGUAACCAAAUUCUAAUCCGAAAAGACCUACGCGCUCGUGACAACUAGGAGAUUGCAUUGGGACCCAAUGCAUGAUUGCUACAGUAUCCCAAGCGCCACCACACGCGUCGGCAGCGCGUGAAUGUCCAAAGCGAUACCAAUCGCAGGAAAAUUCUAAAAACUAAGGGUCAAGGUUCCUACCCUAGGUUGAAAACAUCAAUUGGAGCCAAUUUUGUUCGGACCUACCCCGAAAAAUGGCCAGAAGUGGCCGGAAUUGAAAUUCAAAAACCGGCAGAAACUUAGGGUUUCAAAUCCAUUGCCCUAUUGCAACAAUUACAGAAAUCCUACCCAACCAUCAGCUAAAGCAUCAAAAAUAGUCCAGAAACCAUAUCUCAGGUGUCGAAUUUGGUCGCCGGAGGAGAGAGAACGACGGCAGUGCAGUUUCGGUGAAAACUGAGGAAAUUAUGGCGGCUGGCUUGACGGUGACGGCGGGGAAGCUCUGGGGUACCAAGGUUGUGGCGGCGCGGUCUAAAUUCCACCGAGGUAGGGGCUGAGUGACGGCGGAGAGAGAGAGAGAGAGAGAGAGAGAGAGAGAGUUAGGGCAAAAAUCAGAAUCUGGGGAAGAAGGAGGCCAUCGCAUCGUUUCUGAAAUUUUAUUCGAUUUUGCGUGACGAAUAAAUAAAAGCGUCGCGCAAAAUAUUUUAAAUGACUCUUGCGUGACGACAAAAGUUUAACUCCCGUCGCGCAAUAUUGUGAGUCCGCCAAAAUUUGGUAUCAGGGUAGGCUUGCGUGGUUUUGCGCGAUGCAUAGUAAUGUUUUUCGUCACGCAAGGUUGUCAAUCCACCAAAAUUUUGGGACUUAGGGUUUAGCGGGAGAGAUUGAAAACUUUGCGCGACGCUGUCCGUAUUCGUCGCGCAAUGUUGUAAUUCCGUCAAAAUUUGGGGUUUUAGGGUUUAUUGGGUAGAGAAAUUGCGCGAUGAAUAUGGACAGCGUUACGCAAGUCUGCUUUCUGUACACUUGAAAAAAAUUUGGACCAAGUGUUGAAGGGGGAAGAGGGUGAAACGGCUAACUGAGAUUGCGCGACGACGAAGUCUAUGUUCGUCGCGCAAUACUGUUUUAUGCAGGCUUUGUGCGAUCAAUCAACUUUAUUCGUCGCGCAACGUUGUAAUUCCGUCAAAAUUUGGGGUUAAGGGUUUAUUGGCAGAGAGAUUACGCGACGAAACUGUACAGCAUCGCGCAAGUCUGCUUUCUGUACACUCGAAAAAAAUUUGGACCAAGUGUUCAAGGGGCAAGAGGGUGAAAGUGAUGACUGAGAUUGCGCGAAGACGAAGUUUACAUUCAUCUCGCAAGACUGUUUUCUACAGGCUUUGUGCGACCAAUCAACUUUAUUCGUCGCGCAAACCCUAAACCCUAAACCUUAAACCCUAAACCACGGAAACCUUAAACCCGAAACUAGUUUUAAUGAUCCAACCGGCAAACUUGUUUUUUUAUACUUCGAGAUCGUAUACGCCGAAAAUCGAAAAAAACAAACAUGAAGAGAUCAAGUAACGGGACAAAACUUUUCGACGGUUCUAAAUGAAAAGUCAUGAUUUAACGGUUAUUUUAACUCCGAUUUUUAUGAUUUUUUACAGCUACAUUUCUUGACCCUAUAUGAAUACAAUUACUGUAUUUGAUCUUCAAUUUAAGAUGUUUACACUAGGGGGAUACCACAUAAUCUUAUGUUAUAUUUAACGAAAGUAUAAGUAAACUAUUCAUUGUUGGUGAAUAUAUGGUUUUGAUGGCAUACGCAUUCUACGAAACUAGUUUCAGUAAUCUAGCCGUCAAACUUGUUUGUUUAUACUUCAAGAUCUUAGACCCCAAAAAUCGGAAAAAAAAUAAAUUCAGAGAUCAAGUAACGAGACAAAACUUUUGAACGGUUAUAAAUGAAAAGUCAUGAUUUAGCGGUUAUUUUAACUCCGAUUUUGAUGAUUUUUUACAGCUACACUCCUUGACCCUAUAUGAAUACAAUGAACUAACUCGAUCGUCAAUUUCAAAUAUAUAUGUGUAUAUAUAUUAUAUUAUAAAAUAAUAUACAUUUGCGCGACAAGAGGAACCCUGUCGUCGCGCAAAUCGCAUGACGAAUCAUAGGUUGUCGCGCAAUGUUUUAACUUUACGCGACGAGUGUAUUGUGUGUCGCGCAAACUUUGCGCGAUGAGGAUUAUUUCGUCGCACAAGGAUUUUCAUUUUUGAAAAAUGUUUGGUGUCAAUAAUUUUCAAACUUUGUAUGUAAAGGGUUUGGAUAUAUUUAUUUAUCAAUGUUUUAUAACAAAUUUAUUUUAAUAAUGUUUCAUUUCUCCACAUAUAUAAGGUUUGGAUAUAACAACUACAUAUAUUCAAACAUUUGUAUUACACAAAAUCUGUACACUAGCAUAAUAAAAUUACAAAAAAAUUCAUUAUUCAUCAUCUGAACUAUAAUAACUUUCGUUAUCCUCGCUAUCAUCACUUUCGGUCUCCCAAUCCUCCUCCUCCUCCUCCUCCUCUAUAACUACAUCAUCGUCGUUGCUCGGGCCCACUGCAACAUCGAAUCUUGGAAGAUCACCGAGGUCAAUUGUAAUUGACUAAAUCGGUAUUUCGAUUGAAGACCUCCUUGUAUUUGAAACGGUUCUUGUAUAACAUGUGUAUCUCGAAGUGUUUCCGCAUCAUUUUCCAUUGAAGAUUCUAAACGUUGGUCAGCCACAUUAUCGACGUCGUUGUCAGUUGGGUCUAGUUCUGUUAUAGCAUACACGUUCCUAUGAUCCAUGUUUGCCAAAAUGUAAGGGUCGUCAUCAUACCAAGUUCUGUUAGUGUUCUCAGAUAGUAAGCCAUGGUCGAUUUUAACACUUUUCGGCCUAUUUGGGUUGCUAUCAAACCAUCGACACUUAAACAUGAUCACUUGGUAUCGAUCUUUGUAAAGCAAUUGAACGACCGUUGUGAGUUUGCCAUAGAAAUCAAUGUUCAUACUUUCGCCUCCACCUGGGAUAUGGACACCGCUGUUUUGCUACACAACUUGUCAUCUCGUGCAGCCCCCAAAAAUUUGACGCCGUUAAUAUAACAACCCGAAAACAAUUCAGCGCGAAUCGGGCCGAACGCCAAGUUAUAUAACUCAUCACUGUAAGUGGGGAAUUCGAUGAUUUCAACUUAUUCACCUAAUAUAAUACAAAACCAUUCACAUGUUAGUCUGACAAAAUCAAAUACUACAAUUUAUAUUUGUCAAAUACAAAAUACUUAUAACUUACAGAAUCCAAAAACCAUUGUGGAAACAAUUCACGGUGUUGCUGGGCAACUAAAUGUGAUGGAUGUUCUCGCUUCAUCAUCUCUUCAUGCUCAUCUAAGUAUGCCAUUAUCUCAUCACAAUUGUUCAGUACGAACCAAUGCGCUACCUCCAUGUCAUUUCUAGAAAACGACUCUCCUCGUCCAGGAUCUCCAAAGGGUCGUGCGCUUUGGGCAAAAACUGAAAGUUUUUCCUUUCUCAUACCUCCGUCAUUAUUGCGCUAAGGACGAUUGAAAGCCAUCUCCACAUCUUUUAAAUACAUUCCACAGAAAGUAAGUGACUCAUAUUGAACCCAAGCCUCUAUAAUUGAUCCUUCGGGCUUCGCCCUGUUGCCUACACUUUUUUUUCAGCUCUCCGAGAAGCCUGUCAAAAUAAAGCGAUAUGAUACAAAUUAGCAAGCCUGUGAUAAUGAUGCAUACACAAACGAUAAGGAUUAUAUACCUUUCUAUUGGAUACAUUCAGCGAUAAUUGACAGGACCAGCAAGCAAUGCCUCUUCUGGCAACUGAACCAUCACGUGCAUCAUACUUGUGAAGAAAGCUAGAGGAAAUAUCAUCUCAAACUUGCAUAGGACUUGGAAAAUGUCAUGGCGCAACUGAAACAUGUUUGUCUUUCGCAAUGUUUUUGCCGUCAGUUGGGAAAAAAAUAUGGACAACAACAUGAUUGGCUUCACAACAUCUUCCGGCAAUAGAUGUCGAAUACCCACAGGAAGUAGGCUUUGCAUAAACACAUGGCAGUCAUGAAUCUUCAGUCCAGUAAAUUUACCCCCGUCAACAUUCACGCAACGUGCGAUAUUUGAAGCAUACGCAUCAGGAAACUUUACAGACGAUACAAACUUUAGAAACUCUUUUUUGUCAUUCGGUUUCAUAGAAAAGAAUGCAAGAUCCCUUCUAGCUUUAUCACUGUCCCUGUUCAUCCAUAAACCCCUUCGUAUACCCAUUCUUUCCAAAUCAAGACGGGCUUUGAUUGUGUCCUUUGUCUUGCCCUCGAUAUCUAGAAUCGUGCCCACCAAUGUGUUAAAUACAUUUUUCUCAACAUGCAUCACAUCUAGAUUGUGCCUCAAUUUGAGUUUCGACUAAUAUGGGAGCUCAAAAAACAUAGGCUUGUGAGUCCAGUUCAUAUGUGUAGAAGGUCUGGUCCGACUAACUGUUUUUCCGAACGGAGCAAAAUCCAAAAGGUUAAGCUGUUCCAAGAUUUCAUCACCGGACCAUUCUCUAGGUCUGAGGCGACGCUUUGUGUUCCCGUCGAACUCUUUAUCUUUUUUUCGCCACUCAUGGUCCCAUGGCAACCAUCUUCGAUGACCAAGGUAAUAAAUGUUUCCCGCUUGCCAACCAGAAGUUACAUCUUCCUUGCAUACAGGACAUGCCAUAUAACCAUUUGUGCUCAACCCAGAAACCAUUGCAUAUGCUGGAAAAUCAUUCACAGUCCACAUAACUGCUGCCCGCAAAGUGAACAUCUUCCCAGUUGAUUUAUCGUACGUGCGAACACCGUUUGUCCAUAAAUCGUUCAGCUCAUCAACCAGUGGCCUUAAGUAAACAUCGAUUGACCUCCCAGGAUCCUCAGUUAUCAAAACAGUCAUCAUCAUGUAUUCUUUUUUCAUGCAUUUCCAAGGCGGCAAAUUAUAUGGGAAUACGAAAAUCGGCCAAGUGCUGUGGUGUUAGUUUAGAACCCCAUACAGAUUGAAUCCGUCAGUGGCAAGUCCCAAUCUCACAUUUCGGGGAUCAGCAGCAAACUUAGGGCCUCCCCAUCUGCAGGAUGCCGCAUCACAUCAUCGUCUACCCAUUUUUCCUUAUGUCAUCUCAUGUCUGUGGCAGUAUGCGUCGACAUAUACGAUCGCUGCAACCUAGGUUUCAGGGGCAGAUAACGCAUGACUUUUUGUGGGAUCUUAGUCGUUCUAUUCUGAGAUGUCAUUUUGAACCUCGACUCAUUGCAUAUAGGGCAUGUAUCCAACGUUUCAUGCUCCUUGUAGAAUAACAUGCAAUUAUUUUUGCAAGCAUGAAUUUCUUCAUAACCCAAUCUAAGACCAUUCAACACCUUCUGCGCGUGUUUAUGGUCUUUCGGCAAACAAUUGUCCGUCGGAAGCAUUCUCUUGAAAACCCCGAAAAAGUAAUCGAAACACAAGUUCGACAUACGAUACUUUAUUUUUCCGUGCAUUAGCUCUACAAUGGCCGUGAGAAUGGAAAAGCUCUCGCACCCCGGGUAUAACUCUUGGUUGGCAUUUUUUAACAGUUUUUCAUAUUGUUCAAACUCCGCGCUGUCUAUUGGUGCAGGCACGUCAUCUUUCAUUUCAUGAUUGAUGUUGGUCGAUGCAAAUGGAAAAGCAUCCUGUAUAAUAUCCGUGACUUGAUCAUUAGGAUCCACAAUAGGUUCAACAUUGUCCAUUCUUGUGGCAUUUGAAGACGAAGCAUGGUCUAAUUGUUCCCCAUGAAGGUUCCAAAUGCUAUAUGUCUCAAUCAUUCCAAUCCUUACUAAAUGAAAUCCAACAUUUUCAAUUGUCUCCCACAACGUGUUAUUACACCUCCUACAAGGACAACGGAUUCUAGUUGCACCCGGGUUGUGUCUACGUGCAAACUCAAUAAAAUCCUCGAUUCCAUCCAAGUAUUCGCCUGCGCAUCUAUUCGGGUUCUGUAUCCACCUUCUGCUCAUAAUUCCUGAAACCACAAUCACAACACAACAAUUACAACAACUUCAUACGAAGUUAUAAUGUCACCUUACGCCUCCAGUAAGGGCCCUAUCCCAUUCGGGAAUGCAUUAUCCUGUCACGUAACCUACGGCUACAUGAGAUUAGAUUUCGACAUGGAUGAAUUUCGGCAGCAUCUCGAUACAGUUCUUGAGGUGGGCAUAGGUAUAAAUACCUACGUACCACCCAAAGAACGUACCAAGAUGACACCGAAAUCUCCACAAUCGAAACCUAAUCUUGUAGCCGUAGAUUACGUGACAACACUAUGCAUUACCAAACUGUCCAAAUAGUGGGACAAUUCAAGAAUUAAUUGGACUGCAGUCAUGCUUUACGUAUCCAUGUACGAAAUCCAACUAAUCUCGAACGGAAAACUAAGUGUUACUAAACAUACAAAUAAAAGUACGAAGUUAAUUUCAAUUAACUUCGUACAUCACAACACAUUGUGCUACGUCACGCACAAUUUAACAUAAUAUAAUACUUCACAAAAAAAAUAUAAACAUAACAAACUAACUUUAACAUUUUUAAUAUAUAAAACGAAUAAAAUACCUUCUCAGUCGUUCUCCACCAAUCGCUAAUUACAAAUAUCCCUAACGAGAACAAAAUUAAUAGCGUUAGUACGAAUUUACAUUAAUACUUUUAAACUAACGACAAAAACUACUUACCCAAUGAACGUACUGAAUUUUCAGCAAAGGCAGCGGCAGAGAGGUUGAGAGAGAGGCAGAAUGCUAUAUUUUUUGCAUUCUGCCUUUGCAAUGGCAGAAUUCAGAUAUGAAGAAGAAGGACUUUGCGCGACGAACCACAAAUUCCGUCGCGAAAAAUUAUUUUUCCAUCGCACAAAACGACUUUUUUCGUUGGGCAAAAAAUUGUCGACAAAAAACUUUUGUGCCACGCAUGACAUUUUCGUCGCACAAACUUUCGUUGCGCAAAAAAAAAAAAUUCCGUCGCGCAAGAAUGUACCGACAUCAACUUUACGCGACGAAAACUAAUUCCGUCGCGCAAAAAAAAAAAUCCCUCCUAAAUUAUUUUGGCGCCAAAAAAAAAUAUCCCUCGUUUUCUUACGCGACGAUAAAUGGUUUCGUCGCGCUAAGUUGUCUUUUGCGACGAAACCUGUCGUCGCACAAGUUUUCGCAGCCAAUUGACGGGAUCGAUCCCUGUUUUGUGUUCACCUUUACGAAACGAAGUGUCCCAUCAUCGCGCUAGGUUUUCUUAUGCGACGAUUGCUCUCGCUGCGCAAGUGUUUGGCGCCAACAAAAAACCCUGGUUUUUUUUCGCUCACUUUGCGCGACGAAGGUAAAUGUCUGUCGUGCUAAGAGGUUCUGCGCUUCGAAAACUUUGGUCACACAAGUUUUCAAUUUUUUGCGCGACGAAACUUUUUUUCCGUCGCUGGAAUGCAUUUUGCAUGACGAACUUGUAUUUGUCGCGCAAAUAAUAAAACGUAGUAGUGAUCUCACAUCAAGAAAGUACACAUCAAGUUUUUAAAUUCUCUCGCAAUUAAUCCUUCAGAGUUCAAACCAAACAAAAUUCAUUUGGAAAAUUAAAAAUUACAGCACAUUCAAAAAAAAAAAAAUCCCAAGAAAAGAAAAACCAUUAUAUAUAACUAAAACCCUAUAAGAUCAUCACACCAAUUUUAUUAUUUUUUCAAUUAGUUGUUAAUAUUUUAUUACACAUAAUGUGGACCCUACGAAUGGCAUAUCAUCACUUAACUGAUUUUACGACGAUCAAGGUAAUGACGGAACCAUAUAGCAAUAAAUUUCCAAUGUGGGGUACUAUAUUAUUAAAAUUGAAAGAGCAUGGAUAAAUAACAUACCUAACGGCUUAAGGAUAGAAUUGCUUGGUAACUUAAUUUUUGAAAUAUGGGGGGUUUUUUUUUUAUGUUCGUUUAUUAAACCUCUAAUUAUUAACUUUCCUAUCAAGUGUAUUUUCUCACAAUUAACUUAUAUUAGGAAAACCCACAGCUGUAAAGACGUCUCCCAUCUUCAUCAAGGAGGAAGUAACUCUAGCUUGCCCUUCAGGGCUGGCCUAACCGAAACGGCCUACACUUCAGGGCGACCUCUUUCUCUUACUACCCAGGUGCAUGAUGUAGCCUGUAACUCCUUUGCAUCCAGAUUGGCACGCCGACAACGGCCCACUGUGCCCCUGAUGUGCGCGCACAUGCCGUUCGCAGGCUCCUACCCCUUCCUAACCAUCCUUAAUGCCCCCACAUUGGGUCACAAGAUCACAUGACUGAGCUCAGCACUUCUUAAACCAAGACUUGGGUAUGUUAGGUUCUUAACUUUUCUCUAUUUGAUCGAUGUGGGAUUGUGAAUACAUAAAAUCUGAGUUCUCUUUCUUCACGUAUUUGAAUGAAAAAGCUUUGCAUCUCUUUGGUCAUAUCUAUUUAACAUGAAAUAGAAAGAUGAUUUUUCUAACAGUUUUUGCGUAUUUCAACUAAAUCAUAAACACCAAACAGAUUGAACAAAAUGGAGAAAUCGAUUGCUUGUUUUGUUUGGUUUCAAACUAUACAAGAUGGUUGCCAAGAGCAUUUUCGAGUGCCAUUCUCAAUGAAGAUCCUGUGCACGUAGAACAAUCCAAAGAGUUGAUUGAUUUGCCGAGUCCAAAUCUUAUGUUUUUGCCUCAAGAAUUCUGGGAUUAGGGAUUUAUACGUUGGCCUUCAGCUUCGACUAGAUAAACAAGUUUAUUGUUGACGCACCAACUCCCCCAGAUAUCCAAUUUGAAGAAAGAAAUUUUCAAAGUCAAUUCUCAGUCUCUUCUGAUAAACUUUAUGAAUGGAAUAUUGAUGGCCUGUCUGAACAAGAAAUUAUGAAUAAAUUACAACAUAUGUCUAUGGUCGCCAAUAGUUACAUUACUAACCAUAACCUAAAACAGUUAGAAAUAGUACCUCUCCUAGAAACAGGAUUCAUAGGAACCUUACGUUCUUGGUGGGAUAAACACCUUAUAGAAGAGUCAAAACGACAAAUAAUACAUGCAGUAAAUUAAAUGAAGAUGGAUUCCCUAUAUUCGAUGAAAAUAUCAAUAUUGGAAUUGAGGAUGGAGUCAAUACAUUAUUAUACACAAUAAUUGAACAUUUCGUAGGAACACCGAGUUAACACUACAGCCAUAAUUCAUGAUCACCUUGGCAAUCUUAGAUGCCCUAAGUUAAGUGACUUCAGAUGGUACAAAGAUGUUUUUAUCUCCAGAGUCAUGCUAAGAGAUGUAGUAAUCAACCAUUUUGGAAAGAAAAAUUCAUUAAUGGUCUUCCCAAUUUUUUUGCAAACAAAAUACAAAUAGUUUUAAGUAAUGAUCGAGGCCAUAUCGAUUUUGAUAGUUUAACUUAUAGAAAUAUAAUUAAUAUUAUAUAUAUAUAAUAUUAUAUCUAUAUAUUAUAAACCAAUUGACGUUUUUGACUUGGUUGAGGGAGUGGCUUUUAAAAAGGUAGUUGUGAGGAUGGCCAAAUAGUUGGCUGAAACCAAGUCAAGAUCUUGGCUUCCCAUGUUGGUGAGUUGGCUGGAAAUGGAAGUUUUGGCUAAAGAGUUGGUUUUUUGGCAUGAGAGAACCCACAUGGGUUUACCUUGGUAUUCUCAAACUUGGGUCAAAUUGGCAUGGGUUUUUAAAAUGGCUGUGAGUUCGUAGGCCACUUAGUUCGCCUUUAAUUCUUGUCUCCAACUUCCCAGGCCAUAGGCCUUAUACAUACAUAAAUUUAAUAUGCAAUAUAUAUAGAGGGCUUCUAUAGUGAGUGGGAAGUUAUAAGGGGUGUUUUUGAGGGGUAUGUAAGAGCCGUUGGAUUUCAUCCAACGGUGAGUUUUUAAAAGAGGGUGCAUGUAGAAUCGGGUUGAAAUCUAACCCAUUAGAAACCCAACUUCAGUUGUUCCCCUCUUUCCCUCUCUGUGAAAAACUGAAGAACACAAUCCUCUCUUUUUGAAUGUAAAGCAAACCCACAAUUAGAAGGAUCCAAAUCUCCCAAACCUUAUAGUCACUCGAUUGUCAUUAGCUCGUUGGGAGGCCUGCGAUCUAUGGUAUCCUGGAUAUUACGAAGAAUGGCUCUUACCUAGCUGUUGCCCUGUUUUGAUUCUAUGGCUCAAGUGAAAACCCCUUCUCUUUUUCAUUCAGCUGACAAGAUUCCAGAUGAAAGCAAAGUAGCAUAUCUCUUUUUGUAGCUAUAAGCCGCAGCAGCAGUUGUUCCUCGAUUUUGGUAGAGAUGGAGUCUCAAAUACCAAAGAGUCUUCUCUAAUGUCCACCACAUUCUUUCAAGCUGACUGACUGCAGAGCUCCCGAUUGAUUUUGAGAGGUAAGUUCACUUGCUGGAUUGAUUUUGUUGGGUUAGGUUUAUUUUUUGUGAGGGUGGGAAAUUCGUCAUUUGUGGCAUCAAUAAUGCGUCAUUUUUGGAAUCAAUAAUGUGUCAUUUCCUUAUGAAUAUUCAAUAUACUUAGUUCAUUGUUGUUGGUCGGGGUGGAAAAUUAUGAAAUGUAGGUAAAAGAACCUAAACUUAGGCUUAAUGACAAUAGGAGUAAGCAGUUGGAGAGGAUAUUGGGUGAAGUUCUGUAAUUGGUGGUUUGAAUUACAUUUGUGUUCUUAGUUGAACAUGUUGGUUCUAAUGUUAUUUUUACCAGAUUAUUUCACAAGAGAUGACGUAACUUUUAUGAAAUUUUGCUUGCGUUUUGUGUAAUCGGAAGUUAGGGUAUGCGUAUUUUGUGUCAAUUUGGGCAAUGUUUUGUGUAAGUGGAAUGCAUUGAUAUGUUGUGAUGCAGUAAUGACUGAUUAAUGAAUGAAUAAUUGCUAUGCAGUAAUAUAGAAGUGGAUCAAUAAUAUACGUAGAUAAAAUGUCUGAGGGCUCAGAGAGUGAUGAAUGUGCAACAGCUAAUGGGAGGGUUUAUAUUCCUGAAGUAAGAAAUGAGGAAACACCAGCAGUUGGAUGAAGUUUGACUCGCUUGACCUCGUUUACAAUUUCUAUAAUAGAUAUGCAUUCUUUGCUGGCUUUGGUAUUCGACUUCAUUCUAGCUUUUGGGGGAAAAUAAGAAAGAGAUUUUGAGGAAAGAAUUUGUAUGUUGCAAACAAGGUGCAUACAGGAAGGAUGAAACUCGGGAGAGAAAAAGACAACGGGGAAUAAGUAGAUGCAAUUGCAAAGCUAAGAUUGUGGUUGUGAAGACAAAUGGGCGCAAGAAGUAUAUCAUAUCUCUUUUUGCAGAGGGACACAAUCAUUAGAUGACACCCUCAGAAAGAAUGCAUUUAUUGAGAUCACACCGUCAUAUUUCAGAUUCUACAAAAGUACUCACAAAACAGUUGGGUUCAGUUAAUAUUCCCAUUCAUCAGAAGGUAAGUAUUUUGGAGGUGCAAUCCGGAGGAAUGGAUAAAAUCGGUUUUAUCAAAAAAGAUAUCUACAAUCUUGAAUGUAGUGUGAAUGGGAAGCUGAGGAACCACGAUGUUGAACUAGUGACCGAGUAUUUUAUGGCUGAACAGAAAAAACAUGAGGCUUUUUAUUUCAAGAUUGAGGGAGAUGGGCAUGAUAGGUUUAGUCGAUGUUUUUGGGCAGAUGCAACUUCUAGACGGGCGUAUGGGUUUUAUGGAGAUGUUGUUGUAUUCGAUACCACAUUCAACACGAAUCGAUACGACUUGACAUUUGCACCAAUGCUGGGAGUUAAUAACCAUGGUCAGACAAUUGUCUUAGCAUGCGCAUUUUUGAGCAAGGAAACGACUGAGUCGUUUGUUUAGAUGUUUGAGGAGUUUAAGAAAGCCAUGCCAGGUGGGGAACCUAAAACGAUCAUUACAGAUCAAGAUGCGGCAAUGGCCAUAGCGAUUUCAAUAGCCUUCCCGACCACAUUUCAUCGACUUUGCAUAUGGCACAUCACAUCAAAGUUCUCUGUCAAGUUACCAUGUGACGCUUAUAAGGAGUAUUGGCGUGAAUUUCAGAAAGCCAUAUGGGAUACUGACAAUAAGGAUGAGUUUGAUGCAAAAUGGAAUAUUGUGGUUACAAAGGCUGGUUUGACUGACCAUCCAUGGCUAAGUUCAAUGUUUGAUUUAAGGGAAUCUUGGGUUCCAGCCUACGCACGAUAAUUUUUUGCCGCUAGAAUGUCAAGCAGCCAAAGAGCGGAAGGUUCUCAUGGUUUUUUCAAGCAAUACAUAUCAAGGAGAAAUUCGUUGAUAGAUUUCAUAAUACGAUUGAGAGGGCACUUUCUCAUCAACGUGAAAAAGAGUUAGUUGCUGAUCAAGUAGAUGCAUUUGAAGUGGCUCAAUGUAUUCUACCGAUGCCAAUGAACAAACAAAUGGCUACCUUGUACACAAGGACAAUGUUUCAAAAGUUUGAGCAAGAACUAAUACAAAGUACAGCAUGUUUCCUAGAGCUCAAAACAGAGGAUGCUUGUAAAGUUGUCUUUAACGUGAGCGAAAGGAAAAAUUGGGAAACAAGAGUGGCAGAAGUCGUAUAUGUCAAAGAUUCUGACCACGCAUCGUGUAGCUGCAAAAGAUUUGAAUUUGUUGGAAUUAUUUGCAAGCACAUCCUAGCAUUGUUCAGAAGGGACCAGAUUGAAUAUAUGCCCGAUAAAUAUAUUUUGAAGAGGUGGAAGAAAACUGCGAAAUCUGGAUUGGUGUCAGAUGCAAAUGGCAACAAAAUUAAAGACUGUGCAGAUCCUGGCCUUCUAAUAAAGCGGAGUACAAUGUCUCGACUUGCUUCAGAUGUGGUUGAGGAUGCAUUAAUGAGUGAAGAAGGAUGUGAGCUACUGUCAGAGACUCUAAAAAGUUUGCAGGUGAAGUUGAAGUUGCUGAAGGAUGGACCAAGUAAUAACGAAGUUGGAGGGUCCAGCUCUCAAACACAAUAUAUGAAAGACCCUAAGAGAGUGAGGUGCAAAGGAAGGUCGAAAGGAGUAACGGGUGCAAAGGAAAAGGCAAUGAAGUGAGGGAUUAGACACUGUCGGGAGUGUGGACGCAUUGGUCAUGAUAGAAGACAAUGCCCAGCCUUGAACACACUGUAAGAUGCUAACACUAUUUGUAAUAACAUCUAAAUUUUGAAUAGGUAAAAUUUUUAUGUGCUUGUGUUUGAUGUUUAUGCAGGACAUCACCGUCGAACAAUGACGAAUCAACUCCAAUACAUCGUAGUGACCCAUUAUUCGACGAUUUUGACAGGAUGCACGGACCAACUGAAUGAUUUAUAUUUGUAUUAGACGAAAUAUGGUUGUUAUGAAGAUUAAUGAUCAGGUGAAGUUUUAUAGAUUCAGUUUUUAAAUAUUAUUGUGUUUUUGUUCAUGUCCACCGAUGAGCUCUUACUAUGUCCACUGGUAAUUGAAAUGAAAAUUUGCUUGGUUUCAUUCUUCCAUGAAAUUUGGAGACAUGUUAAUUUUACGUCUUCUCCCUAUUUAUAAAUUUUUCAUAGACAUUUGAUCAAGUAUGAAAUUUGUAGUUAUGUGAAGAAGCAAUGACUUUUACCAUGUAAAAUGGGCAGUUUAGGGUGAAUUAUGUUUUAACAGAGAUUCAUUUUUCAAAUCCUCAGGCUAAUGCAGCAUUUCCAGCAGCCAGCUGUUGUUUCCAUUACCAGUAAUCAUUUCCAGCAGUAGCCACUUUUUCCGACUGGUUAUUAGGGGCACGAUUUUGUACACUUUUGUAACUGAAGGAUACUUGAAGCACUUUGUUGGAACAGAGCAAAUAGAAAGUAGCGUGUAAAAAAGAAACAUAACAUUGCAGCUAAUUACAUUUCGAUACUUAGGUGAAAAAUAUUAAAGGGUACACUAACUUACAUAAAUACUCAUAAUUCCACACACAAAAGAACAUUUGAUUGCAAAAAUAUUAUGUGCUCCCUCUUAGCAAUACCACAAUCUCCCCAACCAACUGAACAACGGUAGCCACAAUCACUCGGUCGUACUGGUCAGCUUCUUCUUAGCAGGUGUCACAUGCUUAUGGCCACUCAUAUCCCUAGUGAUAUAGACGAAAUAAAUCUUCAGCAAUAUUUGGAAUUUUAUUAUAUAUAAAUAAACCAAAAACCAUUCACUAAACAAUGUAUAGCACAUGUUAUGUUACUUACGACUCACGUGUCAGUUUUUUUUGAACACAUUAGUACGCCAGCUCUUUAAUGUAAAUGGACAUGAUAAGGAACAUUUACUGAUCCCGGCUUGCUGUGAUAUUGACUGCUUGUUGAAUAAUAUUUCCAUAUUUGCAAAAUAUAAUGUUAGACAUUAUAACACAUGAUGACUUGCAAUACAUAGUCCCAAUAAUUAUAUAUGAAGUAAAUGAAACUGAUAUUUGUGUUAUUUUAAAUUAGAUAAUGAUAUUAAGGGAGUAUAUGUGCAAUACCACGGUCACCCUCAACCAACUGAACAGCGGUAGCCGCAAUCACUUAGUCGUAUCGAUCGGCUUCUUCCGAGCAGCUUUGACGUGCUUAUGCUCAUUCAUGUCACCCCCAUCGUCUAGUAUCUCUCUCACAGCAUCAGGGGACACAUAGUUCCAAUCAUAACUUGUAUGAGUAGUUGCCGCAAAUGCUCGGAAUUUGUCGAAUCCUUCGUUGAAUGCCAACUCCAGUUCACUAUGGUGCUCUUUGCAUCGCAUAUGGUUCAUCAAACAACCUUUCAUUUCAUCAUUCAUUACUGUAUCCAACUCCUCAGCUUUCAGCUUCCUUUUAUGACUCAGCUUCAAGUACUUGUUCUUUUGGGAGAACGCUUUGUUCACUCUAAUGUUAAGAUCAGCCAAAAUUGCCUCGUCUUCAACACAUUUCUCUUGCCAUGAAUUGAUCAGUCUGGAAUUAUAAUCCAGCUUGCCACUGACUGCAUGUAUUGCCUCUAAUGGAUCAUCGGAGUCCCCCUCACUCCCAAAUGAUGUUGAAAAAGGAAGGGGUCGGCGAGUACAAUGUGGAAAUAGAACCUGCGACUCCAAUUUGUCAUCUUCGAUUGUGUUGUUGGCGCCUGAAGAGGUUGACAUGCUUCAAUAAUCCUCUUUGUUUUGGGAGGAUGAGGAUUGCAUAUGCAAUUUCGUUUGAGAAAGGGAACAUAGGUUUAUAGACCAACAUACCAAAGCUUGUGUGUAGUCAACAUAUGUACUUUUUGGAGGGAAUUUUUUAAAAAUAGGUGUCAGCUUUUGCUUUUCAAGCAUGUCAACCUCACACUCUCCUUACACCACUGAUAGUGGUUGAAAGAAACUCAAUGGAAGUGACAUCUACUUAGUUAACUCAACCAAACUAGUUAGGAUUAAACUUAGAUUGUAUCAGACCAAAAAUUAAUUUCUACAUUGUCAACCAAAUAUUUUUUGGCGGGAACCCUUUUCUUGGUAUUACUAUCACCCCUUUCAUAUAAAUUCCCCUUCCACACAAAACUCACUCCUCCACCGAAUCUGUCUCCAUCUACUGAUACUCUCUCAAGCAAACAAACUCAUUGCCCCCAAACAAUAGAUUUACUAACCAAGUUUGAUGUGAGCAUAAUAAACACCCCUCCAAACAAAGACCGCCUUCGACACGCAAGUGAGUCACCAGACAAGCAAUGUCACAUUCCUAGACAGAAUGACCAUUUUGUUGGAAGUUUUGAGUCUGAAAGAGUUGUUGCUUUUUGGAAGGAGAGGCAUCUUCAACUUGGUGAUGAAAUCCAAAGGGCAAGGGCACGUUUGGAAUUUGUUGAAGGCCAAAUUGAAGAUGACAAAAGGCAGGCCAAUCUGGAUAGGGCGAAGUUGCAGUGCAUGAAGCGUAGACACAAACGACUUCGGAGUGUAGCUGUUAAAAAAUACAAGAACUCAUCUAAUGCAGUGGAGUCAAAGAAGCGUGUGAUGCAAGCUGGAUUCGACUACUUCCGAUCCUAUGCAAAACUCGUCGUACCCGGGUUUGAUUGGUCAUCUAUUACCGUUUUCGACGUCACCAAAUAUACUCAGCAAGGGAAGUAACCAUUUUGGUUCUCGUGUUUGAGCAAAGGCAAAUCACUGGAAUUGGAAUUUUCGUUACACUCUGCUUCAAAGCUAUUUUGAUGCUAACUACUAUGGAAGAUUUAAACCUUAAUAUUUUGAUGUCUUUAAUUACGAAAACACAAGAUGCAAAGAGCCCAUCUACUUCAGUCAUAUGUUGCUGCCAUGUCCAUUUUUUGUUGAUCACGUAUCAGAUUUGGACAUGGUUGCAUCAUAUGCAAUGUUGCCUUUAUUUAUUAUAUGUUAGGACAAGGUUUAUGGAAAAGCUUUUGUGAGUGUGUUUGUGACAAGGUUAUGGAAUUAUUAUGUACCAUUUAUAUAUUGUUUUUUGUACUGGUUCAUCUCCUACUAUUUCUUGCUUUCUUUAUAUUUUAUGUUUGUGGAAUCCCUCUCAAAGUUAACAUAUACUGUGCAAAAAAAUGCAGACUGAUUAUAUAAUCACUCAUAUAGACUAGGACAAAUAUUAACUAAGGGUUUUAAAAUUGCUUCACUUGUGUGAGGUUAUUGACAAAAAGUAUGGCAUUAUUUUAUGUGAUUGGACAUGAUUGAAAAUAUAUUACUGAUUCCCAAUGCUGCGUCAUAUGGACAACUUAUUGAAUACUUCUGACGUGUUAAGUUUCCUCGAGGUGCAGUUGCAUGUGGACAACUUAUUGAAUACCUCUGACGUGUUGAAAACUCUAGGUGCAGUUGCAUGUGGACAACUUAUUGAAUACGAACUGACGUCUUGAAAGCCCUAGGCCUAGUUGCAAUGAUGGCUUCAAAGCAUGUGCAAUUAUUAUGGAUGUACAUUAUUAUAACAAAACAUAUUAUUGUAUAUAGUCAAACUAAAUAUUGUAUUAUUACAAAUUAUAUAUUGAAUAUUAUCCGAAAUAUACGUGUUAACGUGAAUUAGGGUUAAGAGGAAAGUGAGUUAUGUACAAAUAAUUUUGAUUUUCUCAUUUUCCGGGUAUUUUUUGGAUUUUCGUAGAAUUUUUUACCUAUUUCCACAGAUUGUUGCACUAAAAAAGCCAAAAUAAUAGCAAGAGGACACCUGGCGUGAUCUCAGCCCGUCACUUUUGACUACUUGCACAAGUGUACGUUAGUCAACAUGGCCACAGCCUCCCAUUUUAUCCUAAAUUAUUAUUUUAUUACUUUGUCUUAGAAAAUUCAGAACUAAAUACACAAAAAUUCAAAAUUAUUUCCAAAAAUUGCUACGAACUCAUUGACACUCCAUCUCCCUUGCUGAAUUCUCCGAUUCAUUGUUACGCAUUUUAGACAAUUAUUCCCAACAUUAACGGGAGAUGCUUGUUGAAGUAGGUUAUUGAAGUUUAAGUUAACAAACAUCAAUACUUAGGGUUAAGAGGAAAGUGAGUUAUGUAAAACAAUUUGGAUUAUUUCAUUGCGAGACGAAUGAUUUAUAGGUUCUCCUAGUUUUAUGACAUCACAAGGAGGCCGGAGUAAUUUUUGGGGCAUUUUUAGGAUUUUUCUACUAUUUAUUACCUAGUUUCAAAGACUUUUUAACAAGAGAAUCCAAAAUUGAAAAGAAGAUGACACCUGGCGCGAUCUCAGCCCGUCACUUUUGACUACUUGCACAAGUGUACGUCAGUCAACAUAGCCACAUCCUCCCAUUUUACCCUAAAUUAUUAUUUUAUUACCUUUUUUCUUUGAAAAUUCAGAACUAAAUACACAAAAAUUCAAAAUUAUUUCCGAAAAUUGCUACAAACUCAUUGACACUCCAUCUCCCUUGCUGAAUUCUCCGAUUCAUUGUUACGCAUUUUAGACAAUUAUUCCCAACAUUAACGGGAGAUGCUUGUUGAAGUAGGUUAUUGAAGUUUAAGUUAACAAACAUCAAUACUUAGGGUUAAGAGGAAAGUGAGUUAUGUAAAACAAUUUGGAUUAUUUCAUUGCGAGACGAAUGAUUUAUAGUUUCUCCUAGUUUUAUGACGUCACAAGGAGGCCGGAGUAAUUUUUGGGGCAUUUUUAGGAUUUUUCUACUAUUUAUUACCUAGUUUCAAAGACUUUUUAACAAAAGAAUCCAAAAUUGAAAAGAAGAUGACACCUGGCGCGAUCUCAGCCCGUCACUUUUGACUACUUGCACAAGUGUACGUCAGUCAACAUGGCCACAUCCUCCCAUUUUACCCUAAGUUAUUAUGUUAUUACCUUUUUUCUUGGAAAAUUCAGAACUAAAUACACAAAAAUUAGAAAAACGAUCCGAAAUUUCUACGAAGUUAUUGAGACUUCAUCUUCCUACUGAAUUCCCUGUUUCAUGGUUAUGCUACAUUAGUAUUUUAUUAUUAUUUAUCCACAAUUAUUAUAAUUAUUAUGAUAUUACUUUUUACACUGUCCAUUUGUUAAUUAUAUUUAGUCCAACUUGUUGAAAACAAUUUUAUUUUCCGUGCGAAUAGGCCAUUUGUAGUGCUCAUCGGUUUCUCUGUUCUUCUAUUUGUUAAUUUUUUUAUUUUUUAGGUUGAAGGGAUGUUUUGAAACAUAAUAUGAAAAUAUACAAGUCAUCCAUUGUACUCCUUCCACACAAAAAAAUUAUUCUACGUCAUUCACUGUUGUUGUUUUGCUUAAGAAACGUGUAACCAAAUCCCUUCGGAUAUGCUAAGUGGGAAAAUGUCAUUCCCAAGCACUGGUGAAAAGACACCUAUUUACUCCAUGCAUGACUUUUCGUUUACCAAAUAUGAAGAUUGGGGUCGGUGAGCAAAAUAUCUGUGUCAGUAAAAUGUCAUUCCUAGCCGUCUAUGAUGUAAGUAAUAAUUCCGCUAUAUAAUAAAUAUUAUACAUUUAUAUAUAAAACGGUUUAUGACAAAAUACCAACAUUUGAACAACAUUUAAACAACAUUUGUACAACGUAGCCAGCCAACCUAGAAGUGAAGAGAAGCAAGUCCACAAUGCAUCAAAACCGUAAAUUCGUACUAAAACUAAUGCAAAAAUACGUGAUUCCCUCGCACAACAUACUCACGCAUCAGUUUGAACCAAAAAAUACUCUCACGGUGCCAUUUGCAUCGAUUGCAACAAGUCCACAACGCAGGAUUUAUCUUGUCUUCACUAGGCCAGCCUGGAAUAACAAAAUACCAUUCAUUGUUGUUACAAGCGCUGCAGCGACUGAACUGAAUCUUCCCAUAGUCAAACAUAUCUACGAUAUGUCUUGCAACUCUUGAUGUGGUUAAUCUUCGUGUCAAAGCAUCCCUGGUUCCUUUCAUAUCAAUGUUGUUACGUUGAUUCAAAGAACACAAGAAUUGUAAUGCAUCCUCUUUUGACUGACCAAUUCCGGACAUACCAAGUAGUCCAACUACAUAUGCCGCUUCCAUAUGGCCUGCCGUGGCUGCAAUGCACAUCCCAUACAACGCUUCCACCUUACCGUGCCUGAAAAAACCUUCGAAUGCUUCUCUAAAUAUGGACUCAGGGUUAUCGCAAGCCCUGCAUUGUUGCAAGAAAUGCUGGACCGCAGGUCUGGCACGGUACCAGCUAGGAUGGUCUGGGUACUUUGCCAUUGAAAUGGUGUUCCACACUUGUGGACUGUUUGCCAAAGUUUGGAACAAUCGGCACACAGAUGCCAUAAGGAAGAGAUCUUCCGAUGAUUCGGUUGCCACGUAUAACAUCACUUGAAACCAAGCGGACUCCGGGAUGAAGGCUUCGGGCAUAUCGAAAUGGAGAUGCUUCCUUCUCUUUCCUCCGAAUGUAGUGAAGUGUUUCGAAUUCAUUGAAAAGUUUUUGGAAUGGAACAAUUUGAGGAGUGGCAGAGGGGAUAAAUGAUAAUAUUUGGGGUACACGUUUUGUUUUAGCCUCUGUUUAUAGUGUUUUGAAAAGGUGUUUCCAGUUGGGGUUUUUCCAAGUUGACCCUUUUGAAAGAAACUGAACCCAAGUGAAUUAAAACUUAAGACAAAAGAAGGGAAAACGUCAUAACGGUGCAUACAGAGUCAGACAGAAAGUUAAUUAAAUGGCUAUUUGCAUAGCCAUUUUUGGGUUUAUCCCACUAUCAAAUUCAUUGAUACAAAUGUGAUGGAUUACUGACUAGUGACAGAAGGUCCCAUCAUAUACUUUUUCAUUUUCCCACACCCAACUACCCCUAGUAAUGUUAUUAAAAUGGAACCAAUAAUGACGGAUUCUUAUCCAACUAGUUGCCUUAAUGAAAUAUAAAUAAAUUAAAAAAACUGAAGCAGUGUCCCCUCAUUUUUCAGAAAAUAUAUUUGGUAGUGAAGUAGUUUAUAUUGCUUUUCGGGCUAAAAGAUGUCACAAUGCUGACGGUACAGGUGUCGACAUCGUGACCAACCCACCAAAUGAUCCCAAAAAAAAUAAAUAUAACUCGAUUUGGGCAGAGAUGAGAGAGAGCUGAGUGACAAGUUUAGGGUUAUGAGUGAAGGGGUAUGAAUGACAACUAUGAGUGAGAAGGUAUGAGUCCGAAGAGGUUUCAGUGAGAAGAUUUGAGUGAGAAGAGGUACAACUGAGAAGAUUCAACAUGUCUUCGUCUUCAUCUCCCGCUCAAACAAAGAGGUGUCAGUAUUGUGGAGCUACAAUGGUGCUUCGGGUUUCAAAAUCUGACAAAAAUCGAGGGAAGCCAUUCUGGAAGUGUCUAACCUCCUAUGUAAGUUUUAAUUUAAAGAAUAUGUAUGUGGGUGAAAAAAAAACCUAUGUCUAACUCUGACAGAAUUAUAUUCCAUAUAUGAUGCCUGCAAUUAGGGAGCCACCAGUUGCAAUGGAUUCGAAUGGGUUGAUGUAACCUCCGCUGAAGCAAAACAUCAAGAUGACACGUAUGAUGCUAGAGUGCUGAACAUGCUGAAGUCCAUUAAGGACUUGGUAUUAGUUUUAUUAGUUGUAUCAAUUGUCAUUUUAUUUGUUCUUUUAAUGAUCAUUUAACUGCACGGUUUCAAAGAUUGUGAAAGUUCUCCCGCACAAGACAUGUUGCACGCACCACCAAUGAGACCCUAAACCCAUUUUGUAAUAUUUGUUAACUGCAUGCAUUUCGCAAGUUAUAAAACCGAUAUUGAAUGUUUAUUGAAGGUUUAUUGAUAGUUUGCUGCAUGUAUAUGGAAUAUCAUUACCCCAAUAUUGGAUGUUUAUUGGGGCCACAAGUAUCACUCAAGUAAGAAUGAAGGGGGGAAACGGACCUUAUUCUUUCUUUUAGUAGGAAGAGCAACUGUUAAGUUUAAUAUCCUAUUCAAUACGACUUCCUUAUGGUUGGUGUAUUUGGGGACUGAAGUAUAUUGCAUCAUUAUUGUGGGCAAGGGCAUGUCUAUUGUGUAUGUUAAGGGAGUAUUGCGUGUACAUUGCAUGUCUAUUGUGUGUAUAUUGCAUGUCUAUUAUGUGUAUAUUGCAUGUCUAUUGUCUGUAUAUGGCAGGCCAAUUUUGUGUAUAUUGUUUGUCUGUUGUGUGUAUAUUGCUUGUCGAAACGCAAGUGAAUUGUUGUUCAUUUUGUGUAUAUUGUCUUUGUUUCUACUUUUAUGCUACUAAGCUGCCGAAAACCGUGCUCAUCGGUUUAGACACCUAUUAUGAUGCAACACAUUGCGAUUAAUGGUGGCUUGCAUCAACAAUGACAUAUCACUUUGCAAUGAUGUAAUACACUUAAAAAGCCAUCUUCAAAUCCCAAUUCACAUAUGCAGUCUUAAAAUUCCAAUUCACAUAUGCAGUCUUAAAAUUCCAAUUCAAUGCAGUUUGGUUAACAAACAUGUAAAUGUCAUGAAGGACUUAGCGGUAGAAUUCGAUAAGGACCCGUACGUCUCUAUUGUGUAUUUACAUUAGUUUGAGAAUGGACAUUCCCAAAACCUUCUCAUGUACCAUUUGUCAUCUUCAACCAAUAUCAUGGGAAGUAAGCAUCUCCCCUUGUUAUCUCCGCAGCCAAUUUCAACCGAAAAAAAGGCAUGUUGUGCUAGGUGCAAGUAGCUAACGGAAGCUGAGCACUGAAAAGCUCAAUGUACUUUAACGCAAACAUGCCACAAUCGCCUCUGAAGCAAAACAAGAACUCGAUCAAUUCAACUAAUGACAUUCUAACGUAAUUGACAAUUCAAAGUAAUAAAGUUAAAUUGCAAGUUGUGCUUACUCAUUAGACUGUUGUGGAACAUCCACACGCUCUAUUGGCCACGGACACCACCAAUCUCGGCUGCAAUUGUUUGCAUAAACACCUUCUUCAUAAAAGUCGAUGGUGUUGAGAAGAUUUGGAAGCGUAAUUGAUAGCGGGGCGAGUUCUUCCUUUACGAUGUCAUCUGGAAUUAGUGAAACCUUUGAAUCGUAAACUUUGAUUUCACACAAUACCAGAUCAAUCAUUACAGCCACCCAAUGCUUGUACUUCGUCAACAUAAAUGGGGUAUACACCUUAUAGACGUUCUGCCAAUCCAUCCCACACGGAGGAACCUUCCCAUUUACAACGUUUAGUAAACUUUUUCUGAUUUUCCACCCAAGCUGCUGUUUUUUUCUUUUAUUAUCCGCAAAGCAAGUACGAAUGUGAUUCUGUGAAAUACAAAACAAUCAAUGGUUAAACACCUCCACUAGUGUGUGUAUGGAAAAUGUGGAAUUAUUAACGGCACUUGGUCAAGGCCGAUGACAUACCAUAAAAAAAACAUCGGUCGUUGUCUAGUCCGCUAUUUCUACUUCCUCCAACUGUUGUUGUCGCUUCCGGAUGAGAUACAACCCCAAAUCAAUGUGCUGCAACAUGUUUUUCUUGUCAAUCUCACAAUCUAUGUACAUUAAAACAAAUGCGUAAUCAAUUACACUUACAUCUCUUUUCAGCCAACCAUCAGCUUUCACGAGGGAAGCGAAGAAUUCAAUCUCAGCUUCCACGUUGCCAAAUUGCAUCACCAAACUAUGAAUAUAAAACAGUUUUAGAACACUGUAUAUUAAAAAUUAUAUACAGUCAUGCUUCUAUCUUAUAAUUGCAAGGGACUUACUUUGGGUCGUGGCGCCAUUCCCGACAAAGUUUCAGCAAAUUCACCAGAUCAUCAUGCAGAAUCGCCUUCAUUGGGUCUAACAUCUUCAGUCCGGUUGUCUGUGCCCCAGUUUUUGGAACCAAUUCACUGCCUUCAAUGAUCUUCCACAUAGGAAUGAUCCUCUUCAUUUUCCGUAAUUGGACCCUUUGUGCCACAGCUUUACCUUUAUCAUUCAACCACACGUUCAAUUGAGAUAGCACAGCUGUAGGUUCAUCCAAAUCAAUGUCCCGGACAGUAAACUCAAGCAGUGUCCCCUCCGUGCUCUCGCCAAUGUCACCCCCAAGCAACAUAACUUCAUUAUCUUCUUUCUCACAUUGGUUUUUUUGCACUUCCUUUUCCUCACUUCUUUGUGUUUUCACUUCCUUGCCCUCCCUUUUUUUUUCCUUUGUAGUUUCUCUCCCUUACUGCUUUUUCUUUUCACUUCCUCUCCCUCACUGCUCUGUCUUUGGGCUUCCUCUCCCUUGCUACUUUUUACUUGCACUUGCUCUCCUUCACUUCUUUUCCUUUGCCCUUCCUCUACCUCACUUGGUUUUCCUUGCACUUCACCCCCUUCAAUCCCCUCCUCUUCCUUUUCCUCUCCUUCAAUCCCCUCCUCUUCCUUUUCCUCUCCCUCAUUUCUAUUACUUGGCCCUUCACCCCCUUCAAUCCCUUCAUCUUCCUUUUCCUCUCCCUCAUUUCUGUUACUUGGCCCUUCAUCCCAUUGAAUGUCAUCCAUUUCCCCAUAUCCCUUAAAUAGAUGUGAGACGACACAACGAUUCGUCCUCUGUUUCAGUAAAGCUAGGUCCCUCCUUACUUCCUGCUCAAACUGAGGACCUAAACAUUGGUCCAACAGUUUUUCCAUCCGUAUGACCUUUAAGUGAAGGACGUCUUUUUCCCGCUUUACUUGAAACAACUUGGACCUCAACAAGCCUACCACCUUGUUCAACUCAUCAAGAUCACCACAUGAAGAAGGAAUUGACUUUGCCGAGACAACAGCAGGGCGAUCCUGUGGCCAACUCCAAUAUGGCUGUCUCAUUUCCUCUUCACUCGAACAUAGCGCCCGCAAUUGAACUGACUGUUUCAGAAUACAGACAAGAGUCAUAUUAAAUCAUUCUACUUCAUAAUUUCAUUCAAUCUUAUCAAUAGUUCCAAGGGCUGCAAACCAAACCUCUUUGCUCUGGAAAAAAUAAUUGUUCAACUUUCUCAUCUCUGGAACAGGCGUAGUAGUUCUCCAUCGCAAAAUACGCGGGACAGCGGUCGGAUCAACAACCUUGCAGUAAUUCAGGUCCACCAUUCUAGGAAUUAAUUCAUAUACCCAAAUCUACACAAUUCACAGGACAAAAGUCAUUAUUUAUGGUUUAAAGAAAAACAAAACAUAACUGACAUGAACAUUAUUACCAUGUACCUGGAAAGCAUACGUGAAACCUUUAAAACUCCAGCCACUCCUUUGCGCUUCACCAUGCUUAUCCUUCUUGCCCUUCUCAUUUCUCCGGGUUGUUCCCGUUACCUUACUUUUCCCCUUCCCUCUUCCCUCUUCAUUUUCCAAGCUUUUCACAUACUUUGUUGGUGCAUAAAAUAGACUGUCUUGGGUUUUGUCAAAGGACACCGAACCCCACGGAUACCUGUUGAACGCAUCCAAGUCCUCUACAAGGGUCAGGUAAUUUAGAUUCAUGUUCAAAUGUUUGUCCCUUCUCAAAACCACUAACUCAGCAAAGUACACAAGAGCUAGCUUGUAGAUGUCAUCUUCCUCUGUGCACCUCAGAAAUGCUUCUUCUAAAGCAUUGCAUGUAAUUCCUUCGUCUAUAAAAUAUCUUUUCUGAAGUCUGAUUUCAUCACUCUCUCCACUGGAAACUUCAGGCACUUCCCCAAAAUGAAGCCCUGUGAUCAAACAGAAAUCUUGACGAGUGAACUGAGCAACGUCACACCCUAAUAAGAAACUCAGUCCAUCCAAGUCUUUCACACCCUGCCCCGCUACUCUACGCAACACAACCCCAUGCACAAUCUGCCCGCUAAACUGAAUCUUAUCUAUAUUCAGAAGAUGGCCAAAGCAUGAUGUCUUGAAUUGUUCUAAUUGUUCCGCACUCAACUUCGCUCGAAUUGCAGCUAGAGAUGAAUUUGCAUGUGAGCAGUUGUUCACCCGUGACGAAUAUACCUCUGCCUCUGGCCAUACCAGCUCCACGUUGGAUCCCAUUUCCUCAAAUACAAUGUGAAAUAACGUGAACACAUAUACUACCACGUAUUUGCACAAUCACAACUAGUCAACCAGGCACAUUACAAAUUUUACAAAGUACAUGAGCAUAGGGAUUACUGAUCACAGGCUUUAACAUCAUCAAAGCAAUAUGGCAAAUUUUGUGCAAAUACCUGUUAAUGCAAUGAUUAUGUGAAUUACAAACAAUUUCACCGGUUUUAUUUAUGGAUCUAUACUCGUGUGAGUGCAAUGUAGGCAAGUUCUGCACUUCACACACAUGACAAUUAUUGUCAUCUCAUACACAACACAAAAUAAAUAAAUAAGAAAUAUAGUGGAAGGAAGCAAAGCAAAGCAUCUACUCUGCUAUCUGCUUGCUAAGCAAUUGCCACAUCCUUCUUUCUUUCUAGCUUUUUCUUCAGUCACCCACAAUCGUCAUAGAUCAACCUUCAUUUCAAAUGCUUUGCACUUUUAUUCAUGAGUUUAUUAUUAUCUGUUCUCAUUUCUCAUAGGCAAAUUUAGUAACAAAUGAAAUAAUAUUUAUUUCAUAAAAUAUAUAAAUUCUAGUGCCAGAGAGGUACUCUUCACUCUGCACUGCUUCAAAUGUGGAAGGUUUUGAGCGCCUCCUCCAAUUUAACACCAUUAUCUUAUUCAUAUCAUUACUAACAUGUUAUUGACAUGUUAUUCAGACGUUAUUGACAUGUGAUUGACUUUAUUUUCAUUCGUUUUUUAACAUAUACCCAAGCAAAAAUUAACAUGCAAUUGAAGCACAAAUAAGAGAUGUCAAAUCCAACAACAUUGAUGGUACAAAUUGGGGAAAACCAUUACUCUAACCCUAAACUCAAAUUCCUUACAUUACUCAUCAAAUGCUUUGCAGUUCUAUUCAUGAGUUUAUUAUUAUCUGUUCAAAUGUUUCUCAGGCAAAUUUAGUAACAAAGGAAAUCAUAUUUACUUCAUAAAAUAUAUAUAUAUUCUACCGCCUCUUCUUAAUCUGCACUAUGCAUUGCUUCAAAUGUGGAAGGUUUUGAGGGCCUCCUCCAAUUCAACACCAUUUAUCUUAUUCAUAUCAUUAUUGACAUGUUAUUCACUUGUGAUUGACUUGAUUUUCAUUCUUUUUUUAACAUAUACCUAAGAAAAAAUUAACAUGCAACUGAAGUACAACGAAGAGAUGCCAAAUCCAACAAAAUUUAUGGUACAAAUUGGGGAAAACCAUUACUCUAACCCUAAACUCAAAUUCCAUAAAUUACUCACCAAAUGGGUUAUUGCAAGGUGUUUGUGUGGGGUCUUUCUAUUUCUUUGCUCCACAAAUGGAACCUACCACUUCCAACGAAUACAGCUUCUCCCCUUCCCCUUCCACUGCUUUGCCCCUUCACUGAUUUGGAAUCCACACCUUUGCCCCUUCUACUCCAAAUAAAUACUUUUUCAGGGUCUGGAGAACGGAGUGGCGAAUCGUUGCCUUCAACUGUCGUUAGCCGUUGCCUUCAUUGGGUAUCUCAGACCUCUGGGUUUUAGAGAGAUGAGUUCUUUCUGUUCAAACUUCGAACUUGCCUCUUCUUCUUCUUUUUCGGACGUGUUUCCCUCUUCUUCUUCUUUUUGGACGUGCUGGAUAUUCAAUUCGGGUUUGGGUUCCUCACCUACCCAAUUGUGAAACUUUAUCUCAAUUCUCCCCAGCCCUUGGAUUGAUCUGAUGGCUAUAAAGUGAACCCCUUCUAACUUACCCCUUAUAACUUUCCACUCAUUAUAGUCUGCGCGAUAUAUAUAUACCUUGGCCAAGUUUCUUGAAUGGACUUAUUGAAAUUUCAAGUCACCCAACAUCGAUGGAUUAUGCUCAAUCAAAAUUAGAGACUCCGGAGGCCACAUUGUCUCACCAGAUGUUAGGCCCAAGUCCUCAGAGGCCCAAGCUCUACCUGCGAAAGUAGGCCCAAAAACCACCGGAUGUUUUCAUGGACAUGACGAGAUCCAUCCAAGGAAAGCAAUCAAAAGAGAGUGAUGUCAAUCUGGAACAUCCCUAAGAAGGAGAGAAUCAAGUGAUCAGAUUUGUAAUCUGAUCAUCUCAUUCGAAUCAAUUCCGUGAAUUUAGGAAGCCACACAAGGAAAGAUUUUGAACAAAGUUGACCUUCGGCCAUUUAGUGGCCAGCCCAUGGGCUGACGAAUGCCCCUCUAUGAAAUACAUCAGACAAAGAGCAAAGGACCCCGAUAUCAGGCACAAAACCUACUUUUUGUCUUUCAAUUUUCUAUCCCUAGACUAGUUUUUUUAUUUUCCAAGCAAGCAGACUAGAUUUGUUCUUCACUUUCAUUAGUGUAAGUUUAAUUUCUUGUAUUUUCCAUUAUGUUGUUUUAAGAUUCAAUUUUGCCGCUGUAUUUUUAAUUUUUAUCGAAUUUUCUUUAAGCUUAAUUUAAUUUCAAAUUGCUUUAUUUUAUUGCCUUUAUCAUUUAUAUCAUUCUUAUUUCGUUCUUCGUUUAAUUUAAGUUUAUCUAUCGCUUUGAUUUACUUUGUCGCACUUUAACUCUCAUCUUUAAGUUUAAUUGCAUCUUUUAAUUUAAUUUGCAUUAUUAUCAUUAAAAAUCUCAAAAAUACUAAAACACCCAUACGAAACCUAACCAUCCUCAACCCCGAGGAAGUGAAAGAACCUAGGUUAAGAGGAGGUUCCUUGCUUGGCCGAUCAAUCUGCUGGUUAGAAGUCAGAAGCAUGAACACAUUGAUCCAACUUUUUCCAUUCAAGCCAAUCAGUGGCUUAGUGGUGGCACUCCUACGCAAUCUAAAAUAAGGACCAAAACUCCUUCAAUCGGCCUACCCGGACGAAAAGAGGGAAAUAACAUCAUUGUGGCUCAGGAGAUGUUACACAAAUUUACAGUUUCAAAAGGGAAAAAAGGCUUCAUUGCUUUGAAAAUUGACUUAUCUAAGGCUUAUGGCAGACUGAACUGGAAUUUCAUUAAGGAAGUGCUUUGGGAGAUUGGUCUCAGAGGCAUGAUUCUUGAUGUUAUCAUGAAGUGCAUUAGUUGUGUUCAAUAUAAAGCUAUCCUCAGUGGUUAGUUAACUGAGGCUUUUACGCCUAGGCAAGGUGACCCGUUGUCCCCUUAUAUAUUUGUUUUGUGUAUGGAAAAGCUCUCUCACCUUAUUCAUAAAGGGUCCAUGAUAAUUUUUGGACAUCGGUGCAGAUUUGUCAAGGUGGUCCUUUUGUGUCUCGCUUAUUCUUUACUGAUGACUUAAUUCUUUUCAGUAAAGCUUCCAUGAACCAGGCUAUGGUGAUGAAACAAUGUUUGGAUGAGUUUUGCAACGUCUCUGGUCAGAAGGUAAGCUUUGAGAAAUCAGUUAUUUCUGUUUCUCCAAAUACAAGCCAUGCACUUGCUCAAUCCAUUGCUAAUGUUAGUGGAUCUCCCCUCACUGCCUGUCUUGGUAAAUACCUUGGAGUCCCUUUAAUUCAUAAAAAAGUCACUAAGACCACUUAUAUGGAGAUUGUCGAGAAGGUCCAGAAAAGGUUGUCUGCCUGGAAGAGUCAUUUCCUUUCCAUGGCUGGUAGGCUUACUCUCCUACAAUCUGUUAUUGCUGCCAUUCCCAUUUAUUCUAUGCAAACUGUUAAGUUACUUGUUUCCGUUAGUGACAAACUUGACCAGCUGAACAUGAAUUUUCUUUGCUUCCACACUAAUAAUUCGUGUAAGACCCAUCUUGUUAAUUCAGAAAGAUCAGGGCCUUUGGGCCAAGGUCUUGAAUUCUAAGUAUUUGAGACAACGUGAUCUUAUUGCUGCUAUGAAUCCCAACACUAGUUGUGUUUCCAGUGUGUGGAGGGGUGUUUUAUUUUGUGCUAAGCUUCUUCCUCCUGGUCUCAAUUGGAGAGUUGGAGCUGGUGAUAACCAUCUUGGUUUGGACGGACACGUGGGUGAGUUGUGGCCCUUUACAGAAUUUUGCCACCGUUUUAAGCUUCUUCUUACUGUGAGUGACUUCAUGGAGCAUGGAUAUUGGAAUGUCAACUGCUUACAGGAUUGCCUGCCUCCCAACAUUGUUCCUCCGAUUUGAAGUACUCAUGCCGGCUUCUAUGGAGGUAGGAUUGAUACUUGCGUAUGGAAGCUCUCCUCUAAUGGUGAGUUCUCUGUUAAAAUUGCCAAUUACUCUAUUGUCCUUGGGCAAGACCUUCCCCCCUAGAAAUGGGAAUUUAUCUGGAAGCUCCACAUCCCCCCAAAGAUUAAAACCUUUUUGUGGGUUAUGUGUCAUAACAAGCUCUUGACUAAUGCCAACGUGUCAAAAGAGGACUUGCCUCUUCUGCUAAUUGUCCUCGCUGCAGUUAUUUGGAGUAAGUUUGGGUCUAACUCUACCCUUCCUAUCUGCUUUGUGGCAGAUUUUGAUGCUUGGCUGUUUCACAACCUUAAGUCCCGAAAAUUUGUAUGAGAUGAUAUGCCUUGGUACAUGGUUUUUGCUGUCUGUCUUUGGUAUAUUUGGAAAUGGCGCUGUAAACUUAUUUUUGAGGAAGGAUUUGUGAUGCCAUUAAGCCUCAACAAGUUUUGCAGUAUCCUGUUGAGUGGUUCACUGCUCGUAAGGCUAUGACAACUUCUAUUGCAAUUUGUGUGAUGCAGCUAUGCUGGCAACAUCCUAUGCCUGGUAUUUUUAAGCUUAACACUGAUGGGAGUCGAAAGUCUGAGUCUGGCCUCAUAGGUGCUGGACGAAUUAUUAGAGACUCUAUUGGUGUUUGGAUUAAAGGCUUCUCUGUGAAUCUUGGUGUGGGAUUUACAAUUGAGGCUGAAUUACGGGGUGUCUUUUGGGGCCUCCGUUUGGCUUGGUAUUAUGGGUGCCGAAACAUUGCGGUGAAUGUGAUGCUAGUGAUGUGGUUUCCCUCCUCUCUUGCCCAACAUCUCUCACUCAUCCCCUCCUUAGUCUUAUUAAUUGCUGCAAGCUGAAGAUGCAAGAAAACUGGAUUUGUUCCCUGAGGCAUGUCUUUCGUGAACAAAACCAUGUUGCUGACGUUCUUGCUAAAAUGAGCCAUGAGUUGGACCCUGGUUAUCAUUGUUUUGAUGUUCCCCUUCCUAAUGUCUAUGACACCCUUUAUGUUGAUCCUAGCAAUUUGGCUAGGACUCGAAUUAUCUCUCUGUAGUUUGCUUUGUUGAUAGGCCUCUAGCCCAUCUGUACCAAAAAAUAAAAAUAAAAAUAAAGCCCACAACUAAAUGCCCAUUCUGCUUCUCUCUCGCCUUUUGAACUGAGUCCAAAUUACUCACCAAUUUAAGGGAGCUUCUAUAGUGAGUGGGAAGUUAUAAGGGGUGUUUUUGAGGGGUAUGUAAGAGCCGUUGGAUUUCAUCCAACGGUGAGUUUUUAAAAGAGGGUGCAUGUAGAAUCGGGUUGAAAUCUAACCCGUUAGAAACCCAACUUCAGUUGUUCCCCUCUUUCCCUCUCUGUGAAAAACUGAAGCCUUUCUUUUUGAAUGUAAAGCAAACCCACAAUUAGAAGGAUCCAAAUCUCCCAAACCUUAUAGUCACUCGACUGUCAUUAGCUCGUUGGGAGGCCUGCGAUCUAUAGUAUCCUGGGUAUUACGAAGAAUGGCUCUUACCUAGCUGUUGCCCUGUUUUGAUUCUAUGGCUCAAGUGAAAACCCCUUCUCUUUUCAUUCAGCUGACAAGAUUCCAGAUGAAAGCAAAGUAGCAUAUCUGUUUUUGUAGCUAGAAGCCGCAGCAGCAGUUGUUCCUCGAUUUUGGUAGAGAUGGAGUCUCAAAUACCAAAGAGUCUUCUCUAAUGUCCACCACAGUCUUUCAAGCUGACUGACUUCAGAGCUCCCGAUUGAUUUUGAGAGGUAAGUUCACUUGCUGGAUUGAUUUUAUUGGGUUAGGUUUAUUUUUUGUGAGGGUGGGAAAUUCGUCAUUUGUGGCAUCAAUAAUGUGUCAUUUUCUUAUGAAUAUUCAAUAUACUUAGUUCAUUGUUGUUGGUCGGGGUGGAAAAUUAUGAAAUGUAGGUAAAAGAACCUAAACUUAGGCUUAAUGACGUUAGGAGUAAGCAGUUGGAGAGGAUAUUGGGUGAAGUUCUGUAAUUGGUGGUUUGAAUUACAUUUGUGUUCUUAGUUGAACAUGUUGGUUCUAAUGUUAUUUUGACCAGAUUAUUUCCCAAGAGAUGACGUAACUUUUAUGAAAUUUUGCUUGUGUUUUGUGUAAUCGGAAGUUAGGCUAUGCGUAUUUUUUGUCAAUUUGGGCAAUGUUUUGUGUAAGUGGAAUGCAUUGAUAUGUUGUGAUGCAGUAAUGACUGAUUAAUGAAUGAAUAAUUGCUAUGCAGUAAUAUAGAAGUGGAUCAAUAAUAUACGUAGAUAAAAUGUCUGGGGGCUCAGAGAGUGAUGAAUGUGCAACAGCUAAUGGGAGGGUUUAUAUUCCUGAAGUAAGAAAUGAGGAAACACCAGCAGUUGGGAUGAAGUUUGACUCGCUUGACCUCGUUUACAAUUUCUAUAAUAGAUAUGCAUUCUUGGCUGGCUUUGGUAUUCGACUUCAUUCUAGCUUUUGGGGGAAAAAUAAGAAAGAUAUUUUGAGGAAAGAAUUUGUAUGUUGCAAACAAGGUGCAUACAGGAAGGAUGAAACUCGGGAGAGAAAAAGACAACGGGGAAUAAGUAGAUGCAAUUGCAAAGCAAAGAUUGUGGUUGUGAAGACAAAUGGGAGCAAGAAGUAUACCAUUUCUCUUUUUGCAGAGGGACACAAUCAUAAGAUGACACCCUCAGAAAGAAUGCAUUUAUUGAGAUCACACCGUCAUAUUUCAGAUUCUACAAAAGUACUCACAAAACAGUUGGGUUUAGUUAAUAUUCCCAUUCAUCAGAAGGUAAGUAUAUUCGAGGUGCAAUCCGGAGGAAUGGAUAAAAUCGGUUUUAUCAAAAAAGAUAUCUACAAUCUUGAAUGUAGUGUGAAUGGGAAGCUGAGGAACCACGAUGUUGAACUAGUGACCGAGUAUUUUAUGGCUGAACAGAAAAAAAAUGAGGCUUUUUAUUUCAAGAUUGAGGGAGAUGGGCAUGACAGGUUUAGUCGAUGUUUUUGGGCAGAUGCAACUUCUAGACGGGCGUAUGGGUUUUAUGGAGAUGUUGUUGUAUUCGAUACCACAUUCAACACGAAUCGAUACGACUUGACAUUUGCACCAAUGUUGGGAGUUAAUAACCAUGGUCAGACAAUUGUCUUAGCAUGCGCAUUUUUGAGCAAGGAAACGACUGAGUCGUUUGUUUGGAUGUUUGAGGAGUUUAAGAAAGCCAUGCCAGGUGGGGAACCUAAAACGAUCAUUACAGAUCAAGAUGCGGCAAUGGCCAUAGCGAUUUCAAUAGCCUUCCCGAGUACAUUUCAUCGACUUUGCAUAUGGCACAUCACAUCAAAGUUCUCUGUUAAGUUACCACGUGACGCUUAUAAGGAGUAUUGGCCUGAAUUUCAGAAAGCCAUAUGGGAUACUGACAAUAAGGAUGAGUUUGAUGCAAAAUGGAAUAUUGUGGUUACAAAGGCUGGUUUGACUGACCAUCCAUGGCUAAGUUCAAUGUUUGAUUUAAGGGAAUCUUGGGUUCCAGCCUACGCACGACAAUUUUUUGCCGCUGGAAUGUCAAGCAGCCAAAGAGCGGAAGGUUCUCAUGGUUUUUUCAAGCAAUACAUAUCAAGGAGAAAUUCGUUGAUGGAUUUCAUAAUACGAUUUGAGAAGGCACUUUCUCAUCAACGUGAAAAAGAGUUAGUUGCUGAUCACGUAGAUGCAUUUGAAGUGGCUCAAUGUCUUCUACCGAUGCCAAUGAACAAACAAAUGGCUACCUUGUACACAAGGACAAUGUUUCAAAAGUUUGAGCAAGAACUAAUACAAAGUACAGCAUGUUUCCUAGAGCUCAAAACAGAGGAUGCGUGUAAAGUUGUGUUCAACGUGAGCGAAAGGAAAAAUUGGGAAACAAGAGUGGCAGAAGUCGUAUAUGUCAAAGAUUCUGACCACGCAUCGUGUAGCUGCAAAAGAUUUGAAUUUGUUGGAAUUAUUUGCAAGCACAUCCUAGCAUUGUUCAGAAGGGACCAGAUUGAAUAUAUGCCCGAUAAAUAUAUUUUGAAGAGGUGGAAGAAAACUGCGAAAUGUGGAUUGGUGUCAGAUGCAAAUGGCAACGAAAUUAAAGACUGUGCAGAUCCUGGCCUUCUAAUAAAGCGGAGUACAAUGUCUCGACUUGCUUCAGAUGUGGUUGAGGAUGCAUUAAUGAGUGAAGAAGGAUGUGAGCUACUGUCAGAGACUCUAAAAAGUUUGCAGGUGAAGUUGAAGUUGCUGAAGGAUGGACCAAGUAAUAACGAAGUUGGAGGGUCCAGCUCUCAAACACAAUAUAUGAAAGACCCUAAGAGAGUGAGGUGCAAAGGAAGGUCGAAAGGAAUAACGGGAGCAAAGGAAAAGGCAAUGAAGCGAGGGAUUAGACACUGUCGGGAGUGUGGACACAUUGGUCAUGAUAGAAGACAAUGCCCAGCCUUGAACACACCGUAAGAUGCUACCACUAUUUGUAAUAAUAUCUAAAAUAUGAAAAGGUAAAAUUUUUAUGUGCUUGUGUUUGAUGUUUAUGCAGGACAUCACCGUCGAACAAUGACGAAUCAACUCCAAUACAUCGUAGUGACCCAUUAUUCGACGAUUUUGACAGGAUGCACAGACCAACUGAAUGAUUGAUAUUUGUAUUAGACGAAAUGUGGUUGUUAUGAAGAUUAAUGAUCAAGUGAAGUUUGAUAGAUUCAGUUUUUGAAUGUUAUUGUGUUUUUGUUCAUGUCCACCGAUGAGCUCUUACUAUGUCCACUGGUAAUUGAAAUGAAAAUUUGCUUGGUUUCAUUCUUCCAAGACAUUUGGAGACAUGUUAAUUUUACGUCUUCUCCCUAUUUAUAAAUUUUCAUAGACAUUUGAUCAAGUUUGAAAUUUGUAGUUAUGUGAAGAAGCAAUGACUCUUACCAUGUAAAAUGGGCAGUUUAGGGUGAAAUUUGUUUUAACAGAGAUUCAUUUUUCAAUUCCUCAGGGUAAUGCAGCAAUUACAGCAGCCAGCUGUUGUUUCCAUUACCAGUAAUCAUUUCCAGCAGCAGCCACUUUUUCCGACUGGUUAUUAGGGGUACGAUUUUGUACACUUUUGUAAGCGAAGGAUACUCGAAGCACUUUGUUGGAACAGAGCAAAUAGAAACCAGCGGGUAAAAAAAAAACAUAACAUUGCAGCUAAUUACAUUUCGAUACAUAGGUGAAAAAUAUUAAAGGGUACACUAACUUACAUAAAUACUCAUAAUUCCACACACAAAAGAACAUUUGAUUGCAAAACAUAUUAUGUGCUUCCUCAUAGCAAUACCACGAUCUCCCCAACCAACUGAACAACGGUAGCCACAAUCACUGGGUCGUACUCGUCAGCUUCUUCUUAGCAGGUCUCACACGCUUAUGGCCACUCAUAUCCCUAGUGAUAUACACGAAAUAAAUCUUCAGCAAUAUUUGGAAUUUUAUUAUAUAUAAAUAAACCAUAAACCAUUCAGUAAACAAUGUAUAGCACAUGUUAUGUAACUUAUGACUCACGUGUCAGUUUUUUUUUUAACACAUUAGUACUCCAGCUCUUUAAUGUAAAUGGACAUGAUAAGGAGCAUUUAUUGAUUCCCGGCUUUCUGUGAUAUUGACUGCUUCUUGAAUAAUAUUUCCAUAUUUGCAAAAUAUAAUGUUAGACAUUAUAACACAUGAUGACUUGCAAUACAUAGUCCCAAUAAUUAUAUAUGAAGCAAAUGAAACUGAUAUUUGUGUUAUUUUAAGUUAGAUAAUGACAUUAAGGGAGUAUAUGUGCAAUACCACGGUCACCCUCAACCAACUAAACAGCGGUAGCCGCAAUCACUUAGUCGUAUCGGUCGGCUUCUUCCGAGCAGCUUUGACGUGCUUAUGCUCAUUCAUGUCACCCCCAUCGUCUAGUAUCUCUCUCACAGCAUCAGGGGACACAUAGUUCCAAUCAUAACUUGUAUGAGUAGUUGCCGCAAAUGCUCGGAAUUUGUCGAAUCCUUCGUUGAAUGCCAACUCCAGUUCAGUAUGGUGCUCUUCGCAUCGCAUAUGGUUCAUCAAACAACCUUUGAUUUCAUCAUUCAUUACUGUAUCCAACUCCUCAGCUUUCAGCUUCCUGCUAUGACUCAGCUUCAAGUACUUGUUCUUUUGGGAUAACGCUUUGUUCACCCUAAUGUUAAGAUCAGCCAAAAUUGCCUCGUCUUCAACACAUUUCUCGUGCCAUGAAUUGAUCAGUCUGGAAUUAUAAUCCAGCUUGCCACUGACUGCAUGUAUUGCCUGUAAUGGAUCAUCGGAGUCCCCCUCACUCCCAAAUGAUGUUGAAAAAGGAAGGGGUCGGCGAGUACAAUGUGGAAAUAGAACCUGCCACUCCAAUUUGUCAUCUUCGAUUGUGUUGUUGGCGCCUGAAGAGGUUGACAUGCUUGAAUAAUCCUCUUUGUUUUGGGAGGAUGAGGAUUGCAUAUGCAAUUUCGUUUGAGAAAGGGAACAUAGGUUUAUAGACCAACAUACCAAAGCUUGUGUGUAGUCAACAUAUGUACUUUUUGGCGGGAAUUUUUUAAAAAUAGGUGUCAGGUUUUGCUUUUCAAGCAUGUCAACCUCACACUCUCCUGACACCACUGAUAGUGGUUGAAACAAACUCAAUGGAAGUGACAUCUACUUAGUUAACUCAACCAAACUAGUUAGGAUUCAACUUAGAUUGUAUCAGACCAAAAAUUAAUUUAUACAUUCUCAACCAAAUAUUUUUUGGCGGGAACCCUUUUCUUGGUAUUACUAUCACCCCUUUCAUAUAAAUUCUCGUUCCACACAAAACUCACUCCUCCACCGAAUCUGUCUCCAUCUACUGAUACUCUCUCAAGCAAACAAACUCAUUCCCCCCAAAGAAUGAGCAUAAGCACAACCAAGUUUGAUGUGAGCAUAAUAAACACCCCUCCAAACAAAGACCGGCUUCGACACGCAAGUGAGUCACCAGACAAGCAAUGUCACAUUCCUAGACAGAAUGACCAUUUUGUUGGAAGUUUUGAGUCUGAAAGAGUUGUUGCUUUUUGGAAGGAGAGGCAUCUUCAACUUGGUGAUGAAAUCCAAAGGGCAAGGGCACGGUUGGAAUUUGUGGAAGGCCAAAUUGAAGAUGACAAAAGGCAGGCCAAUCUGGAUAGGGCGAAGUUGCAGCGCAUGAAGCGUAGACACAAACGACUUCGGAGUGUAGCUCUUCAAAAAUACAAGAACUCAUCUAAUGCAGUGGAGUCAAAGAAGCGUGUGAUGCAAGCUGGAUUCGACUACUUCCGAUCCUAUGCAAAACUCGUCGUACCCGGGUUUGAUUGGUCAUCUAUUACCGUUUCCGACGUCACCAAAUAUACUCAGCAAGGGAAGUAACCAUUUUGGUUCUCGUGUUUGAGCAGAGGCAAAUCAGUGGAAUUGAAAUGUUCGUUACACUCUGCUUCAAAGCUAUUUUGAUGCUAACUACUAUGGAAGAUUUAAACCUUAAUAUUUUGAUGUCUUUAAUUACGAAAACAGAAGAUGCAAAGAGCCCAUCUACUUAAGUCAUAUGUUGCUGCCAUGUCCAUUUGUUUUUGAUCACGUUUCAGAUUUGGACAUGGUUGCAACAUAUGCAAUGUUGCCUUUAUUUAUUAUAUGUUAGGACAAGGUUUAUGGAAAAGCUUUUGUGAGUGCGUUUGUGACAAGGUUAUGGAAUUAUUAUGUACACUUUAUAUAUUAUUUUUUGUACUGGUUCAUUUCCUACUAUUUCUUGCUUUCUUUAUAUUUUAUGUUUGUGGAAUCCCUCUCAAAGUUAACAUAUACUGUGAAAAAAAUAUUAUGCAACUGAUUAUAUAAUCACUCAUAUAGACUAGGACAAAUAUUCACUAAGGGUUUUAAAAUUGCUUCACUUGUGUGAGGUUAUUGAGAAAAAGUAUGGCAUUAUUUAUAUGAUUGACAUGAUUGAAAAGAUAUUACUGAUUCCCAAUAAGGCGUCAUAUGGACAACUUAUUGAAUACCUGUAACGUGUUAAUAACUCUAGGUGCAGUUGCAUGUGGACAACUUAUUGAAUACCUCUGACGUGUUGAAAACUGUAGGUGCAGUUGCAUGUGGACAACUUAUUGAAUACGAACUGACGUCUUGAAAGCUAUAGGCGUAGUUGCAAUGAUGGCUUCAAAGCAUGUGCAAUUAUUAUUUAUGUACAUUAUUAUAACAAAACAUAUUAUUGUAUAUAGUGAAACUAAAUAUUGUAUUAUUACAAAUUAUAUAUCGAAUAUUAUCCGAAAUAUACGUGUUAACGUGAAUUUGGGUUAAGAGGAAAGUGAGUUAUGUACAAAUAAUUUUCAUUUUCUCAUUUUCCCAGCAUUUUUUGGAUUUUCGUAGAAUUUAUUACCUAUGUCCACAGAUUGUUGCACUAAAAAAGCCAAAAUAAUUGCAAGACGACACCUGGCGCGAUCUCAGCCCGUCACUGAUGACUACUUGCACAAGUGUACGUCAGUCAACAUGGCCACACCCUCCCAUUUUACCCUAAAUUAUUAAUUUAUUACUUUUCCUUACAAAAAUCAGAAAUAAUUACACAAAAAAAAAAUAAAUUAUCCGAAAAUUGCUACGAACUCAUUGACACUCCAUCUCCGUUGCUGAAUUCUCCGAUUCAUUGUUACGCAUUUUUAAAAUUAAUUCCGAACAUUAACGGGGGAUGCUUGUUGAAGUAGGUUAUUCAAGUUGAAGUUAACAAACAUCAAUACUUAUGGUUAAGAGGAAAGUGAGUUAUGUAACACAAUUUGGAUUUUUUCAUUGCGAGACGAAUGAUUUAUAGGUUCUCCUAGUUUUAUGACGUCACAAGUAGGCUGGAGUAAUUUUGGGGGCAUUUUUAGGAUUUUCCUACUAUUUAUUACCUAGUUUCAAAGAUUUUUGAACAAAACAAUCCAAAAUUUAUAAGAAGAUGACACCUGGCGCGAUCUCAGCCCGUCACUGAUGACUACUUGCACAAGUGUACGUCAGUCAACAUGGCCACACCCUCCCAUUUUACCCUAAAUUAUUAUUUUAUUACUUUUCCUUACAAAAAUCAUAACUAAUUACACACAAAAUAAAAAAAUUAUCCGAAAAUUGCUACGAACUCAUUGACACACCAUCUCCGUUGCUGAAUUCUCCGAUUCAUUGUUACGCAUUUUUAAAAUUAAUUCCGAACAUUAACGGGAGAUGCUUGUUGAAGUAGGUUAUUCAAGUUGAAGUUAACAAACAUCAAUACUUAGGGUUAAGAGGAAAGUGAGUUAUGUAACACAAUUUGGAUUAUUUCAUUGCGAGACGGAUGAUUUAUAGGUUCUCCUCGUUUUAUGACGUCACAAGGAGGCCCGGGUCAUUUUCCCAACCUAUAAUAGGAAUUUCCUACUAUUUUUUACCUAAUUUCAAGGAUUUUUCCACUAAAAUAGCCAACCCUAAUUGCAAGAAGACACCUGCCGCGAUCUCGGGCCGUCACCUUUCACCACUUCCACAAGUGUACGUCAGUCAACAUGGCCACAUCCUCCCAUUUUACCCUAAAUUAUUAUUUUAUUACUUUUUUUGUUGGAAAAUUCACAACUAAAUACACAAAAAUUAUAAAAAAGAUCCUAACAUUUCAACGAACUUAUUGAGAUUUCAUCUUCCUACUUAAAUCCCUGUUUCAUGGUUAUGCUACAUUAGUAUUUUAUUAUUAUUAAUCCACAAUUAUUAUAAUUAUUAUGAUAUUACUUUUUAGGCUGUCCAUUUGUUAAUUAUAUUUAGUCCAACUUGUUUAAAACAAUUUUAUUUUCCGUGCGAAUAGCCCAUUUGUAGUGCUCAUCGGUUUCUCUGUUCUUCAAUUUGUUAAAUUUUUUAUUUUUUAGGUUGAAGGGAUGUUUUCAAACAUAAUAUGGAAAUAUACAAGUCAUCCAUUGUACUCCUUCCACACAAACAAAUUAUUCAACGUCAUUCACUGUUCAAAUUUUGCUUAAGAAACGUGUAACCAAAUCCUGUCGGAUAUGCUAAGUGGGAAAAUGUCAUUCCCAAGCAUUGGCGAAAAGACACCUAUUUACUCCAUGCAUGACUUUUGGUUUACCACAUAUGAAUAUUGGGGUGGGUGAGCAAAAUAUCUGUGUCAGUAAAAUGUCAUUCGUAGCCGUCUAUGAUGUAAGUAAUAAUUCCGCUAUAUAAUAAAUAUUAUACAUUUAUAUAUAAAACGGUUUAUGACAAAAUACCAACAUUUAAACAACAUUCGUACAACGUAGCCAGCCAACCUAUAAGUAAAGAGAAGCAAGUCCACAAUGCAUCAAAACCGUCAAUUCGUACUACAACUAAUGCAAAAAUACGUGAUUCCCUCGCACAACAUACUCACGCAUCAGUUUGCACCAAAAAAUACUCUCACGGUGCCAUUUGCAUCGAUUGCAACAAGUCCACAACGCAGGAUUUAGCUUGUCUUCACUAGGCCAGCCUGGAAUAACAAAAUACCAUUCAUUGUUGUUACAAGCGCUGCAGCGAUUGAACUGAAUCUUCCCAUAGUCAAACAUAUCUACGAUAUGUCUUGCAACUCUUGAUGUGGUUAAUCUUCGUGUCAAAGCAUCCCUGGUUCCUUUCAUAUCAAUGUUGUUACGUUGAUUCAAAGAACACAAGAAUUGUAAUGCAUCCUCUUUUGACUGACCAAUUCCGGACAUACCAAGUAGUCCAACUACAUAUGCCGCUUCCAUAUGGCCUGCCGUGGCUGCAAUGCGCAUCCCAUACAACGCUUCCACCUUACCGGCCGUGAAAAAAAUACCGAAUGCUUCUCUAAAUAUCGACUCAGGGUUAUCGCAAGCCCUGCAUUGUUGCAAGAAAUGCUGGACCGCAGGUCUGGCACGGUACCAGCUAGGAUGGUCUGGGUACUUUGCCAUUGAAAUGGUGUUCCACACUUGUGGACUGUUUGCCAAAGUUUGGAACAAUCGGCACACAGAUGCCAUACGGAAGAGAUCUUCCGAUGAUUCGGUUGCCACGUAUAACAUCACUUGAAACCAAGCGGACUCCGGGAUGAAGGCUUGGGGCAUAUCGAAAUGGAGAUGCUUCCUUCUCUUUCCUCCGACUAUAGUGAAGUGUUUCGAAUUCAUUGAAAAGUUUUUGGAAUGGAACGAUUUGAGGAGUGGCAGAGGGGAUAAAUGAGAAUAUUUGGGGUACACGUUUUGUUUUAGCCUCUGUUUAUAGUGUUUUGAAAAGGUGUUUGCAGUUGGGGUUUUUCCAAGUUGACCCUUUUUCAAGAAACUGAACCGAAGUGAAUUAAAACUGAACACAAAAGAAGGGAAAACGUCAUAACGGUGCAUACAGAGUCAGACAGUCAAAAAGUUCAUUAAAUGGCUAUCUGCAUAGCCAUUUGUGGGAUUAUCCCAGUAUCAAAUUCAUUGAUACAAAUGUGAUGGAUUACUGAGUAGUGACAGAAGGUCCCAUCAUAUACUUUUUCAUUUUCCCACACCCAACUACCCCUACUAAUGUUAUUGAAAUGGAACCAAUAAUGACGGAUUCUUAUCCAACUAGUUGCCUUAAUGAAAUAUAUAUAAAAUAAUAAAUUUGAAGCAGUGUCCCCUCAUUUUUCCGAAAAUAUAUUUGGUAGUGAAGUAGUUUAUAUUGCUUUUCGGGCUAAAAGAUGCCGCAAUGCCGACGGUACAGGUGUCGACAUCGUGACCAACCCACCAAAUGAUCCCAAGAAAAAGAAAUAUAACUCGAUUUGGGCAGAGAUGAGAGAGAGCUGAGUGACAAGUUUAGGGUUAUGAGUGAAGGGGUAUGAAUGACAACUAUGAGUGAGAAGGUAUGAGUCCGAAGAGGUUUCAGUGAGAAGAUCUGAGUGAGAAGAGGUACAACUGAGAAGAUUCAACAUGUCUUCGUCUUCAUCUCCCGCUCAAACAAAGAGGUGUCAGUAUUGUGGAGCUACAAUGGUGCUUCGGGUUUCAAAAUCUGACAAAAAUCGAGGGAAGCCAUUCUGGAAGUGUCUAACCUCCUAUGUAAGUUUUAAUUUGAAUAAUAUGUAUGUGGGUCAAAAUAAACCCAUGUCUAACUCUGACAGAAUUAUAUUCCAUAUAUGAUGCCUGCAAUUAGGGAGCCACCAGUUGCAAUGGAUUCGAAUGGGUUGAUGUAAACUCCGCUGAAGCAGAACAUCAAGAUGACACGUAUGAUGCUAGAGUGCUGAACAUGCUGAAGUCCAUUAAGGACUUGGUAUUAGUUUUAUUAGUUGUAUCAAUUGUCAUUUUAUUUGUUCUUUUAAGGAUCAUUUAACUGCACGGUUUCAAAGAUUGUGAAAGUUCUCCCGCACAAGACAUGUUGCACGCACCACCAAUGAGACCCUAAACCCAUUUUGUAAUAUUUGUUAACUGCAUGUAUUUCGCCUGUUAUAGAACCGAUAUUGAAUGUUUAUUGAAGGUUAUUGAUAGUUUGCUGCAUGUAUAUGGAAUAUCCUUGGCCCAAUAUUGGAUGUUUAUUGGGGCCACAAGUAUCACUGAAGUAAGAAUGAAUGGGGGAAACGGACGUUAUUCUUUCUUUUAGUAGGAAGAACAACUGUUAAGUUUAAUAUCCUAUUCAAUACGACUUCCUUAUGGUUGGUGUACUUGGGGAGUGAAGUAUAUUGCAUCAUUAUUGUGGGGUCUAUUGUGUGUGUUAAGGGAGUAUUGUGUGUAUAUUGCAUGUGUAUUGUGUGUAUAUUGCAUAUCUACUGUCUGUAUAUUGCAUGUCUACUGUGUGUAUGUCUGUAUAUGGCAGGCCAAUUUUGUGUAUAUUGUUUGGCUGUUGUGUCUGUAUUGCUUGGCCAAACGCAAGUGAAUUGUUGUUCAUUUUUUGUAUAUUGUAAUUGUUUCUACUUUUAUGCUACUGAGCUGCCGAAAACCUUUCGCAUGUUUAGACACCUAUUAUGAUGCAACUCAUUGCGAAUAAUGGUGGCUUGCAUCAACAAUGACAUCACUUUGCAAUGGUGUAAUACACUUAAAAAGCCAUCUUCAAAUCCCAAUUAACAUAUGCAGUCUUAAAAUUCCAAUUCAAUGCAGUUUGGUUAACAAACAUGUAAAUGUCAUGAAGGAGUUAGCGGUAGAAUUCGAAAAGGACCCGUACGUCUCUAUUGUGUAUUUACAUUAGUUUGAGAAUGGACAUUCCCAAAACCUUCUCAUGUACCAUUUGUCAUCUUCAACCAAUAUCAUGGGAAGUAAGCAUCUCCCCUUGUUAUCUCCGCAGCCAAUUUCAACCGAAAAAAAAGGCAUGUUGUGCGAGGUGCAAGUAGCUAAUGAAAGCUGAGCGCUGAUAAGCUCAAUGUACUUUAACACAAACAUGCCACAAUCGCCUCUGAAGCAAAACAAGAACUCGAUCAACUCAACUAAUGACAUUCUAACGUAAUUCACAAUUCAAAGUAAUAAAAUUAAAUUGCAAGUUGUGCUUACUCAUUACACUGUUGUGGAACAUCCACACGCUCUAUUGGCCAUGGACACCACCAAUCUCGCCUGCAAUUGUUUGCAUAAACACCUGCUUCAUAAAAGUCGAUGGUGUUGAGAAGAUUUGGAAGCGUAAUUGAUAGCGGGGCGAGUUCUUCCUUUACGAUGUCAUCUGGAAUUAGUGAAACCUUUGAAUCGUACACUUUUAUUUCACACAAUACCAGAUCAAUCAUUACAGCCACCCAAUGCUUGUACUUCGUCAACAUAACUGGGGUAUACACCGUAUAGACGUUCUGCCAUUCCAUCCCACACGGAGGAACCUUCCCAUUUACAACGUUUAGUAAACUAUUUCUGAUUUUCCACCGAACCUGCUGUUUUUUUCGUUUAUUAUCCGUAAAGCAAGUUCGAAUGUGAUUCUGUGAAAUAUAAAACAAUCAAUGGUUAGACACCUCCACUAUUGUCUGUAUGGAAAAUGUGUAAUUAUUAACGGCACUUGGUCAAGGCCGAUGACAUACCAUAAAAAAAACAUCUGUCGUUGUCCAGUCCGCUAUUUCUACUUCCUCAAACUGUUGUUGUCGCUUCCGGAUGAGAUACAACCCCAAAUCAAUGUGCUGCAACAUGUUGUUCUUGUCAAUCUCAUAAUCUAUGUACAUUAAAACAAAUGCAUAAUCAAUUACACUUACAUCUCCUUUCAGCCAACCAUCAACUUUCACGAGGGAAGCGAAGAAUUCAAUCUCAGCUUCCACGUUGCCAAAUUGCAUCACCAAACUAUGAAUAUAAAACAGUUUUAGAACACUGUAUAUUACGAUAAAUAUACAGUCAUGCUUCUAUCUUAUAAUUGCAAGGGACUUACUUUGGGUCCUGGCGCCAUUCCCAACAAAGUUUCAGCAAAUUCACCAGAUCAUCAUGCGGAAUCGCCUUCAUUGGGUCUAACAUCUUCAGUCCGGUUGUCUGUGCCCCAGUUUGUGGAACCAAUUCAAUGCAUUCAAUGAUCUCCCACAUACGAAUGAUCCUCUUCCUUUUCCGUAAUUGGACCCCUUGUGCCACAGCUUUACCUUGAUCAUUCAACCACACGUUCAACUGAGAUAACACAGCUGUAGGUUGAUCCAGAUCAAUGUCCCCGACAGUAAACUCAAGCAGUGUCCCCUCCGUGCUCUCGCCAAUGUCAUCCCCAAGCAACAUAACAUCAUUAUCUUCUUUCUCACAUUGGUUUCUUUGCACUUCCUUUUCCUCACUUCUUUGUGUUUUCACUUCCUUGCCAUCCCUUUUUUUCCUUUGCAGUUUCUCUCCCUUACUGCUUUUUCUUUUCACUUCCUCUCCCUCACUGCUCUGUCUUUGGCCUUCCUCUCCUUUGCUACUUUUUACUUGCACUUGCUCUCCUUCACUUCUUUUCCUUUGCCCUUCCUCUACCUCACUUGGUAUUCGUUGCACUUCACCGCCUUCAAUCCCCUCCUCUUCCUUUUCCUCUCCCUCAUUUCUAUUGCUUGGCCCUUCACCCCCUUCAAUCCCCUCCUCUUCCUUUUCCUCUCCCUCAUUUCUAUUACUUGGCCCUUCACCCCCUUCACCCCCUUCAAUCCCCUCCUCUUCCUUUUCAUCUCCCUCAUUUCUAUUACUUGGCCCUUCACCCCCUUCAAUCCCUUCAUCUUCCUUUUCCUCUCCCUUAUUUCUGUUACUUGGCCCUUCAUCCCAUUGAAUGUCAUCCAAUUCCCGAUAUCCCCUAAAUAGAUGUGAGACGACACAACGCUUCGUCCUCUGUUUCAGUAAAGCUAGGUCCCUCCUUACUUCCUGCUCAAACUGAGGACCUAAACAUUGGUCCAACAGUUUUUCCAUCCGUAUGACCUUUAAGUGAAGCACGUCUUUUUCCCGCUUUACUUGAAACAACUCGGACCUCAACAAGCUUACCACCUUGUUCAACUGAUCAAGAUCACCACAUGAAGAAAGAAUUGACUCUGCCGAGACAACAGCCCUUCGUCCUCUGUUUCAGUAAAGCUAGGUCCCUCCUUACUUCCUGCUCAAACUGAGGACCUAAACAUUGGUCCAACAGUUUUUCCAUCCGUAUGACCUUUAAGUGAAGCACGUCUUUUUCCCGCUUUACUUGAAACAACUCAGACCUCAACAAGCUUACCACCUUGUUCAACUGAUCAAGAUCACCACAUGAAGAAGGAAUUGACUCUGCCGAGACAACAGCAGGGCGAUCCUGUGGCCAACUCCAAUAUGGCUGUCUCAUUUCCUCUUCACUCGGACAUUGCGCCCGCAACUGAACUGACUGUUUCAGAAUACAAACCACAGUCAUAUUAAAUCAUUCAACUUCAAAAUUUCAUUCAAUCUUAUCAAUAGUUCCAAGGGCUGCAAAACAAACCUGUUUGCUCUGGAAAAAAUAAUUGUUCAACUUUCUCAUCUCUGGAACAGACGUAGUAGUUCUCCAUCGCAAAAUACGCGGGACAGCGGUCGGAUCAACAACCUUGCAGUAAUUCAGGUCCACCAUUCUAGGAAUUAAUUCAUAUAUCCAAAUCUACACAAUUCACAGGACAAAAGUCAUUAUUUAUGUUUUAAAUAAAAACAAAACAUAACUCACAUGAACAUUAUUACCAUGUACCUGGAAAGCAUACGUGAAACCUUUAAAACUCCAGCCACUCCUUUGCGCUUCACCAUGCUUAUCCUUCCUGCCCUUCUCAUUUAUCCGGCUUGUUCCCGUUACCUUACUUUUCCCCUUCCCUCUUCCCUCUUCAUUUUGCAAGCUUUUCACAUACUUUGUUGGUGCAGAAAAUAGACUGUCUUGGGUUUUGUCAAAGGACACCGAACCCCACGGAUACCUGUUGAACGCAUCCAAGUCCUCUACAAGGGUCAGGUAAUUUAGAUUGAUGUUCAAAUGUUUGUCCCUUCCCAAAACCACUAACUCAGCAAAGUAAACAAGAGCUAGCUUGUAGAUGUCAACUUCCUCUGUGCACCUCAUAAAUGCUUCUUCUAAAGCAUUGCAUGUAAUUCCUUCGUCUAUAAAAUAUCUUUUCUGAAGUCUGCUUACAUCACUCCCUCCACUGGAAACUUCAGGCACUUCCCCAAAACGAAGCCCUGUGAUCAAACAGAAAUCCUGACGACUGAACUGAGCAACGUCACACCCUAAUAAGAAACUCAGUCCAUCCAAGUCUUUCACACCCUGCCCCGCUACUCUACGCAACACAGCCCCAUGCACAAUCUGCCCGCUAAACUGAAUCUUAUAUAUAUUCAGAAGAUGGCCAAAGCAUGAUGUCUUGAAUUGUUCUAAUUGUUCCGCACUCAACUUCACUCGAAUUGCAGCUAGAGAUGAAUUUGCAUGUGAGCAGUUGUUCACCCGUGACGAAUAUGCCUCUGCCUCUGGCCAUACCAGCUCCACGUUGGAUCCCAUUUCCUCAAAUACAAUGUGAAAUAACAUGAACACAUAUACUACCACGUAUUUGCACAAUCACAACUAGUCAACCAGGCACAUUACAAAUUUUACAAAGUACAUGAGCAUACGGAUUACUGAUCACAGGCUUUAACAUCAUCAAAGCAAUAUGAUAAAAUUUGUGCAAAUACCUGUUAAUGCAAUGAUUAUGUGAAUUACAAACAAUUUCACGUGUUUUAUUUAUGGAUCCAUACUCGUGUGAGUGCAAUGUAGGCAAGUUCUGCACUUCACACACAUGACAAUUAUUGUCAUCUCAUACACAACACAAAAUAAAUAAAUUAGAAAUAUAGUGGAAGGAAGCAAAGCAAAGCAUCUACUCUGCUAUCUGCUUGCUAAGCAAUUGCCACAUCCUUCUUUCUUUCUAGCUUUUUCUUCAGUCACCCACAAUCGUCAUAGAUCAACCUUCAUUUCAAAUGCUUUGCACUUUUAUUCAUGAGUUUAUUAUUAUCUGUUCUCAUUUCUCAUAGGCAAAUUUAGUAACAAAUGAAAUCAUAUUUAUUUCACAAAAUAUAUAAAUUCUAGUGCCAGAGAGGUACUCUUCACUCUGCACUGCUUCAAAUGUGGAAGGUUUUGAGCGCCUCCUCCAAUUUAACACCAUUAUCUUAUUCAUAUCAUUACUAACAUGUUAUUGACAUGUUAUUGAGAUGUUAUUGACAUGUGAUUGACUCUAUUUUCAUUCGUUUUUUAACAUAUACCCAAGCAAAAAUUAACAUGCAAUUGAAGCACAAAUAAGAGAUGCCAAAUCCAACAACAUUGAUGGUACAAAUUGGGGAAAACCAUUACUCUAACCCUAAACUCAAAUUCCUUAAAUUACUCAUCAAUUGCUUUGCACUUCUAUUCGUGAGUUUAUUAUUAUCUGUUCAAAUGUUUGUCAGGCAAAUUUAGUAACAAAGGAAAUCAUAUUUACUUCAUAAUAUAUAUAUAUAUAUAUAUUCUACCGCCUCUUCUUAAUCUGCACUAUGCACUGCUUCAAAUGUGGAAGGUUUUGAGGGCCUCCUCCAAUUCAACACCAUUAUCUUAUUCAUAUCAUUAUUGACAUGUUAUUCACUUCUUAUUGACUUGAUUUUCAUUCUUUUUUUAACAUAUACCUAAGCAAAAAUUAACAUGCAACUGAAGCACAACGAAGAGAUGCCAAAUCCAACAAAAUUUAUGGUACAAAUUGGGGAAAACCAUUAAUCUAACCCUAAACUCAAAUUCCAUAAAUUACUCACCAAAACCUGGUUAUUGCAAGGUGUCUGUGUGGGGUCUUUCUGUUUCUUUGCUCCACAAAUGGAACCUACCACUUCCAACGAAUACAGCUUCUCCCCUUCCCCUUCCACUGCUUCGCCCCUUCACUGAUUUGGAAUCCACACCUUUGCCCCUUCUACUCCAAAUAAAUACUUUUUCGGGGUCUGGAGAACGGAGUGGCGAAUCGUUGCCUUCAACUGUCGUUAGCCGUUGCCUUCAUUGGGUAUCUCAGACCUCUGUGUUUUAGAGAGAUGAGUUCUUUCUGUUCAAACUUCGAACUUGCCUCUUCUUCUUCUUUUUCGGACGUGUUUCCCUCUUCUUCUUCUUUUUGGACGUGCUGGAUAUUCAAUUCGGGUUUGGGUUCCUCACCUACCCAAUUGUGAAACUUUAUCUCAAUUCUCCCCAGCCCUUGGAUUAAUCUGAUGGCUAUAAAGUGAACCCCUUAUAACUUACCCCUUAUAACUUUCCACUCAUUAUAGUCUUGGCCCCAAUUUAAGCGCGAGACUAUAAUGCGGAGAUUCUAUGCGGAGGUUAUUUGUGGGGAUUACUUACUAGGCCAUUAGAUUGAUCAAAUGGCUAACAUUAGUAUCCUCUUUAUGCUACAACCGGGUUGGCAUUACCCGUUGAGCAAUGCUAUUCACAAUCGAAGUACUCAACUGUCACCUCCUCAGAACCCACAUCAGCAACGACGACCUCACUCUCUCUCUUUCGGCCGCUGUUCUCCACCUCCAUCUCUCACUCUCUGUCACUUAUUUCAACCGCCGUUCUUCCCCCUCCGGUUCAACAAAUUUCUCAAUUUCUUCAGCAUUCCUGAAAUCCAUAUACCUAGAGAUGACGUCCCAGGUACCCAGCUCAACUUUUCGCCUUUACUUUCAUACCCAUAUGUUAUUUGGGUUUUCUUCUGAUUGUUUCAAUUUCAUAUAGUGGUCUAGAAAGUUGCUCAAAAUCCAAAUUCUUGCUACAUCGUUUUAUUUAUCAUGCUUAUUUGCUUGUUCUGAAUAUAUGGUUCUAUUUGUUUGGUUAGGCUGAGUUGAUGAGUGCAUGAAAAAAUGGCCUGUAGGUGUUCGAUGAAUCACCUUAAUGAGGCGCACUAUGGUUUUCUUUGAGAUACAAACCAAUUGGGACAAUUCUCAUGGUAUAUACUUAAAGGUGAACUUCUAGGAGGACCCAAUGAACCCAUCUAAAUGGAAGGAAGCACAUGUGAGUUUUAUUAUAAUUUGUUUACGAAGAUGUCUUUACAGUGCAUAAUGGUUUUGUUAGAUCGCCAUUGACAUUAGUUUAAUUACCUUUUAACAAUGCUUGAGAAAUGUCCCUGUUUUUGCAUGAAGACUUACACAGGUGCCAUAUUAUGUCAGUUUAUAGUGAAUGGAUACUUGGUUGUGUCAUUUGAUAUUUGGAAUUCUAUUAGAUUUAUUUUCUUAUUUUUCAACUUUUGUGUCAUGCCUUGAGUUUCUUUCAUUUCGACAUCGCCAUUUAACUUGUGCUGUGAACAAGUUAAUACUACACUGUUUUGUGUCAUUGUGAAAUUGAGAAAUAAAGUUCAUGUUAUUAUUUUGCAGGAAUUCUAAGGGCCAUGAUAUGGUAAAAAAGUAUGUGAACAAACAAAAGAAACAUAGAAAGGGUCUGAUGCUGCUACUUCACAUGGCCAGGUUUUGCUGCUGCUUCGUCUUCCUCAUUUACCUAAAAGAAAGGGUCUAUAUCUCUAGCAUUUGCAUCCAAAUGUCCCUUGCCCUGCCCUGCCCUGCCUUGCCCUGCCCUACCCUGCCCUGCAGUACUAGCUAGCACAACAGCCCCUGUUGUACGUGGUCCCCUGAUUUGGUUUCUUUGAGCCAUGUGAUGCUUUCAGCUUCCUAGAUCCAACUCCAAUGACUAUUUAUUAAGUCAUAAUUUACUGCCUAUAAUUAGGACCUGCGGUUUGAAGUUUUUAAUUUGGAACAAUUCAUGUACUGUUAAAACAUAAAUGGUGCAAAGCCAAUGCCAAGAAUAGAAAAAAUAAGCAAUAUGAUCAUACAGGGGUUAACGCCCAUGUAGAUAUGCACUGAUCAAGCUUGAGCAGUAAGGCUUUUCGUCUUGUGCUUGGUAGGUUUGCUUUUCCUCGUCCAUUAGAUGUUUUCCAAUUUUGAGGUGAUAUGAUACUCUUCCUCUUGGCAUUAUUCUCAUGGCUAUGAAAUUUCAGUUUGCAAUGAAUGACUAUAUCAAUCUAAAAGAUUAUUUUUGUGUAGAAAUUGAAUGAAAGUAAAUUGUACUGCAUACCUCUGUGGUGUCUAUGUUCUGGAGUUAAUGUUGUUGAUCAAUGAUAGCCUCUUUCAUAAUUCUUUCAUUGAUUAAUAUUGUUGUUCUCUCAUUGUUCCAGAGUUAACUUGAUUGAGUUUUGAUGCACUGCGUGAAAUUUUGGAUACCAUGUGAGUUAUAAGUUACGAAUGAAGCACAGACAAAAAACAAUGAACUCUAUUUUUAUAAGAAACUUAGUCUGCUUUGAGUCUUUUCCUGAUACGUAAGUAGGAGAUUUUAAAUUGGGCUUGUUUGUGCUUUUGCGCAUCUGCAUAUAUAGCAAUAAAAGGAAAGUGAUGGUUCCAAUAGAGCAUAUCAAAGAUCUACCUCAUUAGUACCAAAUUGUCUUUUGUAUUACUCUGUAUAUACAUAUUUAUAUAUGUACAUAUUGAUAUUGCUUUAUUUUGUUUCUGUUGUAGAGGAAGAUGAUGGAUGAAUUUGGGAAGGUGAAGCAACAAUUGGUAGAGUACGUGAUCAUGUCACGGCCUAUAUCCCACAAGCUUGGUCUCUAGCGAUUUGAAACCCUAACUCUUAAGUCUUGAGAUAAUUGACAUUUUUUUUUCAUAACAGUUGGAGCAAGAUUAUUGUUGGCUUCUAGAAGAUUGUUGUCAUUGAGAACCUUCAUCAAUUUGGGGUGGGACAACAUUCCAUUCUGUUGCAAGAAGUGUACUAUAGUUAUAAGGAAAAAAAAACAUGUAAUUAAGGAACUAUUUGUGUGUCAGACAGACCAUGUAAUUAUUUAGUCCUCAUGGAAUGAAAUUGAGUUUAAUUUACUUGAGAAAUUUCAGUCUUGAAUAUGUUGUUUGUAUAUAUUUGCAAGUGUAUGCAAUGGAAAAAUACUUUUAUUUAUAUUAUUAAUUGAAGAGAGCACAUUAUAUACAUUAUGUGUAUAUAUAGCUCAUUCUUCUUGCCUUUGUAGGAUGGCAAUGGGUCAAAUCGGGGGUGGGUAUGCCAUUCCCAUCCCCAUCCCAGUGAAGCUUUUUUCCCACAUCCCCACAUUCAUACCCGCAAUACAGACUUGAAAAAAAAAAAAAAAGGAUAUAUGAGGUCAAUACAGUAGCAAUACACAAGCAAUAAAGGGCUAUACAAUGGCAAUACACAAACUCCAUACCCCCCUAUAAAUUUAUUCCAACAGACUUGAAAAAAAAUAUAUAUAUAUAUAUAUGGGGGCAAUACAAUAGCAGUACACAAGCAAUAAAAGGCUAUACAAUGGUAAUACAGUAGCAAUACACAAGCAAUAAAAUGCUAUACAAUGGCAAUACACAAACUUCAUACUCCCCCUAUAAAUUUAUUCCAAGACUUUAAAAAAAGAUAUACGGGGGCAAUACACAGGCAAUAAUAGGCUAUACGAUGGCAAUACAGUAGCAAUACACAAGCAAUAAAAGGCUAUACAAUGGCAAUACACAAACUUCAUACUCCCCCUAUAAAUUUAUUCCAACAUACUUUUAAAAAAAGAUAUACGGGGCCAAUACACAAGCAAUAAAUAGCUAUACAUGUGCAAUACAUAUGCAAUACAUAUCAGUCAUGGCAUUUGCCAAUUAAAUCAUUGAUUUGGUUACAUUUGUAUUUUUUUCUUCUUUGCAAGGGGAAUGAUAAAACCAUGGAAACUAGAGAUUGACAAAUUUCCUUCUAACUUGACUUUCAUAAAUUGAUGAACUAACAGUGUUAUCUCAUUACAUCUUAAGAUAUACAUAAGAAAGUGGCAAAAAACAAAAAAAUUUCAUCUCCUCUUGGUCUAGAAUUUUAACACAAUUCAUAUGUAUAAGAAACAUUCCAAGACAUGUCCUCUUAGACCCGAAUUUAAGCUCAAAGUUAGCAAUUUCCUCCCCAAAUCAUUGAUUUGGUUACAUUUGUAUUACUUGUUCAGAAACGGAGUGCAAAGUUAGGCGAGUGAGAGACUACUGGAGGCUCUUUCAACAUAUCAUGUGUCUCUUUUUCUUCUUUUCUCUCUACUAUGAAGAUCUUGCAAAUAAUUUUUGUGACACAAAGACAGAAUAAGAGAGCUCUUAGGUUAUAGUUGUUGUAAUAGGUAAUGAUGAACCAUUUUCUGCAACAUUAAUGACAGGGGUUUAACAAAACAGAAUAUUUUUUGAAUAAAAGGGUUUGCAAUAGGGCUGAAAAAUCACAUACCAGUGAAAGAAUUGAGUUGUGGGUUUCAACCCUUGUUCCUUCUUCUUCAGCAACGUCCUCCACAUCUGAGUGUCUUGGAGCAGCAAAUUUGGCUUUUGGAAGUUGGAAAGGGGCAGCUCUUGUUUGUCUCCAGAGGAAGUUUCAGACGUAGGACUUUGGACCUCUGUUUCAAAGAAAAUAGGAGAUAUGAGAGAGAAGUUCCGGGUUGCUCAUUUUGUGAUGGGUAAUUUUAACCCGAUUGUAAAAAAAACUUCCUACUUAAAUCUGAACCGUUCAUUUAAUAUUGAUGGUUGUUAUCAUUCCGCACAUAACCUCCUCAUAAUAGCCUCUGCAUUCUAGCAGCUCCCCCAAUUUAAUGCCCCCAAUUCAGACCCUAAUCUCCAUCGCAUUGGCAAUAGAGGAGGUGAAGACCAUAGGCCGAGAGCUUGCGAUGGGCUCUCAAGGCGGCUUCGCCAAUUCAAGGAGUUCCUGGAUGUCGUCAAGUCCAUCGGUGAAGCUUGAUCCAAGGCCGAAGAAGAGCGCAUCUUCCUCCUCGAGAUCGAAACCCUAAAACGAUGUCUCCCCUAGCCCGAAAUCCCCAAGUACAAGAUGAAGGAGUACAUCAUCCGCCUCAUCUACGUCGCAAUGCUCGGCCACGACGGCUCCUUCGCCUACAUUCACUCCAUCAAGAUGACCCCUGACGACAAUCUCUUGCUCAAACGCACCAGUUACCUCGCUGUUUCGCUCUUCCUCAGUGACGAUCACGAUUUGAUCAUCUUGAUCGUCAACAUCAUCCAGAAGGAUCUUAAGUCGGACAAUUAUCUUGUCGUUUGCGCUUCUCGCUCAUCAACGACGAGACUGUGCCUACCGUUUUUCCCAGAUCGUGGAUCUGCUUGCCCAUCCCAAGGAGGCUGUGAGGAAGAAGAUCACCAUGGCACUUCACCGCUUUUAUCAGAAUAGUAGUCUUCGGUUUCGCAUCUGGUCUCGAAUUCCCAGAAGCGGCUUUGUGAUAACGAUCGGGGAGUUAUGGGUGCUACGGUCUGCCCCUUGUUUGAUCCCAUUACCAUCGAUGAGAAUUCUUAUAAGGAUUUGGUGGUCAGCUUUGUCAGCAUUCUUAAACUGGUCGCCGAGGUUAGGUUGCCCAUGACCUACGAUUAGCAUCAGUUGUUGGGGCCAUCUAUUCAGGUUUUACUUACUUUCAAUGAAGUUGAGCUUAUUCAUGUGGGAAGUUUUGGGCAUGAUAGAUGAAUUGAAAUAAUGAGCCUUGUUUGUUGUUUGUUGUAAUGUAAUGUACUAAUGGAAUUAGUUUGAUAAAGCAGAUUAGAUUGUUGAAGAUCUUGGCAUUGUUGGGAAGUGGUGAUAAGCAAUCGAGUGAGAAGAUGUAUAUGGUAGUCAUCGAUAUUUUUAGAAAGUGCGAUUCUACUAGUAAUAUGGGAAAUAUUGUACUUUAUGGGUGUAUUUGUUGCGUUUCUGCCAUAUAUCCAAAUCCUAAGUUGUUAGAACAGGCUGCUCAAGUCAUCUCAAGAUUUUUGAAGCUUUGAAGUUUUUAUAUUUUUCAGUGUAAUUUCCUGCAAAUUAUAGUCUGCAUGUAGAUUAUUUGGAGAGUUAAACACCAAUUCCUUGUUGUAUAUUUGGUGGACAAAGUGACAGUCAUAAUUUGAAAUACAUGGGUGUUGAUGCUCUUUUUGGGAGGUCAACUUAGAGAGAAGUGGAUUGUCUUCAGCAGUGGAGAAGGUGGGGAUAUUCAGUAAGAGAAGAGCCUGGAGAAGACAAAGUAGGAUAAGCAAUCGUUAAGCUUCGGACAUCGGUGUGGUGUUGGCCAAAGGCUCUCCGAUGCUUAAGUUAGCUAAGAGUAGUAACUUUGACAGAGUAACAGUAAAAGUGAGAAAGUAGUUAUCUUUUUUACUUGGGUACUGCUCCCUAUUUAUAGGGGAGUGAAAAUAGGAGGUUUGCACAAAGUUUCGAUGUGGGACUUUGUGCAAGUUGCUGUGGUGGUGACACGUGUCCUAGGGAUUAGGUUCAGCAAUUGGGACCUUCGACAGUCAGGAGCUUUAGCAGGUGCUUGGCACCUCGGAAGAAUGUAUUCCUUCAACGGGGAAGAAGGCGUGUUUGCCUUUGGUGCUAGUCGCUUUGAGGCUGGAUAUGCUCGGUUGAUUAUGGUGUAAAUAGUAGUCCCCCAAGUUCGCGGUCAAGAAGUAACUUCUAGGUUGGGAACUUGUUAGAUUUUUGUGUAAUCAUGACCAAGCAUUCCAGAUUCAAUGGGAGUCGUAGGGCAUUCCAUAGUCCCCCAAGUUGGCAAGCUAGAAGUUGCGUCAAUACUUGGGAGGUAUAGUAGAAGCUGUGUGAGCCUCUAGAACUAUUGGUAGGUGGGUACCUGGGCACUCAGCAAGGAACGGGUUAAGGGCUGGGCCUUUUGGGUAUUCGGUGCUGGGCCUUUGAUUAGAGCCUAGCUCGUGGCACGGAGGGGUGCCGUGGUGGGCUCAUUGAAUUGAAGCUGGGUUUCAUCAGGAUCCGUUCGGCAAGGGUCAAUGUUGCUUUGUGAAGAAGGCUGUGCAAAGUCAUUGUUGUUCCGGUAAGGGGAGCCGGGCUUGUCCUUGUGGAGUCUAAGCUUCGGCAAGGGGAGCCAGGCUUGUCUGUGAGGCCCGUUGUACAUUCCACAUGGCCCUUGCCGUUCGGCACGGACCCUUUCCUUUUUUCUUUUUAUCUUUUUUUGUUUUUUAUUUUUUGGGAACCUUGUGGUUCUUCUUGAACAGCUUGGGUCCUGGCUUGUGUCGGCAUGGUCCUUACUGUUCGGCAAGGGACCAAUAUGGGCUUGGGCUAGCAAGGAGCAAGGGUUGGGCCCUAGAUGGACUUCGGCAAGGCUUUGUCCAUUUGGACUGGUGUUGGUUGGAAAAGGAGCGAGCACCCCAUAGCCGUUACAUAGCCCUUGCCGUUCGGCAAGGGUGUGUUUUGGGAGAAAAAUUUCGAAAGGCAAUCAGGUGGGCCAUUGGGGCUGGGCCCUUGGGGUGUUUUUAGGCUCUUGGCAAAAACCUAAGGUCAAAAAGGCCGGGCCUUGUGCUUGUGGGCUUCAGCAGGUAUGAGGCGCUAGGGUUAGGAUUUGUGAGGAAAGUAUAAACAACCCCUUGUAGCUCUUGCCGUUCGGCAACAGAGCCAACCUCUUUUUCGAUAGCUGCGGUAGGGCUGGCGUGCUGGGAGAUCUCUUUCUAUAGCUUAGUUGCCGAUUGGUACCAUUCAAAGAUUCUCUCUCUGAGUCCUCAUAUAUCCUUUCGAUACCGUGGUGGGAAGGAGACCCCUAGAUUGAGCACCAGUCUACCGUUCGGCAACCCAGUCUCUUCGGGGAGAAGGGAUCAAGGACUUGCGCAGCAAGAUCUACUAGCACUCCCGCAGCUAUGUCACAGUAGUCCCUGCCGAACGCCAGGGUUGGCUUAAGUUUUGUUGAAGGUGUCGUGAGCCAAAGGUGUGAACUAUUCGUGUGGCUACGAUUUAGUCUUUGUAGGUGGGCCUUCGGCAAGAAGACUUGUGGAGGCGCCUCUUAAACAUUUUGCAUAGCCCUUGCCGUUCAGCAAGGGCAACUGGGGGUUAUGCGCGUGUUUUUGUUUGAGAUUUUGGGCCGGGCAGCACAGCAGUGGUCUAGGCUCGAGGACUUGGCGAGUGAUUACCUUCGGCAGGUGCUUGGAAAGAGAAGACCAAAGGGGUUGGCUUCUAAGGAUUCGAAGUGAGCUGGGAUAAUGAAGUGAGCUUUUUUGCAAGGACCCAUUUUCUUCUUGCUCAACCCUUGCUAUUCGGCAAAGGUGUCUUGAUCAUAUUUUUGGGUCCUUGAAUUGUUCCUACAUGUAGUUUGGAUUAUUGGUGUAGCGGGUUGCUUCUUUAGCAUGAGCUUAUCCGUAGCUUUGGUAGGUGUCUUUUGCUUUGACUUGGUCAUGAUUUGAGCACGAGAUUGGACUCGGGCAUGGCCCUUGCCAUUCUGCAAGGGUGAAUGUAGCAGAAGCUCUUGACUUGGUCAUGAUUUGAGCACAAGAUUGGACCCGGGCAUGGCUCUUGCCAUUCAGGUCCAGCUCAUUUGGGCUUCAUAAGGAGGCCUUGAGGUUUCAGUAGUAAUUUAGGAGCUGGGUUUCUUCGGUUGGAGUUGGACUAGACGUGAUCUGCCUUUAAGGAGGCUGCAGUGCCAAGGACUCUUUGUGAGACCCGGUAGGCUAAUUGAAAAGGUACCUUUGGUUAGGGCAAGAUUUUGCAUAGGCCUUGCUGACGAUUUUCGCUUGACAGUUGGCAAGGAGGCUGGGCGAGUGAUGCAUUGGUGUAACUUGGAGCUGGGUUCUUGAACGUUCAGCAAGGUUCUAGUAGGUAGUCUCGUGAGCCCCUUAGGCAAAGUGUUGUGGGUCUUCGAUUUCCUCCACCUUCUGGUCUGUGUAUUGGGCUUAACCAAGUGGCCUAAAAAAUUUCCUCCAUAAGCCUUGCCGUUUGACAAGGCCAGCUUGUUCAUUCGUAUGAUGCUGACUUUGUUUUUGUGUGGUGGUUGUUUAAACUUCGGCAGGUCUUAGAGUCGGGUUCAACCUUGCACACGGGCUGGGACAUCAGACCUUUGGGAAGAGCUGGGCUUUGAAGGUGGAUUCAGAAGCCUUUGGUUGUGCCUUUUCAUGUGGGAAGUGUAGCUGGGUCUUUGUUGAGGUGAAAUUUUUUGGAGGCCUCCAUUUGUUUCUGCACGGGCUUUGCCGUUCGGCAAGGUCAUUUCAAGUUCCCCUCGUUUUUUUUUUUGAAUUUCAAAUUUGAAUUUCAAAUUGUGUGUAGGUACAAGGGAUUUGAGAGGGAAGAUAUUCCUGUUGUUUGUGAUUUUCCUGAUGUCUUUCCAGAUAAUCUCCCUGGUUUACCCCCUGAAAGGGAAAUCGAGUUCACUAUUGAACUUCUUCCGGGCACCAACCCUAUUUAUCUAACCCCCUAUAGGAUGGCACCAGCUGAACUUCGGGAGUUGAAGAUUCAAUUACAGGAGUUAGUAGAUCUUGGGUUCAUCAGACCCAGUGUUUCACCGUGGGGUGCACCUGUGUUGUUUGUGAGGAAGAAAGAUGGAACCAUGAGGUUAUGUAUUGAUUACCAGGCAGCUGAAUAAGGUGACGGUACGUAACCGUUAUCCUUUGCCUCGGAUUGAUGAUCUGUUUGAUCAGUUGAAGGGUGCUAAGUAUUUUUCUAAGAUCGAUUUGAGAUCAGGAUACCACCAGUUGAGGAUCAGGGAAGAGGAUAUUCCUAAGACCGCGUUCAGAACACGGUAUGGACAUUAUGAAUUUCUGGUGAUGCCGUUUGGACUGACGAAUGCUCCAGCAGCGUUUAUGGACCUCAUGAACAGAGUGUUCCGACCAUACUUGGAUCACUUUGUGAUUGUAUUCAUAGACGAUAUCUUGGUGUACUCCCAGACUUUGGAAGGGCAUAAGAAGCAUUUGAGGUUGGUAUUGAGAACCUUGAGAAGGAAGCAGCUUUAUGCUAAAUUUAGUAAAUGUCAGUUCUGGCUGGACAGAGUGGUAUUUCUGGGACAUGUAAUUUCAGCUGAAGGGAUUUAUGUGGAUCCACAGAAAGUUGAAGCUAUUGUGAACUGGGUACAACCCACCAGUGUGACAGAAAUACGGAGUUUUCUGGGAUUGGCAGGCUACUAUCGUCGAUUUGUGGAAGGGUUUUCUUCGAUAGCAGCGCCUCUCACACGGUUGACAAGGAAAGAUGUUGCAUAUGAGUGGACGGAAGAAUGUGAACAAAGUUUUAAAGAAUUAAAGAAGCGAUUAACUACUGCACCUGUUUUGGCUCUUCCGGAUAAUGCAGGAAAUUUUGUGAUCUACAGUGAUGCAUCUUUGCGAGGCUUGGGAUGUGUUCUGAUGCAACAUGAUCGGGUGAUUUCUUAUGCCUCGAGCCAACUCAAGAAGCAUGAGCAGAAUUAUCCAGUUCAUGAUCUGGAACUUGCCGCUGUAGUGUUCGCUCUUAAGAUCUGGCGGCAUUAUUUGUAUGGUGAGACGUGUCAGAUUUUCACUGAUCAUAAAAGUCUCAAGUACUUUUUCACUCAAAAGGAGCUUAAUAUGAGACAACGGCGUUGGUUGGAAUUGAUAAAGGAUUAUGACUGCACGAUUGAGUAUCAUCCGGGCCGAGCUAAUGUGGUAGCAGAUGCACUGAGUAGGAAGACUACGGGAAGUUUGGCUCAUCUCAGAACGGCAUAUCUUCCGUUGUUAGUGGAACUACGGAAAGAUGGUGUGGGACUGGAAAUGGCGCAACAGGGAGGAUUACUUGCUAGUUUGCAUGUGAGACCCAUUUUGGUGGAACGGAUAAUUGAAGCCCAGUUGGGAGACCCAACACUUUGUAGAAUAAGGGGAGAAGUAGAAAGUGGUUCACGGAAAGAUUAUGCAGUAAGGGGAGAUGGGGCGUUGGUAACAGGAACUCGCCUCUGUGUACCUAAGAAUGAUUACCUGAAAAGAGAAAUCCUAGAGGAAGCUCACUGUUCCACUUACACUAUGCAUCCAGGAAGCACCAAGAUGUAUCGAACCCUACGGGAGUAUUACUCAUGGCCGCAUAUGAAGGGAGACAUUGCCAAGUAUGUGAGUAGAUGCUUGAUUUGUCAACAAGUGAAAGCGGAGCGACAGAAACCUUCCGGACUUAUGCAACCGCUUCCAAUUCCUGAAUGGAAGUGGGAGCACAUUACCAUGGAUUUCGUUUUCAAGCUUCCACGUACUCCCAAGGGACAUGAUGGAAUUUGGGUGAUAGUGGAUAGACUCACCAAGUCCGCCCAUUUCCUACCUGUUAAGGAAACUUAUUCUUUGACAAAGUUGGCAAAACUUUUUGUGGACGAGAUUGUGAGGUUACAUAGAGCACCUGUGUCCAUUGUAUCGGACAGAGAUACCCGAUUUACUUCUCGAUUCUGGAAGUGUUUGCAGGAAGCUAUGGGUACUAGGUUGCGGUUCAGCACAGCUUUUCACCCCCAGACUGAUGGACAAUCAGAAAGAACUAUUCAGACUUUGGAGGAUAUGUUGAGGUCUUGUGUACUGCAGAUGAAAGAUUCAUGGGAUACUCACCUUGCCUUGGUGGAAUUUGCAUACAAUAACAGUUAUCAUGCGAGUAUAAAGAUGGCUCCUUAUGAGGCGUUGUAUGGGAGACAGUGUAGGACUCCUAUUUGUUGGAACGAAGUGGGAGAUAAGAAAUUAGAAAAAGUGGAAAGUAUCCGAGCAACAACCGAAAAAGUGAAGAUGAUUAAAGAAAAGCUGAAGAUCGCACAAGACCGACAGAAGAGUUAUGCAGAUAAUAGGUCCAAAGAUCUCGAAUUUGCAGUUGGGGAUUGGGUGUUCCUGAAGUUAUCUCCUUGGAAGGGUGUGAUGAGAUUCGGGAAACGUGGGAAAUUAAGCCCUCGUUAUAUUGGACCCUAUGAGAUUACUGAACGCAUCAGACCGGUUGCUUAUAGACUUGCAUUACCUGCAGAACUAUCUCGAGUGCAUGAUGUGUUCCAUGUAUCUAUGCUUCGGAAGUAUAUGCCAGACCCUUCUCACGUUUUAGAAUAUCCACCUUUGGAGUUGGAAGAAGAUUUAUCAUUUGAGGAGCAACCUGUGCAAAUUCUAGAUAGGAAAGAACAACAGUUGCGCUCUAGAUCCAUUCCAGUAGUGAAGGUUCUGUGGAGAAGCCAAACUGUGGAAGAAGCUACAUGGGAGCCUGAGGCACAAAUGAGGGUCAAGUACCCUCAUCUUUUCCAUUGACAGGUACGUAAAUUUCGGGGACGAAAUUUUCUUUAAGGAGGGUAGAUUGUAACACCCCGACUCCAAAUUAAAUGAUUAUUUUAAUCAAUUUUUAUAAAAUUAUGAAUUUACCCUUGGGAUAGGGGUAAAUUGGUCACUUUCUUCUUCGGAAGGAUUUUGGGACCACGAGUGGCAUUUCUGAGAAGAUGGUACUGAGACGAAUUCAUAGACACGCGGUAGGCUUGAAUCGGGGUUGUAACGAAAAAGUUACGGGCAAAAUAGUGUCAGUGGCAAACUUGUAAAUAUUUCAAAAAGUUUGGUAAAAAUCAGAUUUUCACCUCAGCUCUCUCUCUCUCUUCGCGCGCGACACUCUCUCUCUCCUCAGUCUCUCUCUCUCCCUGACGUUCACUCUCUCUCUCCUCGGCUUGCUCAGUUCCGGCCACGGCAGGACCUGAGAUCGGUCCCGUUCAACUCGUCUCGUCGCCCCGGUCAGGCUCUGCCCGUUUUUCCCGUCGGAAACCAGGGAUUCGUCCAGAUGUGACCCAUAUGCAUGUGGGCCCCGAAGGAAGCCCCGCACAGGGGCAUAUUAGCUCAGCGCAAAUCAUAAUUCUAAAAAUUCGUUUCUUAAGAAUUGGGAUUAAAAGAUAAUUUUAAGUACAAAUUUUGCUCGAUUGGAAUCAGUCGUGGUGUAGUUAUAGAAAUAUGAGAGGGUUGGGCACAAUAUUUUGUUUUUUCCAUUUGCUUAAGAAGCAAACUCUCUCUCUACACACUCUCUCGCACUCCUUCUCUCCCUCAACGGAAACUCGUAGAAAAUUGGAAACUCUGAGAAACUGAUGGUAAAACUUUCAAGCUUUGAAAGUCUUCUGCUAUGAAAUGCCGAAUCUACGCUGGUUUCUUUACAUGAGCGCACUGUUUGGAGACCCGAUCGCUUCUAAUUCUAGUGCACCGUCUACCUUCGCUUUCCGUUGAUGUGGUCAUUGUUGUUGUUGUUGUGGCCUUGCCUUUUGCCUGUGUUCUACCUUACCUAUUGCCAUGCUCACAGGAUUUUUGUGUUCUGCCUUAUUUACUGCUGUGCUCACAAGGUUUCUGUGUUCUGCCUUACCUAUUGCUGUGCUCACAGGGUUUCUGUGUUCUGCCUUAUCUACUCCCAAACCCUGUGUUCUGCGUUACCUAUUGCCGUGCUCACAGGGCUUCUGUGUUCUGCCUUAUCUACUGCCAUGCUCACAGGGUUUCUGUGUUCUGCUUUACCCAUUUAUCUAGUCCUUCAUGUCAAACAAAGUAGGGUAAAAUGUAACACCCCGACUCCAAAUUAAAUGAUUAUUUUAAUCAAUUUUUAUAAAAUUACGAAUUUACCCUUGGGAUAGGGGUAAAUUGGUCACUUUCUUCUUCGGAAGGAUUUUGGGACCACGAGUGGCAUUUCUGAGAAGAGGGUACUGAGACAAAUUCAUAGACACGCGGUAGGCUUGAAUCGAGGUUGUAACGAAAAAGUUACGGGCAAAAUAGUGUCAGUGGCAAACUUGUAAAUAUUUCAAAAAGUUUGGUAAAAAUCAGAUUUUCACCUCAGCUCUCUCUCUCUUCGCGCGCGACACUCUCUCUCUCCUCAGUCUCUCUCUCUCUCCCCGACGUUCACUCUCUCUCUCCUCAGCUUGCUCAGUUCCGGCCACGGCAGGACCCGAGAUCGGUCCCGUUCGACUUGUCUCGUCGCCCCGGUCAAGCUCUGCCCAUUUUCCCCGUCGGAAACCAGGGAUUCCGAUCGCGAGCUCGACGGUUUUAAACCGAAGCAUUCCAGCCGUCGCGCCGCCGCCUCCGCCGCCCAAACCCGGUGAUUGAGGUAUGGUUUCUCUCCCAUUUUCCGAGUUCUAGCUGAUGUUGGUAUAGGUUUUGAUUGAUUUCGAGUUUAGAAAAUCGAUUAGAAAUCUAGGUUUUGGGCCGAAUUUCAACAUGAAAUUCCGGCCAGUUGCCGGCCGAAUUGGAGCUUCUCGUAGUUGAAUGAAGUGAUCCUGACCUCGAGUAGAAGCUAGGGUAGGAAGGGUGAGCUCGGGUGUGGAGUUUUUCCGUCACCGGAGUUACUCUACACACCCACGCGCUGCCGGCCCAUGUGGUGGAGCGUGGGCGAGUCUGGUGAGGAUGUAAACUGACCCGAUGAGAUCCUUAGGUUGUCACGAGCGCAUUCCUAUUCGGAUGUCGUUUGGCUAUCGAACGGAUUUUCGCAUAUUAUGCGUUAUCCGGGUUCGAUAGGUUCCGACCGUUAGAUCUUUCCCAAUUUAAAAUAUGUUGUUCUAGGUAUUCCUAGGACCGUAUGGGACUUCACGAAUUCUGAAUCGGAGCCCCGGAUGUUCCGAUUCAAAAAUGCAAAGUUUGCGGGUUAGCGAUAACCGUAAAAUCGUGAACGCUUUCUAAACCUGUAAUCGGACCUUAUGGUACCAUCUUCGACGUGCACGUAUGGGAAUUUAGGGAGUUAAGCAUUUAAUUUGUAAUUUCCGCUUAGACGUGGUUUUUAUAUUAAUUAACGGUUCGUAUUUCGAAAUAGGUAUUUCGACUGCACGCACGCAGCAAGCAGGACCUUCACGUGGUCAGGCAGCGAGGGAAUACUUGUGAGUGGACUUUGUUUUAAUCAUAUGCCUGGUUUUAAUUAAUGAAAGAUUUUGCAUAAUGUUUUAAUGGCUUCUGGAUUUUUAUAUAUUUUAUGCAUGGAUAAAUUCUGAUGGGUGUAUAGCAAUUGGCAAUAUAUUGUGAGAUUGGCAUUUUUGGGUUUUGUGAGUGUAUUUUAUAUGUGGAUUGUGGGGAGGUAUAUUUUGAUACAUUCUUUUUAGAUGAGAUAUUUGGGUUGUUGGAGGGUGUUAUGGAAGAGUGUGUUUAGAGAGGAGUUGUGGGAUUACACUACGUAAGUACCUUCCCCAGUUACUAGUCUCACUCGCGGCGUUGGAUGUUCCGGCGGGUGAGACACUUUCCGUAUGCGGCGUUGGAUGUUCCGGCGUAUGGAAAGACUGUGUAUAGAGUUUAGGGUCAUCACCGCGGCGUUGGAUGUUCCGGUGUGUGAUGAUCCAGUCUGCGCGCGUAGGACAUAGUUUGAGAGCUACACAUGGCGUUGGAUGUUCCGGUGUGGGAGCUUUGGAGUUUCGUCCCCCGGUUGGACCGCUCAUCCCUAGACGCAGGAUAGCACCUGGAAAUCCUGCGGACUAGUCAAACGAUCCCCCAGUUGGAUUGUUUUCCCCGGUACCUAGGUGGUGUGACGAGUAUAUCGUAUAGUUAUUUAUAGUUAAUUAUAUAUAUAUAUAUUUUUAUGUAUAUUUAUUGAAUAGGUAUAGUUGAGGGUGAAAGGAAUUGGAGUGUGUUUAAUAGUUGACAGGAGUGGUGAGUUUGAGAGAAUGUGGUUCUUUUUAAAGGAGAUAACUGAUGUUUUUAGAUGAGUUUUACUGAAGCAUGUUUUGAGAAAUUUCUUAUUGAAUUGUGAACCUGCAUGACUCGAGCAUUAUUUUUACAUGGUGGGGUUAUUAUGUUGUUUUUAACUGCAAACCUGGUUUUUGUCCACUCACAUGUUUUCUGUUUUGCGCCCCCCCCCCCCAGCCAGUAGUUGCUCUUGGAAGUGCAAGUGGUGUACGAAGCGGAAUCGGUGCAUCUUUCUAAUUAGGAACUGUGUAAAUUCUUCUACUCAAUUGUACUUGUAAUCUAAAUUCAGUAGAUGCUCUGUAUUGCCAUGGUAGAUUUUACUUGUGAGGCCGGAGGGCACUCUAGUAUGAAUUAUGUAUGUAUGAAAGCAUGCUGCUGGUUGGGAUUAGUAUUACUGUGUGUUGCAGGUUGAAUAAAUUUUGUUGGGAUUGCUUAAAUUGCAGGGGAGACUCUGCCAAAUUUUUGGUAGAAAGUCUCAAUUAUUUAGUAGGUGGGCCCGGCAUCGGGAUGAUGUCGGGAUCAAGACGGGGUCGGCCUCGGUCUUGGGGAAAUUCCGGGGCGGGUCCUGUCAUAAAAAUAUUUAGUUAUGCUCAAUAGAUGCUCAUAUUGUUGUUCUUCUCCAAUAUGGAGGUAUUUAUACAAGUACAAAGAUGUGUUAACCCUAAAUAAAAUAGGAAAUAUAUCUAAAUUACAAUAUGAAGUAAAUCUCUAUUACAAUAGGACUAAAUAAUAAUUGGUAAGUAAACAAAAUUCUAAUGAAAUAACGAACCAAAAUCCUAACUAAGUAAGGACUCGCCAACACUCCCCCUCAAGUUGGGCAAAGAUAUUUUGCACGCCCAAUUUGACAAGCGAGUCACAGAACACUUUACUGAGAAGCACCAAUUGUAGAGAAGGUCUUUUCGUCAACCACGAGUGAAACAAGUGACAAACUAAAGUAAAGUUCGCAGCGGAAACACAAGAGCAAACCCUAAAAAAUAGGGCACUUAGCAGAAUACAAAAACCUUGUGAGCACGGCUGUAGAUAAGGCAGAACACAGAAACCCUGUGAGCACGGCUGUAGAUAAGGCAGAACACAGAAAUCCUGCUAGCACUGCAAUAGGUAAGGCAAAACACAGAAACCCUGUGAGCACGGCAGUAGAUAAGGCAGAACAUAGAAACCCUGUGAGCACGACAGUAGGUAAGGCAGAACACAGAAACCCAUGAGCACGACAGUAGAUAAGGCAGAACACAGAAGCCCUGUGAGCACGACAAUAGGUAAGGCAGAACACAGGCAAAGGGCAAGGCCACAACAACAACAACAAUGACCACAUCAACGGAAAGCGAAGCAAGCAAAGGCAACAUCGACCACAACAGAAACACACCAGCAAAGGCAUGAACAACAAUACUGGCACCAUAGUAGGCAGGAGCAACAAUACUGGUACCAAACAACAGCAAUACAAGGUACUGGCACCAGUAAGACAAGGUAGGGCAAACAACUGUGGUAGCAGCAACAACAGAGACAACUUCUAUGCACUCUCCCUCUCCCCCUGAAGAGACGGGGUCGAUAGAGCCAUACUUGAGAAACAGGCACGGACAAUCAGCCAUGAUAGAUAGAUAUGUGAAUUGCAAUGGAAUAGAUGAGCAGCAGUGUCACUCCCUCUCAAAUUCGACAAUGCAUGAGAGUCGAGAUUUGGAGAAAGUAACACCCAAAUAAACAGAGAGACAAAGGCCACCUAGGAGAAGGCUCGGCGAGCGGUGACGAGGCUUCCAGAGGUUUGAGAUGGCUCGAUGAGCGGUAACGAUGCUCACGGAUGAAAGAGAUCAGGCCAUCAAUGGCCAAGGGGCGUGUUGCCCAUAUGGUACACAUUUAAAAGAGAGGCUCGGCGGUGAGCGCAAGAGACUAAAACUAACAUGGGCUCAAUCUGAUUUUAACAUAUAGCAAGCACAUAGAGAGAUGAAAAGUAAGAGAAAAAAAGGCAGCUGCAGGCAUAGGUAGAGAAAAAGAAAGGUAAUGACUCAACAUAAACACGACAUGGACAGAGACAAGAGUAAAAUUGCAAAAAAAUGCGGUUAUGGCUAAGGCAGAAGAAAUAUAUGUUGAUUAUUAAGGAAAGGAGAAACGGGGAUUUACAGCAAGGUGAAGACCCAUGAUGGGUUAGGAAUAAGGAACGCCAACGACUCUCAAUUUGUUAGAGGAUAUCACAGGUUAGCAACCAGGCUCUGAUACCAUGUCAAACAAAGUAGGGUAAAAAUAUUUAGUUAUGCUCAGUAUAUGCUCAUAUUGUUAUUCUUCUCCAAUAUGGAGGUAUUUAUACAAAUACAAAGAUGUGUUAACCCUAAAUAAAAUAGGAAAUAUAUCUAAAUUACAAUAGGAAGUAAAUCUCUAUUACAAUAGGACUAAAUAAUAAUUGGAAAGUAACGAAAAUUCUAAUGAAAUAAGGAACCAAAAUCCUAACUAAGUAAGGACUCGCCAACAAAAAUGCCCUCCUUGAACUUUUGAAGAAGAGAGAAUUAUUUCAAGAUUUGUUUCCAUUGUUGUGAAAUUCUUUUGGUACUAUUGCUGCUCUGCUACAGGAGAUAGUUUCAAUUUACCCUGUUCUGUCACCACCAAAUUUAACUCCUGCUCAAUCAAAUCGAGUUUGCAAUGCUCUAGCUCUUCUUCAGUGUGUGGCUUCUCACCCAGACACAAGAAUGUUAUUCCUCAAUGCUCAUAUACCUUUAUAUUUGUACCCUUUCCUUAAUACAACAAGCCAGUCAAGGCCUUUCGAGUACUUGAGGCUCACUAGCUUAGGUGUCAUUGGUGCCUUAGUGAAGGUCGAUGAUACAGAAGUGAUUAGUUUUCUUCUGUCAACAGAAAUAAUUCCACUGUGCCUGCGCACUAUGGAAAUGGGUAGUGAACUCGCAAAAACAGUGGCCACAUUUAUUGUUCAAAAGAUUUUGUUAGAUGAUGUGGGCUUGGAUUAUAUUUGUACUACAGCUGAGCGGUUUUUUGCAGUAGGUCGAGUCUUGGGAAUUAUGGUAGCAUCACUUGCGGAUCGCGCUUAUUAAAACAUAUUAUCCGAUGUUAUCUUCGAUUGUCAGAUAACGCAAGGGCUUGUGAUGCUUUAAGAAGUUGUCUUCCAGAGGCAUUAAGAGAUGCUACCUUUAGUGGUUGCCUUCGUGAAGAUCCAACUACAAGGAGAUGGCUGCAGCAGUUGCUUCACAAUGUUUCGGUUAGUCGGGUUCCUGCACUUCAGGCCGGAGGAGGGUUUGAUCAUAUGAUGGUGAACUAAUAUAAAUAAUUCAAUGUUGUCCUUGGGCUGCCAUCUGCUGUUUAUGCAUCAGAGAGGGCUGCAUGCUUCUUAUUUAUCUACCUCAGUGCUAAUGGGAAAAUUUCAUCUUUGUAAUUACAAAAUGUUUCUUCUGUAAACUUGGCCUCAAAAGGCGAAGCUUUUAACUAUUCACUUCCAAGAGAAAUCAAUUGUUCCCAGAAGAAAUUGUCUUCUUAGCUGAUUUCUUGUGUAAUUUUUUGAAUUGUUCGGUUUAUUUAACAAAUUCCGUAUUUUAAGAGUAUUUCAUCGGUUUCAUGGCAAAAUUAUUCCUAAUAAAGUCAGCCUUUCUUUUGGAAAAAAAAAGAAGAAAAAAAAAGAAGAAGCAAACAACCAUAUAUUCCGUAUUUUAAGAGUAUUUCAUCGGUUUGAACUUUUCUUCUCUCAUUUUUUAUUUUCGGUUAUCUAUUCAUAAAAAAAGCACCAUUUGUAUUUGUGUGUAGAUUUGUAUCUUACUUGUUCAAAUUGAAGUGCGCCUGUUCUUCUUUUGAAAUUAUAUGCCUUUGAAAUUUCAGCUCAGAGAAGUGGAUAUCCUACCUAAGGUGCAUAUAAUGAACAUGGAAGUUUGCUGCACUAGUUGGCUAUCAAGGUGCCAUCUUCUAGAACUUUGCUACUAUAGGGGUUGGUAAAGUCAUGGAAGUUACUGUUUCACCCUCACUUUGGUCUAGGGUGAUAAAAAAUUGCUCCAUGUGUGUUCAGUAUGACCUAAUUUUUGCAUAAUUGAAUCUGUUGUUUUUCUACGGGUGGUUUUAUUUUCUUUUAGCUUCCUGCUGAAAAAUGAGGUAUAGGCUUGUAUUUGUUGCACAGUGUGGCUUAUGUAGGAAUAUAACCAAGUUAGUGAUGCUUGAACAUGUUGUUUUGAGCCAAUUCAAUGGGGAGCUUUUUAUUUGCGGCAAUGCGGGCAGUUUGGAGCGCUCUAUGGAUGCUGGGCAUGUUUGUCUGCAUUUACACUGCUGUGUACCGUUCCCUUGUUAUAAUAAUUCUGUCUGAAGUGAAUUUUUGUUUUUGUUGUAGGGACAUUUAUUCCUGUCAAAAGCUUUACUUGGUGUCAGUUCACGUUGUAAGUUCUAGUUAUCUUUUUUACUAUGAGAAGCCCGUUGUAAUUUUUUUGUGCAUAAAAUUGAACAUUAGACAUCUGUAGUAGCUAUUCGGUCAUGCAAUGACAAUAAUAAUGCACUUUCGUGAACAAAGAAUAAAGUUGUAAUUCCUGCCCUUUUUUUCCUAGUUUCUAAAGCCAAUUUCUUUUUGGGUAAAUGGAGCCAUUGGAGAUGUUAGCUCUACCAGGGCUGUUCAAACAGCAACUGGUAUUCAAAGAACCAAAAUCAAUUCGCAAUCUAGACAGGAGUUUGAAAACUACAAAAUAUGGAUGACACUAUCAUUGCCCGUCAAACUUUUCAUCUUGCAGUUUCAAUUGUUCCAAAUCCCAUUUCGUUAUCAAAAAUCCUGCAGCUGAGUUGCAACAACUUCACAUCAUUUAGACAUGCUGGGAUUCUUGUACCUUGCCAAUACCAGCAACAUCACUAGUAUAAUGAGACAUAAUCUUUCAACAGAAAGAUGUUGGACAUAUUUGGAUGCCUGUUUACAAUUAAUGUCUGAUUUUCAAUAAACCUUGAUUGGAAAUUAUGAAAUAGAUAAAUCUGUUACAUUUUGUCCCCAACACACAUCAAUUCCAGUUAAUGAGAUAGAAGAAUCAUAGACAAAAUAUAUGUGUGGAAUGAAAGUAUUAGAUAAAUCCGGCAUUGUUCAUCCACGGAUAAAUGCUGGAUGCAUCAAUUGAGAAGAAAGGUAUUGCCUUAUGCAACUUAAAAUGGAAUCUCAGAAAUU